GUUAAUGCUUAUUUGGGUGUACCUAUCUUUACUAAAAGUGUUGGUAGGAGUGAGAAAUGUAAAACAAAUGGUGAAGAAGCAUUGAGAAAACAAAUAUGAGACCUUUCCAAGAAGCAAGAUAGUUUAUUGGUUAAGGAACAGGCUUCUUGGCAUGUGAAGGAAAUUCAAAGGAUCAAAAUAAAGUUUAGACUUUAGAGAAUGCUUUUAUGGUGUAACCCUGCAUGCAAUAUAGCACUGGGAUAUCAUUGGCUAAUUAGGGAGCACAUUUUUGCCAUCACACUUUUUGUACCAUUCCAUGUACUAUCACCUGUGAUUGGUUGAACACAAAUUAUUUAAGUUAAAAUUGCAAUUAUUAAAUAUUCUCCUGGCACAUGGAGUGACACAAAGGAGUGAGACAACAGAUGUGUACCCGACUAACUACGGAUCAAACUAGAUUACCUGUUGCAGCAAUUGUCUGGGGCAAAUUUAAUGUUCCAAAACACUCAUUUUCUGGUUGGUAGUGUAAGGUAGGUUGAUGACUGAGGGGAGGAUGGAUCGGUUUUAGAUUAAUGUAUCAGAUUUAUAUUAUAAGCUCUGUGAUGCACAGGUUGAGACAAGUGAAAGAUUAGAUUUGAGUGUUCAUUCUUUAAGGAAGUUGUAAAUAUGAUUCUAGAUUGGUUACAUGUUGAGAGCAGAACUAACAUGGAGAAUAAGUGCUGACAGUAACAUCAAAAUCAAAGAUAAAGAGAACAAAUUUUUAGAACAGUGCAUACAAUUAAGAUGUUUUGAUUGUCUGAUGACUAUGCGUUUUGCAAGUAAACAUCAUAAAUUAUACUUUUUUUUGUAAUUAUUUGUUAAACUUUUUUUCAGUAUCGGAAAAUAUCUGAAAAGUAUCAGAUUUAUAAUUUGAUUUAUUUAAAAUAAUAAUAAUUUCAAUAUUCAGCACCUGGUUCGACUCAUUUCCAAACUUAUUUUUAUGUUUAGUCACAAGUUGACCAUAACUAUUUCUCUGAUAUCUUACACUUGAGAAAACAAUCAUUGCAAUCCUAGAUUGCUCAAUGACUUGAAGUAGUUGAGGCCGAAUUUGUUCUCCGACCCGAGAUUCUCGUUAUCCAUGAACGUAUUGACUCCCUCAUGGAUCAAGGCAUCGUAAAGAUAACCUGUGAAAGUGUAGCGAGUAUCUUCACCCCUAAAACUCAAGUACACAUCAUAGUUAAACUUAGUUUCAGAAAUCACAAGUUUAUGUGCCAUGACCGAAUAGUACUUAGUACUUACUACUACAACUCUGGGAUAAUCAAGAAUGGUACUAAAACUCAAGUAUAUAUAGUAAGGUAAUAGUAAUUCCUGCAUCAUAAGCACCAAGCUUCCAUCAAAUUAAAUAAAAAAAUAAUAUUAAGGUGUAGGUUUGGUAGUUUUUUGUUUUUUAAUAAGAAAAAAUGUAUUAAAUAGAACAUGACUAGUGUCCGCCCAAUACAAAAGGAGAUCAAUAAUUAAUCUUUUUUACAUGUUAAGUCAAUACAGUACUUUGGAUCAACACACCAAUUUGUAAAAGUCAAAGAAGAUGAAGUUACAAAAAAAGAUAACCAGAUUCAAGAUAUAGUAUGAAUCACGUCCAUUACACGAAUAUAACUUACUUCUUUCUCCAUAGAGAUAGUUUCGUUCUACAUGUUGUCGAUAUUACCAACAUGCAGAAAUUUUAUGUAUCACCAAUUACUUUUUGCCAACUCAUUUAAAUGAAAAACAUGGUCAACCUUAGUUUAUUAGCCCCUCUUGUUCUUCUUCUUACUUAUGGUUUAAUAUUCUCCACCAAUACCAUAAACUAACUCAAUUCAUUGAAAAAGAAUAUAUUUUUACACAAGUAAAACAAUAAUAAUUAAACAAAUUACAAAAAGAAGAUAACGUGAGUUUGAGAAUUUGUAUGAAAUUGGUGGGACGAGUAAUAAUACAGCAAAAUUAGUCAUACACGUGUGAAGUGAUGAAGAAGUUGCAUGCGUAAUAGUAGCAUGCAUGCAAAUUUAGUACAUUCAGAAUACUAAAAAUAAGACAUAAUUGAAUUACACAUUCUAAUACUCUCAAUUAUAUUCCUUCUUUUUCAACCACAUUAUCCAUUUCAAUCUCAAAUGGUUUCUGAUUUUUGAUUCCAAUAUUGAGAUGGAAAUGUAUAAGUGGGAAGAUCAUAAUGGUAGUAGUAAUGGGUAUCUCAACCAUCAUAACUUAAAUGUAUCUGUCUAUGAUGUAAACAAUGCUGAUUCAACAAUCAUAAUGUCUUCUUCUUCUCCUUCUUUUUCAUCAUCUUCUUCAUCAUCUUCAUCAUCUCCUCCUUCUACACAUGGCUAUAUAGAGCAUACUAUAUCCAAAUUGGACACACUUGCUGGCAUAGCAAUCAAAUAUGGUCUAGAGGUACCCUUUUUCAAUGUCAUUUUGGAAUUUCAUCAUCAAAUGAAACUGUUAUAUAUAAUUUUGUUAGAUGUUUUUGGUAUGGAAAAAAUUGCAGGUUGGUGAAAUAAAAAAGUUGAAUAGCCUUAUUACAGACCAUCAAAUGUUUGCUCUAAAGACUAUCCGCAUUCCACUAAAUGGAAGGCACCCUCCAUCUCCUGCUUUAUCAAAUGGGUAUGUUUAGAUACCAAAAGCUAACUUUAACAUUGAGACUAAGGGGACCAUUUUUCUUUGCUUUUCUUUAAUGAUAUGUUUUUGAGUUGAAUUUUAGAGGAGAAAAAAUAAAUGAUAAAACUUUAGAACAAUCUCACAAAUAUAUUUCAUGACUUUUAAGCCGUUUCUUUCUAUAUAUUAUUAUCUUUCAAAAACCAACUCGCAAAUGGGUCAUAAGGAGUUUAAUAGUUUGAUCAUGGUCUUAGUAAAAAAACUCAAAUGUGUAUCUAUCUUUUGAGAAUAAAGGAUCUUCUUAUAUAAAUAUAUAAGUCAUCUUCUCCAAUUAAAAUCAUAACAUGCGUCCUAUUUAAUCAUUUCUACAAGAAUAUUUCAAAAAUUAAACAAAAUAGUUUGUAUGCCAUACUUUUACUAGCUGGAGAAGAUAAGUUAUCUUUUGGUACGAGGAAAUAUUUUAUUCUCUUUAUCUUUUACCAUAUAAGUUACCAACAGGUUAAAAACUAUGACAAGUCAAGUCUAUAUGGAAAGCUCGGUACCAUUUUGUUUGACAUGAACAUAAUUCACAUAUAAAUUUGAAUAGUAUGCUUACAUGAUUGAUUUCCAUUUAGAAUUUCAUUUAAGAUCAUUAUAUAGCAUUUAAAGUACUGAUGACCAUGAGUGUUGGUAUCCCUUCAGAUGUGGUAACUCUGACAACAAUCUACAUGAUGAUACUUGUCGCGAACUGUUCGAAUCAUUCUUGUCCCCGAAAAUAAAAUCCUCGGGGCAGAAGCUCACCUCAGUCACAAGCUCAGGUUACUAUGGAACCAAACCAACAAUGAAGAAAUCCAUAUCAGUGUUUGAUAUGGCAAUGUAUAGAAAAAGGGCUUAUAAUUCUUCCGAAAAUGGUUCGCAAACAGCUACUUCUCCCCGAACUCUGAGUCGUCACCAGAAAUCUAGAAGCUUGGCCAGUGCAAUUUUUGAGGAUAUUCUGCAAAGCUCCGAUGACGUAGAAGCCAGGGACGAUGAGUCCGAUAAAUGGAAUGAUACAUUUGUCAACAACAUUAAGGAUGCACCAGAGAAGCUGUUGGCGCCGCAGGAUAAUAGAACUAGUGGUAGGUUUUCUUCAUCAAAAACAGGAAAGAGCUUAGCUCUUCGACAGAAAUCCGGUAGCCGAACUGUAAUAACAACUGAUUCUAAAUCGAGUAGUAUAAAUCCUUUGCUAAUAAGAUUGGGGAGUGCAUUUGCACUUGAUGGACAAUCUGGAGUAAGGAAAUCAUCAAGCACAUCAUGUUUACAAGAUCAACAUAAAAAUCACAACUCUUGUUCCAAUUGUCCAGCAGUUUCAGCUAAAGGCAUAGCAAAACCAAGAACUGGUAAAAGAAAUAAAGCUGCACUUGAUUAGUAUAUAUACUAUAUAGAGCAAUGCAUCAAAGCAAAUUUCAACCCUUUUUGUCAGGCUACUGAAUCAUUAGUUGCCACAGCAUAUAGUUAAAAAUACAAAACCAAAUUACACUUUUAAUCUCUUAAGUUAUUUCUUGGGGCUGUUCCCAUGUUAAGAAUGCAGGACAGAAAGAACCACCUUCCCAACUUUAGCAUUCCACUAUGUUUUGUAAUACUAACUAGCUAGAAUUCAAGUUCAGGCUUGCUCGUAUAUAUGAAAUAUGAUUUAUUUAGAAUUUGACUAAAAAACUAUUGUAUUUUAAUAUCAGGCAGACAGAUAAUUAUGAAAGUGUAAUAUUGGAACAAAACUCCAUAUCAUGGAGCAGGGUGAGAAAUGUUUAGAAUUUUUACUUCCUUAAUUUAGUUACCUUCCAUUUAUUAACAUAUCGUUCAUAUAUCUCAACUAUAAUACUUUUAAGACAUUUAUACUCUAAUCACAUUGCACAUUUUUUGUGAACAAACUGAUAUACAAUGCAGCAAUGCAUAAAUACAAUUGGAAGUCCUAGCCUAGACUUUAGAAUUUAGACAUUUAUGGGGUAGCCUCUCAGGAAAAUAUAAGUGCCACCAUAAGCAACAAUCUAAUUUUUUAUUAUUAAUGUAACAAGGCUAUCAAUUAAAAUUCAGUAAAAUGCAAUCACGGAGCCGUGUGUUAAGCACAAAGCGAACUAUUCUUUCACCUUUUACUAAAUUAGUCACUCAAACUUCAAAUGCAUAAAUCCAUCCGUAGAGCUAAAUACAACUUCAUCCUUCUUGGAAAGGGAUCUAUAAAUACCAUACCAGGGUUUGAUGAGACAUCAUGCAUGCUUAGGAAUAGGAUUGUAAGGUAAUGUCAUUAUAAGCAGCAAUCCAAUUGUUCACUAAGAUUACCAACUACAAAACAGUAAAAAACAAUCACUUUCAGCCACUCAAACUUUUGAAGCAUAAACACAUCCGUACAGCUAAAUGCAUCUUCAUCAUUCAUGAAUACCAUCUUCAAUUGAUAACAAAAACAAGGGAAAUCAAAAUCACUGGGGGUUUAAUUUAAUUAAACAUGGAACCCCCUUGUUUAAAAAAAUACACACCUCUCUUGAAGGUUAUAUAAUAUUAUUACAUUCACCUCUCUCAUGAAGGGUGAUGAUUGAAAUUUAUUAUCUCCCUAAGGGAAAGUUAGCAUAGCUUUCAAAGAGUGUCAAACAUAAGGGAAGGUUAGUUACCAUUUCACAAUAAAAUCAGCUUAAAACCAUAAAAUUUGCAGUUUUAACAUAUUGGUUUUUUUCAGUUUCAAUUUCAACUAUAUUGUUUUCUCCCACGUUUUCCAAUCAAAAUUUUGAAUAUUCAUCAAGUUUAGGUGCUAAUUGGAACCCAAACGAUGGAUUGAAGAGAGUGGGGAGAGAAAGAGAUAGUGUGCAGGAAUGCAGAACUAUUUUUUGAUAUUGAAAAAUGAUUAAAUUGUAAUGAAAUGAACUUCCAAGUUCCAACUAUAACAAAGUUAACACCGCACUAUAAACCACUGAUCAUUUUCUUAUUGAUAAAAUGGAUAAAAUAAAUGGUACCCCUCAUUCCCUCAGAGAAAUGCAACAUAGAGAAAAAUAAUAUUUGGAAAAAAGAAGUCUAAGUGGUAAAAUUAACAUUGAUUUAUUGUGGUUAAAACUGAGUGCAUGAUACUGAUUUCUAUAUAGAUAUAAUGUAAUAUACACAAGGGAUGAGAAACAGAUAAACUAACCAAGUCAGAAACAUGGGCCUAAACUAGGAAGCAAAUGUUCCUGGGAUACGUUGUCAGGAAAAAUUACAAUAUACAUAACCCUGCCAAAAGCCUCCUCAAGUUUUCAAAAUUUUCUUCACAGGUAGUUGUAUGUACUACACUAUAGGCGAAUCUAACUGAGGCACAAUAUGUAACCUUGCAUGUUGAUCCACCAGCAACCCCACUGAAAAACAAAAACCAGACAUAUAUCAACAUACAUAGAGAAAAUAACCUUAAAUGCAAUUUAUUCAUGAAUAAAAAAUGACGAAAGCAGACCACUGAUAAGUAGAAAAACCUAAACCUUUCAUUUUGAAAGAAAUUCAGACCAUACACAGGAAGGUAUAUCAUCAAAGUCCAUUUCAUCCCCAUGUGAAGAAUUAAUCUAUGUAAAUUAUAGUUAAAUGGUACACGAUACUAAUUCUGGUGCGCGGUACCCAGUUCUAUGCGGUUCGUUAGUUUUUACAUUGUUAUCACAAGACUUCUUUUAUGACAAAACUAGCACAUUGAAAUUGGUAUGCAAUACAUGAGGUAAAUGAGUAAACCAUAUAACUAUCAUGCAUAUUUGAACUUUGAAAUGCUGCCUAUCAUGUAAGCCAAGGAUCAUGAACCUAAUAGCCAAUAUACUUAUCCACGGGUUCUGAAGAGAGGUGAAAAAUGUCCAAUCCAACCAGUCCAAUUACUUUUAAGUGUCUAACUACAUAAGUUGUGCAUAACUUCUAAUAAAAAAAUCAAAUUAAGAGCAGUUAUAAACUAUUAUUUUAAAAGCAACCCUCCAUAGUUUUUCAGCCGAACAGUCAAACCAUUUAUUGUAAAAAGCAAUCCUCCCAUAACAUGACUAAAAAGCUUACUUCACUAAUACAAGACUCCAAUCAUCUUCAACUGGGUCUCCAACAAUUAAGAGCAGAAAUGUCUGAUCUACUAGGCAACAUCUGAGGAACACCAUGUCCUGAAAAAGGAAAUGAGUAUGAUUCAUACCAUAUAUGUAGUUUGUUAACAAGUGGAAGCUCAAUGGGAGGGGGCAGGCAUAUAUAAGGGAGAACUAGAAAAAUUAACCAGUAUAAUAAAAAUAGUUGUCACCUGCUACUGGAGGAACAGCUGGUACAUUGUUUGAAAUUACACGCUGAAAACUUGCAUUGCUUACUGAUGGUCUUUCAACUGGUGGCUUAAAAUUACCUUCAUCACCAGAAAUAUAUAUCAUGUAUAACAUUCAGAAUACUCUUGCAAACAACAUUAAGUGCCAGUAACACCUCUGCAACUAGAGAGCAACUACUCAUAUGACCAACAGAAAUAACAAACAGUAAAAUUAAAAAAAUACGGAUGGACAAGAACCUCAAUAGUAAGCUGAUAAGUACAAGAAUGAGAUACAUACAAUAAAUAGUCUAACAUAACCCAUAUUUACCAGAACAACCAUUUGGAAUGGUAAACAAAAUAGAUUCGCAUACCUUCUUGCCCAAAGGGUUGACCAGGGCAUGAAGGAUUUCUCCCGAUCCAAACACCAUGUUGAUUGUUUGUUUUACAUUCAUUCGAUGACAUUCUCCGUUGUUCAUCAGGAGCAAAUUGUCUCAUUCCAUCUGGAAGGGGUGGCAAAGAGAAGGGAGAAUGGAAUGAAUGAGGAAGAUGUUGCUGAACUGUAGGGUUUGGGUAUGAGUACUGGUUUGACGGAUUUUGGGGUGGGGUCGGAUGCGCAUGCCUCUGAGUAAAUUGAGGGUUACUUAGCUGAAAUUGAUGAUUAGGUUGGGGAAAUUGAGCAUUCAGAUACAUAUGCUGCCCGUAUGCUAACUGCCUUGAAGGGUUAAGACUAGAAGGUUCCUGUGAGCUGCACCCUGCAGCUGCGACAAAAGCAGAAGGCUGUGGAACUUCAUUUGUGACAACUGCAUUAUUGUGACCUCCAGAAAAUGAAUUUCCAGCCAUUUGAGCUACUUGGUUACCCUGUAUAAAGGACUGAGUUUAUCAAUAUAUCAGUCAAACAAAUCCAUAGAAACCAGUGAUAUUUAAUAGCAAAGCAGCCUUACGCUAGUUGUGCCACUAUAGUUAGGAGGUACAUUCUGCUGAUAUCCCAACUGAUGUGAUGACUGUGGUGGCAUUAAUGAUUGUGAGACAAGUGAAGACCGAGCAGGUCCAGAUGAUUGGAGAACCAAUGACAGUGGAGGGCCUGAGGGUGGUAAAGGAGGAGGUGGGGGUUGCAACAGUGGGGGAGGUGGAGGCGGAGGAGAUGGAGAUAAUGGAAGAGAUGGUGGAGGUGAAGAAGGCAAAGGUGGGAGUGGAGGGGGUGAAUCAAGCGGCAAUGGUGGAGAACCAUUCAGAGUAGGUGAUAUCUCUACUGAAAUAUUUGAAGUUGGAUUCGGAUGCCUACAAGAUCCCUGACGCUGCAAAUCAAUUUCAUCUGAACUAUUAAAAAGUGCAGGCCUUUCAUCUUUCGGGUGACCUGAAACAUCUUCCAUUUCUAGCUCACCAUCCACAUCCUCCAAGAUACAGUGACGCUUAUCACUUGGGGUAACAGUUGAAGUUUCUGAUUCUCCAAGGGUAGGCGUGGGAUCUGCAGGAGAUGCACCAUCUGUAUCCUUACAUGAAUUGAUUGGUAAUUCAUCUUCAUCUUCAUCUUCUUCAAAUGCAUGACAAAAGAAGCCAGGCAGCUGAAAUGUAGCAUUACUGGUAUACAACAUCAAGGAAACAUGAAUCAGAAAUAAAAAUUACUUUCUAAAACAGUUAGAAUGGUACUAGAACAUGAAACACCAAACAGAAAUUAGAGCAUGAUGUAGUUAAUAAACAGUCCAACCUAGUAAAAAUGGCAAAUGCAAAGCAUAAAAAAUUCCAUUUGAUAAUUAUAAAAGUAUUCUAUUCCAUUUUGUGGUAGUAUCUGCUACCUCAUUUACAGAUUCAGACUUUACUAUAUCUCCUGGGUUUAAGAAAGAUAAGCUAAUUGUACAGCAACAACAAUGACUGGUGAGCUAAUUGUAUAACGAUGAUCAGGGACUCUUGAAAGCGAAAACAGUAAGAAUAAAAACAAAAAUUCUGGAGCAACCAAUCUGAAAAAUUGAUGCAACAAACCUUCCAUACUCAUCAACAAGCAUGCCUUCCAUUUCUCUAAUUGGGUCAUCCACAGCCCGCUCUGCUCGAGAUGGGCGCCUGAAAGAAAGGCUAAUUGUUGAAAAGCAAUCCUCCCAUAACAUGACUAAAAAGCUUACUUCACUAAUACAAGACUCCAAUCAUCUUCAACUGGGUCUCCAACAAUUAAGAGCAGAAAUGUCUGAUCUACUAGGCAACAUCUGAGGAACACCAUGUCCUGAAAAAGGAAAUGAGUAUGAUUCAUACCAUAUAUGUAGUUUGUUAACAAGUGGAAGCUCAAUGGGAGGGGGCAGGCAUAUAUAAGGGAGAACUAGAAAAAUUAACCAGUAUAAUAAAAAUAGUUGUCACCUGCUACUGGAGGAACAGCUGGUACAUUGUUUGAAAUUACACGCUGAAAACUUGCAUUGCUUACUGAUGGUCUUUCAACUGGUGGCUUAAAAUUACCUUCAUCACCAGAAAUAUAUAUCAUGUAUAACAUUCAGAAUACUCUUGCAAACAACAUUAAGUGCCAGUAACACCUCUGCAACUAGAGAGCAACUACUCAUAUGACCAACAGAAAUAACAAACAGUAAAAUUAAAAAAAUACGGAUGGACAAGAACCUCAAUAGUAAGCUGAUAAGUACAAGAAUGAGAUACAUACAAUAAAUAGUCUAACAUAACCCAUAUUUACCAGAACAACCAUUUGGAAUGGUAAACAAAAUAGAUUCGCAUACCUUCUUGCCCAAAGGGUUGACCAGGGCAUGAAGGAUUUCUCCCGAUCCAAACACCAUGUUGAUUGUUUGUUUUACAUUCAUUCGAUGACAUUCUCCGUUGUUCAUCAGGAGCAAAUUGUCUCAUUCCAUCUGGAAGGGGUGGCAAAGAGAAGGGAGAAUGGAAUGAAUGAGGAAGAUGUUGCUGAACUGUAGGGUUUGGGUAUGAGUACUGGUUUGACGGAUUUUGGGGUGGGGUCGGAUGCGCAUGCCUCUGAGUAAAUUGAGGGUUACUUAGCUGAAAUUGAUGAUUAGGUUGGGGAAAUUGAGCAUUCAGAUACAUAUGCUGCCCGUAUGCUAACUGCCUUGAAGGGUUAAGACUAGAAGGUUCCUGUGAGCUGCACCCUGCAGCUGCGACAAAAGCAGAAGGCUGUGGAACUUCAUUUGUGACAACUGCAUUAUUGUGACCUCCAGAAAAUGAAUUUCCAGCCAUUUGAGCUACUUGGUUACCCUGUAUAAAGGACUGAGUUUAUCAAUAUAUCAGUCAAACAAAUCCAUAGAAACCAGUGAUAUUUAAUAGCAAAGCAGCCUUACGCUAGUUGUGCCACUAUAGUUAGGAGGUACAUUCUGCUGAUAUCCCAACUGAUGUGAUGACUGUGGUGGCAUUAAUGAUUGUGAGACAAGUGAAGACCGAGCAGGUCCAGAUGAUUGGAGAACCAAUGACAGUGGAGGGCCUGAGGGUGGUAAAGGAGGAGGUGGGGGUUGCAACAGUGGGGGAGGUGGAGGCGGAGGAGAUGGAGAUAAUGGAAGAGAUGGUGGAGGUGAAGAAGGCAAAGGUGGGAGUGGAGGGGGUGAAUCAAGCGGCAAUGGUGGAGAACCAUUCAGAGUAGGUGAUAUCUCUACUGAAAUAUUUGAAGUUGGAUUCGGAUGCCUACAAGAUCCCUGACGCUGCAAAUCAAUUUCAUCUGAACUAUUAAAAAGUGCAGGCCUUUCAUCUUUCGGGUGACCUGAAACAUCUUCCAUUUCUAGCUCACCAUCCACAUCCUCCAAGAUACAGUGACGCUUAUCACUUGGGGUAACAGUUGAAGUUUCUGAUUCUCCAAGGGUAGGCGUGGGAUCUGCAGGAGAUGCACCAUCUGUAUCCUUACAUGAAUUGAUUGGUAAUUCAUCUUCAUCUUCAUCUUCUUCAAAUGCAUGACAAAAGAAGCCAGGCAGCUGAAAUGUAGCAUUACUGGUAUACAACAUCAAGGAAACAUGAAUCAGAAAUAAAAAUUACUUUCUAAAACAGUUAGAAUGGUACUAGAACAUGAAACACCAAACAGAAAUUAGAGCAUGAUGUAGUUAAUAAACAGUCCAACCUAGUAAAAAUGGCAAAUGCAAAGCAUAAAAAAUUCCAUUUGAUAAUUAUAAAAGUAUUCUAUUCCAUUUUGUGGUAGUAUCUGCUACCUCAUUUACAGAUUCAGACUUUACUAUAUCUCCUGGGUUUAAGAAAGAUAAGCUAAUUGUACAGCAACAACAAUGACUGGUGAGCUAAUUGUAUAACGAUGAUCAGGGACUCUUGAAAGCGAAAACAGUAAGAAUAAAAACAAAAAUUCUGGAGCAACCAAUCUGAAAAAUUGAUGCAACAAACCUUCCAUACUCAUCAACAAGCAUGCCUUCCAUUUCUCUAAUUGGGUCAUCCACAGCCCGCUCUGCUCGAGAUGGGCGCCUGAAAGAAAGGCUAAUUGUUGUUUCAUCAUUUGAAACUCCAAUAUCAUCCAUGUAACGGCGAAGAACUGAUUCAGGCAAAAUUUUCCUCUCAAGCCACAGUCUUAAAACCUGCAACCCACCCAAAAUAGAAAACAAAAAAUGUUAUAUCCACCUAGCAUAAAGCAAAACUCCUUAUAUGAACUAAAGUGCCAUCACCCAUUUAGUUAAACAAAAUCCCAAUUCAUUUAAUGAUAAAGCAGGUAUAGUAGUCAAAGUCAAGUAAUUGACACUCAUACAAUGUUAUCAGGUAAUUAAAGAUCUGAGAAUAAGAACCCUUCAAAAUUGCUGAUAGAAGUGGAGAUGAUGUUUGAUGGAGGAAGUGGAUUUCAUGUAGCAUCUACUUCUUUCUGUGAUUGGCAAUGACUGCCAAGAUCCUGACUCGAUAUACAACAAGACCUAAGGGAAGUAGAUCUAACAUCUCAUUCUUGUUUAAAACAAGGGGAUCAGCGUUGGUUCACAGUUCGCUCCAAGUUAUGAUCUCUCACCUUCAGUUUGCAGUUGAAACAGUUUUUUUGUCUACCGUCUAUAUUCGCCAGACUGAUGAUUUUUUUUUUCUGGUUUGAAGAUUAAUUGGGAUAAAGUGAGUAGAAAUACAUAAAUUGGAUUGUACUACCUAAUCCUCCCUUAUUGCUUUGGCUGGAUGCCAAAUUUUAAAAUGGCUUCUCGCUUAUGUUACUCCUUUUGAUGGGUAAUUCUGGGCCAGCUCCAUUUGGAUCAAAUGGUUCAAAAGUGCUUUAAUGUAUUGGUAUCUAAAUAGUAGGAGAGGAACUAGAUGCCCAUAUUUUUAGAGCCACUCUUUCCCCCUCCUGAAAACAGUCUCUCCGCUUGCGGGGGUAAGGCUGCAUACAUUUACCCUCCCCAGACCCCACUAAGUGGGAGCCCUGCACUGGGCCGUCUUUCUCUUUCCCCCUAGUUCCUCGCUGGGUUGUGUUUAUGACUUCUCUCUGGUGCUCAAAUAGCUGCUACAGGUAGCUAGUUAUAUUUACUGAUAUCAAUGAUAUGCAAAAAGACCGGGUAAGUUUGUUGCAUUAUUAGUUGUUUCUUUUUCUUUCUUGUUCUUUUUUCUUUCUGAUUUAGGUGAUGUGUUAUCUUCCUCCCAGUUCUACACCACUUCUUCCCUUUCAAAUAUAAACCCUUGGGUCAUCAACCAAAAAAAGAGCUGACCUUGAGACACUGACGACGAUUAUCACGAGCACUAGCCCCGGGGGGAGCAGCCGCACCAAGAAGAAGUGGCAAGGCUGCUUGAACUAUUGGGAUGUAGGAGGCUCCUGCAAUGCCUGAAAAAAAUACAAUAAAAAUAGUUGAAAAUUCCAUGCAGAGAGGACUAGCUAAUUCAGGCAGGGGAGAAAGCGGAAACAAGUACACCAUAAAAAAUAAAUGCUAAUAACAGCAAUGGAUUCUCUAGAGUAUGUUCACCAACCUUUUUGACUAUGUGAGCACUGGGUGAUGGAAUCAACAAGAAAGAACAAAUCAACUUUGCGAUGAAAACUAGUUUCAUUUUCCAGCUUUCGGAUAAGAAGUUCAACAACCUGAAUAAGGGCUAUGAAGUAAGAUCACCAUAGAUACAGUAACCACAAAUACACAACUUCCAAAACUAGUAGUAAAAAUAUAACAUCUUGGUAAGAAAAUCGCAUUCCAAUCAAGUAUCUCUAACAAAAAUAUAAAGCAAACAAAACAAAAUGCAUUUCUUAUCUUCCAAGGAUCCUAGAUGUCCCUACUCCAUGAUUUUGUCAAAUAAAACAUCACUAUAAGCAGGAAAUUGACACAAAAAUCACAAAUAGAAACUUAUAGAUACCCGCCUAUUAACUCUGGCUACAAGAGGAGCAACUAACAUCCUACACGGCAUGAGUCUCAUGCUAUAUAAUUAUAUACAGGGAGAGAGAGAGAGAGACAGAAAGAAGAUUGAAGCGGUGUAGGAUAUAUGAGAAUAGAAGGGACAUAAGUGUGCAGGAAAAUUAGUGAGUAAAGGAAUUUGGGUGGAACUCAAUCUCUGCCUUGAGUAUUUAUUUUCUUAUUUCAUUACAAUUAUAAUUGUUCUUUUAAUAUAAGUGAAAUAUCUAGAUAUCCAGGAAAAAAUCAUGACAGUUCUAGUUGUAUUUAAAAUUGCAUAUCAUGUUUGUCUUGUUUCUUCUGCCUAUUUCCUAUCGGUCUAUUUUUUCUAAUCCCCAUCAUAAACACGUAAUAAUUUUCCAAAAUCUUUAUUCUCAAUGGUGUAUUUAACUUCCUUAAUACAGUAAUUUCACACUUUCUAAUGGUUCACAAGCUUUACAAAGAAAAUUCAUGAAAAAAGCAAGUUAUUACCAAUAUUAAUAAUUUUAUAACUAGCAAUAGUAUGAUGGACCAGACCUCAUUUGCAAUGCCAUACUUAGCACAAUCAAUUGCAAGACGAGUUGCGCGCCCAAUACUUUCCUUGGUCCUUGAUAAAGUUUCGAUCAUUCCUUCAAAAGCAUCACGAGCAACAGCAGCCUCAGUACCACCACUCAGCGAGCCUCCUACACCCCUUUGUACCGAACCAAAUCUUUUCUCUUCAAUUUCUUCAACAUCAAGUUGAUUUUGAGAAUUAGAGUGAUUAUUAUUAGUGGACGGAGAAGCCAAUGUUGGGUGCUCAUAGACUCCCUGCACAUUUGCCUGUACAGAAUUGCUUGACACAGACAGAAAUGGCUGAACUGUAGAGGGGCUAGGAGUCCCCCCCAGAACACUGUGAUUGCCAAGAUGAAGACAUUGGGAUUGAGUUAGUUUCCUUUUCGCCUGGGCAGCCGCAAUAAGAUGCUUCAUAGUUUUAGCACUUCCUGGACUCCUAGAACCAGUAUAUACACUACCUUUUUCUUCCAUACUCACCUCCAACCUGUAAUAGUAUAAGGAUAAGUAAACAAUUCCAAGAGAAACUGGAAAAAUAAAAGCAUAUGUACCUAUCAACAUGAAAGGCAUCAAACUCCUUAAAACCAACUGUCGAAGAAGGAACUUCAACUGCCCGUGCCAAAGUUUUUGGGGUAGUUUUAGACAUUUCGGUUGACAAUGUGAGCUUCUUGUUAUGUGUUACAACUUGAUUCUGAGAAGAAGUGACAUUACGUACAGAUUUUGAAGACCCAUGAUCAACCUUCUUCUCCGUAGCAUUACUGGAAACUUUAAGCAUCGGUUUGGACAAUUUAUGUUGCUCAGCACUUGACUUUAUUGCAGGAAUCGACUGAGGUGACUUUACAGGAGAGGCAAAGCUUAAUUUUGCCACUUUGGAAGGAAACUGCUUUGAAUCUAAUUUAUCAGGACUGUGAGAUACAUUUACAGGAACUACUGUAUUGUCUCUAUCUUUUAAAGACUGCCUAGUUGACGAAGUGUCAUUAUGUGAGUGAGAUGAUGAUUGUUUCAAAUGGAUAUCCUCAUGAUCACUAGACUUUCUUGGAGCCAAUUGAGCAACAUUAGACUUCUCUGAGUGUGCAUUAUUGCUCUUCUUGACAUCUGUAACAAAAGGUGACUUAAUAAUUUUUGCAGCUCCUCCAUGAACAGGAGUUUUAGGUUCACCAUCGUCGUCAUCAUCAACAAGGCAAACAGCUUUUCGUUUCCUUGUUUCUUGUUUUAUCAUAACAUUAUUUGCAUCACUUUUCAGUCUAAGAGAACUCUUUCCUGUUUUUUCAUUGGAAGCAACUAUAGCAGAAUCAGGCAUAGCUUGAUGGACUUGGCUAUGAAAUUUGGUCCCAGGUAGAACCUCAAGGACCAAAUCAUCAGAACCUACAACCCCAAUUUGACCCCUCGAUGUCUUGCUUUUUUCUGUUUUCAAAUGUGAUGUGGACUUUUUCAACUCUAAAUUUUCAAAUGCUUUGUCUUGGACAACAGUAGAGCCAGGUGAAGCACUUUUCACAUCUUUUGGGAGAGAUCCAGAACUUUUAGCAUCUUUGGUAUCAAUACGCUUCACCUUCUUGGUAGCAUGUAAAGGUUCAUUUGCUACAAGAUUAUGCUUUGCAUAAAAUUGGGCCUUCUUUUGUUUACUGGAAUUUUUGCCAUCAGCCUCCUCAGAAUCAACCAAGAUCUCCUGUGACUCCUUUUUUACCUCAAGACAUGUUUUCACUUUUAGCAAGUUCUUAUCCUUUAUUCCAGUAUUACCAUUAGAAUCUGAUUUAAGGAUACCUGAAGAAUCUGACUUACUAGAAAAUACAUGUUUCCCCUUUUUCCCACCUUUCAAUGUCUCUCCAGACCUGGAAAGAUCAACGCCGCCAGCAGAAUUACCGUCUUUAAAAAAUAUUCCAGCAGUUGAUCCACCAUUUCUGUUUUUAUCAUUUGAAAUUUCAUUUCUCCUUGAGCUGGUACCAAGCUUUCUUGGCUUGCUCCCAUUUGUCAAAAUACUAUGUUCGUUAUCAUCUUGCCUAAAACCAUUAACACUAUUUGCACCCUUGAGACUAGAUUUGUUAGCAUUUUUCUUCACAUGUGCAUCAAGGGAUAAUUUACCUCUGACCACAGGUGAUAAAACAGACGAACUUUCAUUUGGAUGGCCAGGUAUGGAGAGAUUUUGAUCAGGGCUAUCACUUUCGCCCAUUCUCUCUGUACAGUGCUCCAAACUAGUGUCAAUGUUACCCAUAUUGAUGUUAUCUUUUUCAGCAUUUGAUACCACAUCAUCAGUGGCAUCCUUUUGGUCACCCACUACUUCAUCAAAAGAAGGAGCCUCUGAACCGACAGGAGAAUCAUCAGGGUCAUCUGUUAAGCCACUGCCCUUCCGUUUCUCUAUCCCAUCAAAUGCUGCACAGAUUUCCUUCACAGCUUGAGUGAAGUACUUCGUCUUGCCUUGAAGCCUACCCAACAAUUUAUUUUUAGCCUCACUGGUAAAUGCCUGAAUAUCCACAGGGGCAACAAAAGCUCUGCGAAGGAAGAGGACAUCACAUAGGGGAAACUGUAGGUAGAUAAAAUCCAAGACAACCAUUGUAAUGUAAAAGAACAAACAAUACCAACAAAAAUGGAAACUAUCUAUGUAAUCACAAAAACAGAUUAUUUAGGUUAAAUGGAUGAGUACAAACAACUAGAGAUCAUAAACUGUUGAAGAAAGAACAAUAUGUUUCUUUUGUUCCUUCUAGGCGAUCGAAAUAUAUAAAAAUUGUUAAUAUAUUAAAGAUAAUUAUGUACUUACAAAAUACCAUCUCAAGUCAUCCUAUUUCAAACCAUUUUGUUCAGAUUAAUUCAAUUUACUUAUAAUUUUUAUCAUAAUUGUCAACUCAAUAUUUAAUUCUUUAAUCGGAUGGCUAAUUCAGGAUAUUACACCUUUUGAUAGUGACUCACAUUAUUGAUGAUGGAGAACUAGUUUAAAAUUGUUCCUCAAAACCCUCCUUUACUUUUAGAAGGAAACAUACUGAAAAUUAUAGCAUAAUCAAAUCUACAAAAUUUUGAUGCCUUCGUUAUUACCUUCAUUAUUCUAGGGAAGGGGGCAGAUGAUUCACUAAUGUCAAAGGAAGUAAUAGCGCAGACUGCAGAGAACAAGGCAUCCUCACAGAAUAACCAAAGACAAGAAAAGAACCCAUAAAAAUUAAUGCACUGAUAUAAAAUAGCUGCUUCAAGUCCAUAGCAAGAAGGACUCAAUCUCAAAACAUCCAAUCAACAGCAAAAACUCUCCCAGAUCCCAUGUACGGGAUUAACAGGUUUCCAUUUAGGCUAUUUCUAGUCAUGUAUCAAUAUUAACAUGCAAAGACGUCAGAGGAUCUAUACAGCUACAGAGAAGCUUGAAAGCAAUAAGUGGUAACCACAAAAUCUAACUUCUGUGGGGGGAAAUUGGUAUUACAAGUAACACAAUUAUAUUCAAUUAUAACGCCAACCAUCAAACUUGUCACACAUACAACCUCUAUGUCCCUUUUUUGAUAUAUUCAAUAAAUAAUUGGCAUAACCAUAAAACUCAAGUUUUGAGGUAUAAACCAUGUAAUCCUCAGUUCUCACCCUAACAGUCAAAUCAUCUCCCACCCCAGCCGCGUGAAUCGUGACAGAAGAUCCUCACAACAAUAUCUAAAGCUGCAUUUAAAGUUGCUUUCUUUUUCUUAAGCCUCAAACUCUUGGGUAUAUAAAGCAAAAAAUAACUGCAAAAAUUCCACUCAGACAACAUAAACUAAAUCAUUUAAUGACCGCCACCUAACUGCUUAAGCUUUUAGGAGAGUCAGUCGUUGAAAUGGACUAGAGGCUCUGACUCUGACCAAGUGAUUGGGAUUUGAACCUUCCUAAUCUCAUUCUUCAUAGUUUUUUUUACAAUAAAAGAAAUAUGAUCAGAAUAGAAGGGAGAAAAAUACAAGAGGAUAAGAAAUCCUCAUAGACACAAAAGGAAACACCUAGAAACUAAUCAAAGGGGACGUGCAACAAAGCAUGCCAAUCUUUGCAUAUCAACCAUAUUAAGCCCCCUAAAAAGGCAGCGGCUUUUACACCAUCUCAUUCUUCAUAUUUUAAUUUUAGCAGAAGGUUAAAAAAAAAUGGGCAUGAGCACAGUCCAUUAUUCAAGCCACAAGUGCUCUUGAUUGAGUGGGUGUUUUAGACAUAUAAAAGUAUUCUUGGGUCCCCUAUACUUAAUAGCUAAAGCUUUUAGGAUAGUAGAUCCUUGAUAUAUAACAAAGCCAAUUAUACAGUACAAGUAAUUAAUGGAAUCAACAAAUUAUAUUGGAUAGUUAGGCAUCGGGCAUUCUCAACUUUGAGACUAAAAUUAUACCUUACAUUAAUUUGCAACAUACAAUGAAAUGCACACAUGAGAAUCGAGAACUAAAAAAUAAUAAAAUAAUAAUAAGCUUAUUAUUUCAGUUCCACGACUAAGGAUACUGUUAUUUGAAUGCUAUGAUACACUGUCUACACCUGCUACAUCAGACGUUUACAACUUGAUAUAACUUUGUCUUAUUUGGCAGCUGACAUGUCAAAGGAAACUCUCCAGCAACAAGGAAGAGCCAAAGGCACACUCAAUAAACAGUAAAGAAAGACAUGUGAGGGUAUCAUUUCGAAAAUUCCACCAUGCCAAUUGUAUCUCCUUUCCACCUCCAAAAUGCAUUAUACAGUGUGUGUGUUUUUCUCUCUUUACUAACUCACAUAACAGUCCUUCUAUUUUCCAUCAUGAGUUAUUAAAUGCAAUCGACAAGAAAUUAUGGUUGAUUCGCCUAAUACUUGAAAACCUAACCAACGAUUCACAUACUAUUUAGCUACCUGUUAAAAUAAAAACAGGUGAGAAAGAGAGAGACAUACAUUUCUUUGGUACCAAAAAAAUGAACAAAAUAUUUCUUUGGAUCAGGGGGUUUAUCCCAUUCUUCAGGCCUACUUAUCUGAAAAAAAUAUACAACAAAAUCAGUACAGUAACCUCAAUAAUCAAAGUUAGUUCAUAACCACAUAGAACUACAUAAAUAUCAUAUCAAAUCCGAACGGUGCAAAAACAUAACAAUAUUCAUAAUAAUAUGAAGAAAUUGAUAAACAAUUACGAUAGAUAUUGAUUGAUAAGGUGAAAAGAGAGUGACCUUAGCAGGCCAAGCUGGGAAACCCUUAACCUUAGCGAGAACAAGAUCGCCCAAACUCAAAUCUCCAUUCCCCUUACCCUUAUUCACUCCGCGUCGACGCAUAACAGCUUUCGUCACGGUGAUUUCAAAACGGCGUCGUUAGAGUCUCAAACCCUAGAAAAAUCCCGGUGCGGCGGAGGGUAUCGCCGGGAUGGGGAGAUCUUGGCUUUUGUAUUGGGGAAUAUACAAUUUCACUGUCUUUGGAUAACUUGUACCAAUCCUGCGAACUAUUUUAUUUAUUUUGCUUCAAUUUAAACCUGUUUCGAAUGAGAUUGGGUUUAAUUUCAUAUAUACUUUGUGAAAUUCAACUUUAUCAGGUAUCAACCUCUAAAUUAUAUAUAUAUAUAGGUAUAAUUAAUUUGAGUGGGGAUUCUAGUAAGUUUUUUAAAUUCAAUCUUUAUGUAGUUAUCAAUUUUAGAAAUAUCUAUCUACAAAUUUAAAUUAUUGGAUUUUUCUAAAAUUGAUACAUAUGAUAAUGAGUGAAUUUAUAAAACUUACUCUUCGAGAGUAAGUGAAUCCAUCUUUAAUUAAUUUAGAGAAUAAAAUAUAUUCUUAUACGGAGGAGAUAACUAUAAAAAUCAUAACAUAUCUCAUAUUUAAUUAUUUUCUAUAAAUAUAUUUUAAAAACAAAAUAAAGUAUUUUUUCAUAACAAAAGAUAAUUUAUCUUCUCCAACCAGUAAAAAUAUUUUGUUUAGUUUUAAAAAUAUUUUUAUAGAAAAUGAUUAACCAUGUUUUUAGUGGCUGAAUGAGAUAAUUUAUCUCAUUAUACCAUAAUAUACUUUGUUCUUUGUCUAAAAACUAAAAAAAUAGUACGUGUGUCAUACUUUUAUCUGCCUUAAGACACAACUUAUUUCUUGUGAGAAAAUAUUUUAUUGUUAAAGAAGUAAAAAGGUAUAUUUUAUAAUAUAAUAUACAUAUAUUAAAACGAAUGGUAUUAAUAUAAAUAACAUUUUUAUUGGAAACAAAAAUAUAUUGUUAUAUGAAGCAAAGUGUUAUUGAGUUAAGUAAAAAAUAUAUUUAUAGUUGAUUAUAAAAGAAAAAGAUGAUUUUAAAAAAGUAGGAGAUUCCCAAAAUACAUUACUCACAACAAAGUUAUGAACAUGGCAUGCUUUUUAUUUAACUCAUGAUUUUAAUAAAUAUAUACGAGAAUAAAUUGCUUUUAUAUACCAAAUUGUCCAUAUUUACAAAGUGAUAUUAAUUUCCUAGCAGAUAAAAAAACAAAACAAAAAAGAGUGCAUUUUUCAUAUACCAAUAGACAAACAUAAGCAAAUAACCCUCUAUGAUAAGAAAACUUUUCAAUCAUCAUUACAAUGUUGAAGCAAUUUACAUUAUGAAAAAAUAACAUAAACACUAAAAUAAAAUUUGUAAAAACAACAAAACAAUGAAUAUACUAGUGUAUAUUAGUGUAAUAUUAAAUCGUGAAGUUUAUGUUAAAUUUAUUGAGGUUAUAUAACAAAAUUAACAUAAUUAUAAUAAUCUUAUAACUUAAAUGUGCGAGAUUAUAACUUAUAAUUGUGAGGCUAACUGAAAUGUUGAGAUCAUAUCUUAAGUCUAUAAAAAAUAAUUUUACAAGUCAAUAAGCUAUAAACUAAAAAACUUGUCUAAAGAAACACAAUAUAAAUCACCAGAAUGCACGUGUUAUUUUCACAUGAACUCUAUUCAAAUAAUAUAAAAUAUGUUAAAACGAAUGUGGCAAUAUUUUUAAAGUUAUAAAUUACUUUGAAAUGCAAUGAUAUUUUUCUGAAAAAAGAGUGUCAUUUUCAGUAAUGGAUAUAGAUUUGUUUUAAGUUGAUGUAAGUUUUUCUAAUGACUUAGAUCCUGGAAAUUCCAAAAUCUUUACUAGAGUUUCAUUCAACUAAAUGCAGUUGUUAUAUAUUGACAUAUGAACAUGUUGAUCUAUGGUAUAUGAUCUCGUUAGAUCUCAGAACAAUCAAAAGGUCGAUGAUUCGAUUUAUGUGAGCAACACUUGUUGAAAGGGACCGUCACGCACCCCGAAAGAGAUUAAUUACUUACCAAAAAGUGAGAGGAUACCCUUGGUAGUACCAACAAAAAUUCAACUUGUUAACAGAACUAUGUAGCAUAAAGUGUCAACAAACCUAGAUAGUUGCACAAUGAGGGAUCAAAGUUUUACUUUUCACACAAAUAAUAUUAGCAGUCAAAUAUACUAUAAGAUGCCCUCACCAAAAAAUUCAUAUGAUGUUAUUAUGAAUAAUUACUAAUUAGGAACAUUAAGAUAAGGAUAGUUAAAAAUCCAAUCUGUGUUACAGAAGAUAAAAAUGCCAAUAAAACUGAAUUGAGGACAAAACAGAAAUUUAUGAUCAUGUCUAAUUGAUAGAGUUAUAUCAACUGCAAAAUUUCUACCUAUGGUGGCAGACAUAGAAUGUAAAACACAGCAAGGAUUCCUCAAAGAAAUCUUACCCUCCAGCUCUAAGUUGAACCUUUAUCUUUUCCUUCAUCAGCAACAGCGUCAGAAACUAAAGCCGCUGGUCUCUGAUCGAUAACCUCAUCAAUAAUCCCGAACUCCUUUGCCUCUUCUGGUGUCAUAAAAUAAUCCCUGUCCAUAUUCUUUUGAAUAAUGUCAAUUGGUUGGCCUGUGUGUUUCUUGUAUAGUUCAUUCAAUGAAUCCCAAAUCCGAACAAUUUCCUUCGUAUGAAUUGCAAUAUCCUUUGCCUGACCACUAUAGCCACCGGAAGGCUGAUGAAUCAUGAUUGUUGCAUUUGGUAGAGCACGCCUCUGACCCUUGGCACCCGCAGCCAAAAGGAGAGAAGCCAUGGAUGCAGCUUGACCCAAACAGGUUGUAUUAAUAGGAGAGCGAAUGUACUGCAUUGUGUCAUAAAUUGCAAGACCUACACAUAACACCAAUGCAAGCAUCAAACCACCAUACAAUCUAAAAUAAUCACCAAGCUCAUCCCGGGAAAAGCGGUCGGAGAGCAGGGCCUUCUCAAUGGCCCGCUCUAUGGUCACUUCACAGUUGAUAAUAUCGUCAGUAUUAUAUUCAUCCAACCCCACUAAAUGAAAGACGGCGCGAUUUUCUAUUUCGGCGCGAUAAUAAUAAUAGGAAUUUAAAUUUAUGAUUUGGUCUUACAGUUUCACUUAGAAUUCAAUUAAGCUGAUGUAGUUUAAAAUCAUUUUAAGAAGUUCACACAGUUUUCAAAUAAUGCAAAAUGUUGUCCAUCAAUCGGGUGUGUUCCCUGCUAAGAGAGUAUUUGGAGGAGCACUUAGAGAGCUUUUUUGUGCUUAUGAGAACAACUUUAAGAAAAUAAACUUACGGAAAAUAGCUUAUGAUUAUGACUUUACUAUAAACUCUUUUUGCAGCUUAUGAAAAUAAGUUUUUCUGUAUCUUAUUUCAAAAAAAUAUUAAGUAAGUUUUAAUUUAGUUGUUUAGAGUAAAAUGCAAAUACAGAUAGGGAUCAUUUUACAUUGCUAGGAAAUCAUAUACAAUGGCCAUUUUCAAUUGCUUGAAAAUUAUAAGGACCAUUAUUCUAAGUUUUUUGGUUUUCCACAUGUAUACUCGCACUUGAGACAAUCUUGUCCGAGUCGAGAACAUCCACAAGUAUGUGGAACUAACUCUCCCAGCGGUUAUUUUUUCCAUCACAAGACUCGAACCCGAAACCUUGCUUAAAGGAAAUCAAGCAUUUACCGCUUGAACCAACACUCAUUGCAAGGAAGGAAUAAACUUAAAGUGAAACUAUACGGACUUAUGAAGCAUACAAGUGAUUCAACAUAACAAAAAUCAUACAAUCUUUUAUACAUAAGAAAAAAUAGGUUUUUUUUUUAAUUUUUUUUUUUUUUGCAAAAUCGGGCAUGGUUGAAAUAUAGCACAUUGUGUAUUUGAGCAAAAUGAGAUUUUGAAGAAACCGAAAUGAUUACAUAAACAUAAAAGUGUGUACCAGCAGUAACAGCGCCACCAGGGGAAUUGAGAUAAACGUGUAUAGGUUUGGAAGGAUUUUCAGAUUCAAGAAAGAGAAGCUGAGCAACAACAACAUGUGCAGUAUCAUCAGUUAUAGGACCAUUGAUGCAGACAAUACGUUCCUUAAGAAGACGAGAGAAUAUAUCAUAUGCUCUUUCUCCUCUAGAAGAAUGCUCUAUCACCAUUGGAAUCAGGCUAUAUGAACGAUUAUGAUGAAGAUUAUUGAAUUGUGAGAAUUGGUUUGUUGUUGCUCCAUUGAAGAGGAGUUUCUUUGCAAUUAGCUUUGAACUCGAAAGGAUUCCUCUCAUGGCUGCUUCAAUUGAUUUUGGAUUAGGGCUUCUCUCUAACUUGUUCAGGAAUCAGAAUGUUAUGUAAUCCCCCUUUCUUUGUUUAUUAUUUUCGGGAUAAACUUACUCCCAAGAGUUUUAAACCUACUUUUAAGAUAAUGAGUUUUUCUCCAUUCUAGUCAUAAAUUAUAGGGAAAUAAGAUGAUUUUAGGUAAUAAGUUGAUGUUUACUCUUACUCAUAUACCUAAUAAAUUGUUUUUAGGAUAAAGUAUAUUGUACUCUUCUAAUUUAAUUUAUUUGAGUUCCUUAAUCAUCAUAUUGGAAUCUCAAUGUAAUAUUUUAUGGAGAGAUAUUUAGUAUGAAAAGAAAGUGAUCUUUUAUAACAAAUGUUGUGUAUAAGAUAUUGUUAGAUUCUCAAAAUAAUCAAAAGAUUAAUAAUUCAAUUCAUAUAAGUAACACUUAUUAAAGGGCCCCCGAAAAAAAUCAGUUUAUUACUAAAUGGUGAGGGAUAUACCCUUAAAUUUGACCAUUUAUUAGUAAGCAAAUUAAACAAUACUCCAUCUAGUAAGGAACUUAGGGACUCAAAAUAAAUAUAUUUCUUUGGUUCCUUAUCCAAAUAUAUAUAUAUAUAUAUAGUACUCAAAAUCAUUCACUAGAAUCAAUAACAAUUUCAAUUCAUAGUGACAAAAAUUAUGGCUAUAUAUUCCACCCAAGGACUUCAAAAAAAAACAUAUCCAAUCAUAACAACACACUCAACAACAUUCACUUCCUAUGACUACAUUCAACCUUGUUUCUUGACCAUUAUGUACUUACAUGCAUUAUUAAGAAACAAAAACAAAUAAACUAAAACCUUGUACAACAUUAACCAAACACCAUUAUUAACUCAUUUCAACCAAUCUUCCAAGUAUUUCUUGAACUUGUGCAACAUCCCUCUUGUAAAGAUUAACUUUAAUCCCAUUCUUCAUGUACAUAGUUAAGGAAAGCUUAGGAACCACAGGGUAAUUCUCAACAACCUUAACAUGGUAAUGAUAUAUGAUGUUUGCAGCAACAUAUUUCAUUUGGUAGUAUGCAAAAUCUUUGCCUAAACACAAACGAGGUCCACCAUUGAAGACAGUGAAUUUGUAAGCAGAUUCACUCAUGAAUUGACCAUUAUUUCUUAGCCAUCUGUUUGGUUUGAAUUCCUUGCAAUCUUUGCCCCAUAUAGCUUCCAUUCUUCCCAUUGCAUAGAUUGCAUAUAUCACUUUCAUGCCUUUCUUUAACACUGUUCCAUCUGGAAAAGUAUCAUCUUCAAUUACCUGCAAUGUCAUUAUUGAAUAGUAUCUAUCACCACAUGCAUUCACACUAGGUGCAUUCAAUAUCACUUUGAAUUCUGUGACUUUAACCUGUUGCAUUCAAUAUGCUAUGGGAUACAUUUAUAAAAUCCUUCUUUAUUUGAUUUAUUAGUACUAAUAUUUUAUCAUUUUGGGUCAGCUAUAAGAUGCAUGCUAUUUGUUAGGCAAACAGAACAUUGACUAAAUAAUAACCUUUUAGGUUCUUUUUACGAGUUGAAUUUUAGAAAGAAGAAAAUGAAAGCUUUGGAGUCAUCUCAUCAAUGUAUUUUAUGGCUCUUAGACCUUCCAUUUCUCUUACUUCCCCUCUAAAAUUCAACUCACAAAAAGUGAUUUAUACGUGUAAAAUGUGUAAUAGAUGUCAAAGAAUGGAAUCAACAUAGUUGUAGUCAUAUUUAUGAAAACAAUGAACAUGCAUUUCAGAGAAACCAUUUAAUUCACAAGAUGGAAAAAAAGGCACAUCUUCAAUCCACUCCUUGUGAUCCUAUAGAAAUCAAUAACCAAAAAUGAAGAAACUUGAACAUGCAAACUUUCUUCAACAUCAUAUAUAAUUACUACACCCUCUCACCUACUUUCUACAUUCCUUAUGUGAUUUUAGUCUCAAAUUUUAAAGAAAAAGGUAGGCAUCACAACAUGUGAAGUCCAAGGGAAAGAAUCAGUGUUGAAAAAAGGAAUUAUAGUAAAAGAUAUUAGAAAAGGGAAAAGGAAAGAGUAUGAGAAAAAAAUGAAGAGUUAGUUAAUUACCUCCUUGUGAUCCACAGGCACAGAAGGGUAUAAUCUAAGAGAUUCUGAUAAAGCAGCAUGCAAAUAAUCCAUUUUCUUAAUCUCCUCUGGCUUAAAUAUCAAAGGUUUUCCGAAUUCUUCUUUUUUCAUGUCUUUCCUCACACUCACUACCCUGCAUAUCUCUUCCAAUAUUUUAUCCUCCACUUCAGGAUUCUGAUGAAGCAACCAGAAAAACCAGCUCAAAGCCACAGAAGAAGUGUCUCUCCCGGCUAAUACAAAAUUCACACAUAUAUCUCUCAAGAACUUAUCUGAAUACGCUUUUCCAUCAUCAUCCUUCAGCUUCAUAAAGAUUGUUAACAAGUCUGAUCUUGGCUUCUUAUCCUCAUCACAGUGCAGAGAAAGUUCCUUCUUUCUAGUUCUAAUAACAUUCUCAGCAAACUCAUCAACUCCCUUUAUUGAUUCCCUCAGCUUUCUUUCCAUUCCCAAGUUGAUAAACCUCAUGAACUUCCAUAUGCAUGUCGGGGUGACGAAACGAUGCACCGUGGCUUCUGUUGCAUCCUCAAAGGCUUUUGCAAAUGGUAUCUCAGGCAAUUCUAGGCUUAAACAACCUGGAUCAACACCAAAUGCUAUCAUGCACACAUUAUCAAAAGUUAGCCUUAACAAGAUUUCUUGAAGGUCUAUGGCAACAGAUUUCUCAACACAUGAUUCUAACACAGGUAAUAGCCUUGUGUGGACAAGUUGGUAUAGAGAAUCUGUUGUUAAUUGCCUGAACUUUGUUGAAUGGAACUCUAUGCUUGCUGUUUUUCUUUGUUUCUGCCAUGUUUCAUUGUCUGCAUUGAAAAUUCCAUCUCCUAAUAGGUCUCUAACAGUAUCCUUAAAGUAAGUUCCUUUAGGGAAGUUUGUGAAGUUUGUUUUGAGAAGAUGCUCAAUGUUGCGAGGAUCCGAGGUGAUAAUGCUGUUGAGGCUGCUAAACCAAGGCCCUUUGAAUCUGAAGGUGCCAUUUUGGUGGCUGAGUAUAUCAGUGAGCCAUUCAUAUGUGUUGGUUCUGACUCCUGUGACCAAUGAAGGUAACAUUCCAAAGACAGGCCAAAUGGGUAAGCCAUGAUGUUUCUUUUGCCUAAGAGAAUGAAUGACUAUGAAGACUAUGAUUGCAAUCAUAAUCUCCAAAAUUUGGAUGUCUCGAAGGAGGAAGAGGCUGCGCGAAACGAAGUUUCCGGUGCUAAAGUGGCCAGAGGUGAGGUUGAGGUUGCUAGUACCGGUGCUAGGCUUGGUCAUCAUGGUGUUGGAAUGAUAGGGAAUGUGAAAAUGCAUGGGCUUGGUUUUGUUGAAUGUGAAGGAUAAUAUGUGUGUCUUGGUUAUGUAUGUUAUAAAUAUAUGGAAUGAUAAGUUGAUCAAUAACCUUAAAAAUGUUGUCUUUUCUUGGCGUGCUUAGUUAAAACUAUAGUCUAAUUUGGUGAGCUAAAUUGAAUACACAAUUGAGGGGUUUCCUUGUGAUUAAUUGCUUGCACUAUAUAUGAGGGAUUGUUCACUUUGCUUUGUAUAGAAAUUAUAGGAAUGUGAGUGAUAAUUGUUUGUGUUAAAUAGGAGUUACUAAUAAGGAAGUAACCUUUGUAUGUUGAGGAAGAUGAGAAGUGGGUGGGGUGGAUUACCUAAGUGAGAAUUGUUUGUAGAGUACUAAUUCUAAUGUCACAAAUUUGUGUAUAUGAUUAAAGCAUUAAUAUCUAAAUAUUGUUCUUUUUGAUUAUAUUAUAUUGAUUAUUAAUGUCAAUUUCAUAUUGAAUUGAAUAUUACAAAGAAUUGUAGGUGUCAUUUCAGGUGACACUCAGCAAACAUGAUGGAUCCUGUUCAUAUUUUUGGUCAAUACAAGUGGCUAACCCUCACAUUUUUAUACAGGCUCAACUAACCCAACAAGCAUGAAAUUGGUGUUGACCUACAUAGGUAUAAUAAAUUUUUACAUUAUGGGCUUUUUAACCUGGAAUCUUAAAACAUGAUUUUACAGUCAUUUUAAAAAAUUAAAAUUAAUCUGAAUGAUGUUGCUCUUUAUUGAUUUGUGACUGGUUUACUUUUUCAUGGGCCAUUUUAUGUAGCUAUUCAUACAUAGAUUGUUAGGAAGGCCCUAAUGAUAAUAAUAAAUUGUUAGAAAAGUAGUCUGCCAAAAAUAAAAAAUAAAAAAACAGAAAUCAAUCCUUUAAAUUAAAUAUCCAAAUAAUGAUGAGUAGUGCAGCUUUUAUGAUUGAACAGAAAGAAACAAUGGCUCCAUAAAGCCACUAUGUGAAAAGGUGGGCUUGAAUUUCUACAGUAACUGUUGGCUACUAUUGGUCAUUGACUAGUUCAAUCUUCUCUACUCAAGUCCUCAUCUUCAUCCACUGGAACAUACCAUUCUGGCCACUGCUUAGAGUUGUUGAACCUGUAGUUCAUGAGGAGUUCCUCAUCUUGAAGAGCUCUAGUUGCUACCAAAACAAGAGUUUUUAGAGUAGGAACAUGUGUUUCACUAUCUUUUGACAAUUUAGAUUUGGACCAAAACCUAUCAAAACUCUUCACAUUUUCUUCUUCAUUUCCAAAUAAUAUAUUAGGAAUGUAAAGCCUCAUGUUAUUUUCAGUCAAUGGAAAGUCAUAAUGACAAAUCAUGACAUUUGGAAGCAUCCCUUUAGCAGGGUGAUUAGCAAAGUGACCUAAAGCUAAAGGGUUUCUACCCUCAACUACAUCAUCACAAUUAUCUAUGUUUGUGCCUUCCAAAGGCUCACUCUGGCUGUCUGAGCCUUUCCCAGCUUCUUCCAUAUCAGCCUUAUUUUCUAACAUUUUUCUACCAUUCCACACUCCUUGCCCGUCACCUCCAGAAAUCCAAGGUUGGGCAUCAAUGAUCAUCCCAUCAUAUCUUGAAAUCAAAUACGGGUUCUGCUCGUUGAGGUAGCCAGGAAUGUGACCAUAGUAAACUGGAGAGUAGACUACACCAGGAUAAAAGGCUACCACUGAACCAACAUCUACUUCACCAUCCAAAAAUAGACCUUGGCCAGAAUCCUUGUGAGAUAUUUGAGAAGGUUUAACAUUAAGUGUGUAGCCAAGUUGAUCCUUUAACUUCUGAGAAAUUUCAGCUUGGCUUAAUGGUCUUUGCUUAAGGAUGGCUGCAAACAGCACAUCGGUAAUGAGUGAAUAGAUUAAACAGGAAAAAAUAGAUAAGUUAUGAAAAAUAUGAAACACAUAAAUAAAGGUAUGAUGGGAAAAUAGAAGAAUAGGCUCUUUCUCUUGGAUGAAAAAUAAAAUAGACUAAUUUUCUAUACCACGAUCACUUGCUUCUGGAGAUGACCCAAGGGGGUCAUUCACAAGAACUUCAUCCAUGAACGUGCAAAAUGUUCUAAUUUGAGAAUGAACAUUUUCUUGUACUUGCAUCUGUUGGAUGGCAACAGAGGAUUUACUAGCCAUCUCAAUAAUCUGUUCUGCAUCUGAUUCAUCGGCAUUCUUCCCCAACAGAUUGUAGCUGGAUAUUUAAGUCUUUGCAUGAGCAAAAAAUGUCAAGAUGAAGGAAAACUAUCACAUACACAACAAGAUUGAAAUAAUCAGCAUUUACGUUACGUGAACCAACAAAAGCAUCAAAUAGAAAACAAUUUAUCGAUGUAAUCUUAACAUUGAAACCUAACAUAUCAAUUUCAAAAUAAACUUAAUCCUUGUGCAUUUUAUUCAAGUUCCUUUAUUCUUUUAAUGCUUUGGAGGAUACAUUGGCCUCAAAUUUGCUGUAAUUUCCUUCUUAUAUAUUUAAUAACCAAAAUACCACUGGUCUCUGCAAGAGCAUUAAAAACUUUAGCAUUGCUUAUCUCUUUAACAUGAAGAAGUUAAAUGUGGAUUUCAGUUUAACCAGAUGGCCACUCCAUUUUUUAUAGACAUUAAAAUACUCUGUCAACUCCACAGAAGGAAUAGAAAGAACAAAAGGGGGCAAGAAAGUAAGUUUGAAUAGGUCAAUAAAUCAAACAAAUGAAGAUAUACCGAAGAAUAAGAGGGCGUUCGGUUCAAAUUGUUUUUUAUGAAAAACAGUAGAUGCUGCAAAACAAUAAUCCGUAGAGGAGAAAGGUGCUUGGCAACAACACAAGUGGUUUUCUAAAGCUGUUUUUUUGGGUGAAAAAACAUCGAAAUUUUUAAGCUAAAUGUUUUAACAUUAAGAUUAUCUUAAACCUGAUAAUCAUAUUUUUUCGAAUCUAACCAAACACACCCAGAGAUUUGACAAUCUAACAAAUAAGAGAAGAAGAAAAAUUCAUGGCACAUAAUUAAUUCACCCUAAUUAUUUAUUAUAAAAUAUAGACAGCAGAAAAAUACUGACCUUGUAUAAAGGAACAAGCGAUUAAUGUCAGCUUCAAAUUGUAGUUGUCUUGUAUCCCUGGCAAAAGUAGGACUUUUUGCAAUAGUGGGACUUUUUGCAAGGACUUUCAUACCCUGGAAAUAAAUUCAGAUUUUUGUGAUAAACUAUAGUUUAGCAUAUCAUAAAACUACGGAGAAAUAAUAAACCACUAAUCCCUGUAAGACCUAACACUAUAACCAGCAGAAGGUAAGAUAUCAUACUUCCAUCAAACAAGUACCUAGUCAUUCCUACAAGAGCACUGAAUGGUGAACAUUGAGAUGGAACAGCAAUCCCUAACACAUUGCAUACUAUGUUAUGCUCAGAAUCAACUUACAUUACUCAUUCUAGACCACAUAGUCAUUCAUAAGGGAUUAAGAUUAACACAACAUUUUCUUACUUGCUCUUCUUUUCUCCAUAUUGCGUACUAUAAUUUAAUAUAUGAUAAAUAAUAACAACACUUUUCACAUUUUGUGGCUUAUUCACAGCAAAAGCUAAUUAAUUUUCAUGUAUAAGAUAAGGAGAUACCUCUAGAAAUUUAAGAAACAAAAAAGCCAUUGGUGAUCCGCGGAGAAGUAAGCUCCUACUCUCAGUCAAAUACGCCGUUUACGCAUAUCAGGUUUCAAACGCCGGAAAUGAACUGUCAAAGAAAAGAGAGGCUCAACAUCAAUUAUAAAGUGGCAACUUGAGUUUCAAAAAAGAAAACUUGUUACAUCCAAGAAAACUAAACCAUACUUAAACACACAUAUAAAUAAAAUUAACCUAGGAAAAGGUCGAAGUAAGAGAUAGAAAAUAAACAAUAACAACUACCGAGUCUUUAUCCCACUAGCUGGGGUCGGAAAUGGAGUGAAAUAAAAGCGGAAAAUAAUCAUUGCAACCUUCUAAGAAACUUAUCAACACUAUCUCCUUCAUAAUCAUCUCUAUUAAUCAAAAUAAGUAGCUAAACCCAAGUGCAUUACCAGAAUUGUUCAUCCAUAAAAAACAAUAACCCCAACUUGUAAUAAAAACCUAAUAACACUAGUGGUAACAUUCAUGAAAAAUCAAAUAGUUGAAAACCUACAAAGGUAGUAAAAGAAUCUCAGUAUUAAUUGUUCAGAGACCAAAACAUGUAUUUGACCUUUCUAUCAAUUAAAAGAAAAUAAAUAAGGUAGAAAAAACAGUUGAAGAGAUGAGAGAAGAGGAGAGAGAUAGAAUAAGAGAAAUAAGUCGUUAAAAUGGAGGGUGGGUACACACGAUGAAGAUUUGAAAAGAGUGAAGCAUGAAAGGAAGAAGCUAAGCUAAUCAGUAAUGAAAAAUGAAGGUGGGUGGUGCUAUUAACUAUUUGCUCCGGCCCAAGUUUUUACAUUCACAAAUUCAAUUUUUUUUUGUUUCUUCGCACGCAGACAAUCUUGUUCGAGCCAGAAACAUCCACAAGAAUGUGAGGCUAACUCUUCCAACGAGUAUUUUUUCCAUCCACAAGACUCGAACCCAAGUUUUUGUUUAAGGGGAAUCAUGUACCACUUGAACUAACGUCCGUUGGUAUUCACAAAUUCAAUUGGACCAAUUUAAAAAUUCAAAUUAAUCUCAAUUAUGUACAUCUUUUACCUGGGUACCACUUCUAAUUUUUUUAUUUAUAUUGUCAAUACAUUAUUUAUAUAUACAAUAAUAAAAAUAAAUGAUAGUAUAUAAAUAUUAAACUCAUUAAUUAAUAUAAUUUAUGAAUGAUAAAAAUGAUUUUUACUUAAUAAAGAGUAAUGUUAUUGUAUUGAAUGAUCAAAAAGUGAGCUUGUCCACUAUGUUUUAGUUUUGCUGUUUUUAUCCAUUUGUAAAGUGGUGCACCGAAAUCAUUCUUAAUGGGGAUUUGUGUUCCAUAUCCAGUGACUAAAGAAGAAAGAAUGCUUAACAUUGAAUGACAGUACAUGAUAUCUAUUUGCUCCAGCCUCUAGAUAUAGCCCACAAGACACCAGAAAAACUGACUAAUUUUGCUAAUAUUGCAUCAUUCUACGUGAUGUGGUUUAUAUCAGUGUUGCUCUAUAGCUGCUUCACCAAUCACCAUCUGCAUCCUGUGGUGUUUUCUAUCCAAUGUGAUUGGCUGAGGUACAAACUUCAAUUACACUCCUCAUUCCAAAACUUGAAUAGUUAGACAUAAACAAUACAACUCUACAAGUAAAAGCUUCAGAUGAUUUGUGAUGUGUAGAUAAUUCACAUGAUUUGUACAUCAUAUCAACUUCCAUUCUAAAUGAGUUAUACUUUUCCUUAACAUCAAUGUUUUCCUUUUCCUUUAAGAUAUUUAAGGCAGCCCAGCAAAGUCUCUAGCUGUUUAUUGAUUUCUAAGGCCUAUGAUACACAAGUAUAUCCUCAGAUGACUGAAUAAACUCCCUUGGAACAUAAAGAAUGAAGGCAAUUAACUAAAACUAGUUCAUUUACUGUUAUGACAAAGCAAAAUUCAUGAACACAAGCAUCAUGUAUAACAGUCAUAUUCACCUGACAACAUAAAUUAAAUAGUUGAGGUUAACUAAACCAGUAGUGAGAACAAACAUUUUCAUUUAGAACCAAAAUCGAAGUUAAGAGGCCUGUGAUGGGCUGCCACGAGCAGCACGUUUUUCAAGUGCCUUCAACCUAUUUGCUUCCAUCCGAGCUCUCUGCUCUUCUGUUAUCUCAGUACGCCUUUCUAGUGCCUUCAACCUAUUUGCUUCCAUACGAGAUUUCUGUUCUUCUGUUAUCUCAGCUUUUCCAGACAGGCUGACUCCAUCACUUGGGACUUCAUUAGAUGUCUCUUCAGUUGCCAUAGUUUUGGAAGCCCUGCUAGGGUCAAUUGAAGUGUGCAUUGACUGAGAAGGUUCCUGCAAUAAAAUGGCAUACAUUCCUCAGUUAAAACUUUGGCAACAGUUCCAUGUUUACAAUUUUUAUAUGACAAUUUGGUUUAGUUGGAAAGUUACAAAUGACAGGCCAUCUACAACUAUAGCUUUUCAGUAAAUAAAAUGUUUCUGAAGAGGCAAAAGAGCUAAUACAAUCUGACAUCAUAACAUAUUAAUUAAUGAGUCUGAUUUCUAUUUUAUAAACAAUCAUCACAUCAUUCACCAUUCAUUUGUAUUACUUAUAUUUAAAAGUCAAUAAUGAUUAAAUAUGGAUGAUGCACUAAUACGGUAAAAACUUCUAUAGUAUCCAUGCAUACAUUUUUUUCUCAAAAUUAAUGAAGCCAUAAACUUAAAGAAACAAGAGAUAUAAGAGGAUAAAAAGAAUAUAAACCAGAUGUAGUAUAGUAGUCUACGAAAAAUGAAACCAUUCAAGAGCAUGAAGUUGUAUGUAGCUGGUGCCAUUACUCUAGCAGACUAGCACUCUUGUAUCACUGUUGUCACUUUUUCAGUAUGUUACUGAUUAAGGUUAACUAAACCUGAGUUGAACUUUUUCAAAAAAAAAUCAGAUUACACAAUCUUCACAAAAUUUUCCGAGAACCAGCAUCCCUGAAUGAUAAUUUUACAUCCCUUUCACCAUGACAGCUUUAGAUAAAUAUUGACAGAGUUCAUUUCAAAUGUGUUAUCACAAGUACAUAGAAAAUAUUACACAAUAAUAAAGAAUCUCUGUUUUGAAGACAUUACUUACUUCAGUAGCUGUAUCAUAUAUAUCAUUAAGCAUGUCUUCUUGAAUGUCUUGAAUGUCAUCAACAUUUUGGAAUGCUGAAAACACAUCAUCCCCUUGUUGACUUGCUUCCACAUCUCCUGCAAAUACAUCAAAGUCUUCUCAAAACAAGUAUUUAGCAAGGAUGCAUAAGAAUGUGAAUAAAUAAAGCCUAAUAAUUCUUCUGCUCAAUCAUCAUAGCAAUAUUGCAGUGAAUUAUAUAGAAGCAACUGGCUACCAAAUUUGAAGUAUGAAAGAUAAAAUCCCCUGUAAAGUUUGUCAAAAUUGAGAUCCUAUUGGAGAUGGUUAGUGAGCUCCAAAUAUCAGAUUGUUCAUCAUAAGAUCCUACCUCUUAUGCAACUUAACAUUAUGAAAUACAUAUAUUAAAACAAAAUGAAAAUUUCAAGGUAUUCUUUGUAGUAAUAUUUUUUCAACAUUCAUUAAGUAGUUGAGUUGAUACUUGUUCCUGAAUGAAAAUAAUACUCAAUACAUUCUCAGUUCUAGGUUCUCUUUCAUUAUAAACAUGAGAUCCAAGAAAACAACGGUGAAUAAAACUGAUAUAAGUACCUUGUUCAUCAGGUAGAAAGUCAUCCACAACUGGUGGUUCACGCAGUUUUGUUGGAUCUCCACCAUCCGCAACUCUUUCUCUCAAUUCUCGAAGGCAAGUCUAGUUGAAGUGUGAAAGUGGAUGAAAAUCGAACAGAUUAAGUAUAAAUUGUGAAUUGAAUGUAAAAGUAAGAACAACGAAGCGUGAUUAGGAUGAGUGAAUGUACCUUGAUGCGCCUAGUGGCAGCAACUUUCUCGAGUUUAGAAACGAAUUGAGGGAAAGAGUAAUAAGGGAGGAGGCGAGAGUGCCAAUCGGAGUAUAAGUGAAGGAGAUUACCGAGAUCGGAAACCUCGUGGCCACGACCGCGAUAUUUGAAGUGUGAAGGGAAAUGGCGAAGAACGUAACCGAAACCAUCGUCGGAGAGGAGAAGAUCGGGGGUAAGUUUGGGCCUAGUUCGCGGAAGCUUCUUCGGCUUCUCAGAAGACGGAACAGAAGGAUUAGUAUUAGGAUUAGGAUUUGGCUUGAUCGGGUUAGGAUUAGGAUUUGGAUUUAGAUUCGGAGAGAAAGGGCAAUCACGUGACCAGUGACCUGGCUUACCGCACUUGUAACAACCCGUUGCUGUUCCUUUUCCUUCCAUUCUCUCUCAUUUCUCUUUCUUUCACUCGACAAAGGGGUUUUUCUACUCUUCCCUUUUGGCGGGAUUGGGCGGGAAAUACACCUCCCAAAUCUCAAUUAUUGUUUUUAUUUUAUGAAUUCUAAUUAUAUAAAUGUAGUAAAAUGAUGUAUGAUACUAUAUGUUUGUAUAGGUCAAAAUAUUAAAAAGUUCGAUUAACAUUCAUCGGAAUGGAUAUUUAACUAAUUACUUAAUAUUGUAUAACUUAAUCUGUCCAGUCUAGUGCCAAUGUGAAAGCAAUCUUGUUUACUACACCAAAAGUGGGCUAUUUCUGUCUCCACAUAUGAUCCCUACUGAAAAUAAGCCCAUUACUAUACACCCAUCUCACCCAAAAUAUUACAUAUGUUGCGUCAAAUCUAUUAACAAUAUAAUAAAAAAAACUUUCUUAUGCCACAUUUCACUCUCUCAUUCCCUCAUGUCACAUGUCACUUUCUCAUUCCCUCAUGUCACAUGUCACUUUCUCAUUCCCUCAUGUCACAUGUCACUUUCUCCUUACAUUUUUUCCUUCAUGCCACAUGUCACCUCCUCUUCACAUAUUUUCUUCCUACUUUUUAUAUAUUAUAUAUUUUAUAUGCUAAUAAUAAUUUAAUAUUAAUUACUGAUUGGUUCAUGUCGCUACUCCACUAAAAUUGAGUGUUUACAACAUCUAUGUUUUGUUAUGUUAAAAAGUAAUAGUCAUUGAACAUUAGAUGAAACUGAAAUCAUUUUUCACAUUCAAAUUAUUUCUUUACAUUAAUCUAUCUAUAUAAUUUAAUGUUUACCAUNNNNNNNNNNNNNNNNNNNNNNNNNNNNNNNNNNNNNNNNNNNNNNNNNNNNNNNNNNNNNNNNNNNNNNNNNNNNNNNNNNNNNNNNNNNNNNNNNNNNUAUGACUUUAUAUGAUACUUAUAAACGUAAUCACAAAAAAUAUGAUGCAAAAAUAAUUUCUUAUAUUUAUAAUUUUAUAUAGAGAAUAUAGAGGUGAGAUAUUAUCCAAUACAAUUUGAAUUUUAUUUAUUGAGUUAUUUAAGAAUCAAAUAUUUUCUAUAAUCACACUUUCAACAAAUAAAUGCUUAUACAAACACAUUUAUAAUUGUUAAUAUUGCACCUCUAUGAAUGAGAAAUAUAAUGUUUCAAUACAUGAUUUAUUAAUAUUAUAAAGUAUAUGUAUAUUAUAUUUGCAUUAUGCAUAAAUAAAGAAGCGACUCGUGCAAAUGCACGGGUACACUGCAAGUUGCUCAUAUAUAGAUUUGUUGCACAUAAAUUAUUGGCUAAUGAGUACCUUAAAUUGACAUGUAAUAUAUAUAGAUGAGAGAUUCGUUUACAUCUAAUUUAACUUACAUUAAUUAUACUUAAUCUCGGUUAUUCAUUUUCUUAAAUUUAAUGGAACAAAUGAGUGACUGAAAUAAAUGAUGAUAAAGAAAAAGAGAAAUCUUAAAUAAAUUUUAAGUUUCACUCAUUUGGUAUGUUAUAAGAAUAUGAAUAACUGAGAUUAAGUAUAAAUAAUGUAACUUAAGUCAGGUGUAAACGGAUUCCUCCUCUUAUAUAUAUACAUAUGAGGUGGUAAAACCUUAAAAUAUUGUAGUUCUUAAUUACUAGUAUGACAGGUAAUAAAAUUGUAUAGGAAUAACAACUAAUUUCAACCAAAACAGCUAAGUCAAGGAAAGGGUUGUCCAAAUAAUCAUAAACAGGUUUCUAAUACUAUACUCAACCAACAUUGGAGCUAACACUUAAUAUUAAACAUAAACAAUCUACGAAAUAUAGAACAAGCAAGUUUAAAUUAUGCCCAAGUGCAUCUUACAAGUAGGAACAUAUUGAUUUAUUUUUUUAUACUAUCAAAUAUAUUUUCUUACCUUUUGAGGUAAUGAACUAGUAUUUUCGGGGUUUAUACUGUUCCUUAUAACAAGUGUCGUUCCUAGUAAUUGAAUCAUCAAUCUUGAUAAUCCAAUUAAGCCUUACAUUAUUAAGCCUUACAUUAUUAAACGAGUAAUAUGUUGUUGUAGUUGAUUUACUAUUCUGCAUCAUACAAGUCACAUCCUCACCACAAUUCUUUGUCUAUUUUCAAUUACUUUAUAUUGUUUCGAAUGGGAAAGAUUAACGUAUACGUAGACUUGUAAUACAUAUAAUGCCAAAGUUUAAACUAGAACAUAUUUCCAAAACUAUUGUGUAGUUUAUUAGUUAGUUGAGUAGCUUAUUUGAUUAAGAAAAAAAAGUUAUAUAAUAGUUUGGUAAAGUGCUUUAAUUGAAUAAGCUAUUAACUUAUAACCUCAAGUUUAAUAAGUUAGUAGAGGUAACUAUACAAUUAAGCUAAGGAUUGCAUAAUUCUUAUCCAUAUCAACUAAUUAUAUGAAGUAGUUUCAAUUCCACAAACUUUUUAGAUACUAAUUAACUAUGGAGUUUUUAGUUAGAUAUCAGCUAGUUAGAGCCUUCACUAAAAACAAAUGAUUCCAAAGUUAAAACAUUAUAUAUAAAUGGUUUAUUUAUCAUUUUAGUUGAAUGUAUUAUUUGCUCUUGUUUCUUUCACCAUACAUCCUCUCAACUUAUUUAAUAUUGAUUGAAUUAGGAUUCUCUAUCCAUUUGUCUUAAGUCAAUCAAAUCUUAUCAAAUAAUAUAAAAAAAAACAUUUUUAGUUAUUAUGAUUUUUUAUUUUUAAGCAUGCGACAACUUUCGAUUGGAUUAUGAUACAAUGUGAUAUAGAAAGUGGAAUAGGUGAUCUCCAUCCAUAUAGAUGAUUCCAGCCGACAAAGCGGAUAGAAUCUUCCAUUCCAGCUAGACUCAGGUAUAGACAUUUUUGUGGUCUUACUUUGAGUUAUUUUGUGAAGAUUAUACGAUUGAGUUUGAAGGCAAAGAAAUUUAUGUAUAGAUAAGAUACGUAAUGUAUGAUGUAUAUAUGUGGUUGUCCUUACCUGAAUUUUCAAUGAUUUCAACCCAAAGCUAUUGACUACCCCGCAAAUUAGGCCCUUCUUUAUACAAAGUACCACUAGCCAAAGCUUUGAAUACUCCAUUUCAAGCCUUUAUUACAUGUAUGAUUACUUCAAACACAAAUGUUACAAAAACAAACAAAAAAUACAUAUUUUAGGAGACAUUUAUCUUUUUAAUUAUAAUGAAAUAACAUUUUUAUUAUUAAAAAUAGAAGAAGAAACAAUAACUCUUAUAUCUAAUACUAUAAAUGAUAUCUGUAUAUGAUUUGACAUAUUUCUAAGAGGGCAAUGGAAAUAUCCAUAAGUAUAAAGUUUAUGUUGGAAAUUGUGUAUUUAAAAUUUAAAAGUUAAUAUUUUAAGUUUUAUAAUAUUCAUUUUACGCCUUUAGUUUAUGGUCCAUCGUGUUAGAUACCAACCCUUUUAUCAAUGAAUAUGAUUUAUAAUGAAGUAUUAUAAUGUAAUUUGAUCCAUCUAACCAUCUAUAUUUAAUAAGAUUAAAGUUUGAUUAUUGUAUAAAGAUAUUAUUGGAUAAGAAAUUUUUAAAUGAAAAACAAUCUUAUAUCGACUAGAUUUGACACUCUUUUGAGAGCCAUAUUUGAUAUGAGCAGAGUGGGAGUGAACCCAAACCUUAGAAUUAUUAUAUGUAAAAUUGAAACAAAUUGAUUAUAUAUACACACUAUAUAUGUGUAUGUGAGUGAAAUGUCAUAUACACACUUAAGAUGAUGUUGCCUAAGAAAAUUUUCUCUUGUGAACAAUUUAAUGUGUGACAUAUUUGCUAUUACCCUACAUACAUAAUUGAGGGGUGGACUUAUUAACAUGGCAUUAAGUAAGAAAAUUGUUGUUUAUAGUGAAAGCAAUAAUGAAUAUUUAAUGCCCCUUUUUAUAGUUCAUAGACCCAAACUAACUCUUGUUUACAGUGAAAGCAACAAUGAAUACCAAAUACCCUUUUUAUAGUUUAUACUUCCCAAACUCACUAAAAGCAUGCUUCCAAAAUGGGGCAUGUCAAUCGCUUUUGGGAAUAGCAAUUUUUUUUGUUUUAGAGAUAAAGCAACAAUAGCUAUUGGUCACAACACACACGACUCUUACCUAUUUUUUCAGAACCUGUUGUGGGCGGUGUCUCACUCUAUAUCUCAGGUCAAUUAGAAUAUUAUCUUUUUUUAAAUUCAUAUGUCAAUAUGUGAUUGGUUAGAUACAAGUUAUCUUGAUCUGUUUUUCGAACCAUCUUUCAUUAUUUAAACGAAAGCCCACCCCUGCUUCAAUGUGUUUGUUAAGAGACAGAGUGUCUUAGCCUUGGUCCCUAAGAGGCUGAGAAAGAGGAAUAAGGGACUAUUGGCUAUUCAAAUGGCUUUGUUUUCAACUACUUUAAAUUUUGUUCAACUUGUUAUGGUUCUUAUAUGUUUAACCAAACAUGUUUUGAGUAGUAGUUACCUUAGCCAUGAUGUAGUAGCAGAGCAAGAAGCAGAUAGAGUGCAUGGUUUACCAGGACAACCUACGGUGAAGUUCAAACAAUAUGCAGGUUAUGUCACUGUCAAUAAAACUCAUGGAAGAGCAUUGUUCUAUUGGUUCUUUGAAUCCACUGAGAAAUCACAAGAUAAACCUCUUCUUCUAUGGCUCAAUGGAGGUAUUUUUUCAACUCCUAAACUAUAACCUAUACAUCAUAUAAUACUUUCUAUCUACUACAACUUUUCGAGCUAGAUUAAUCGAUUAACUUCUCUUUACGAAGUGGUGAUGUUAAUUUUCACUACAAUAUCUUAUAUUAUGAAUUUUAUGAAUGAUUGAGCUAAUGUUGUUGUAUAUUCAUAUAUUUCGUAUUACAUUAUUAGGAAGAAGACUAUCAUAUAGUCUUUCUGAUAUUUUUGUAAUUCCGAAUGAAAUUAGUUGAAGAUAAAAAAUUAAAAAAUUCUGCAAAAGAUAAUUCUAUGAAACACGAUUGUUACCUCUAACCUCAAUAGACUUAAUAAUAAUAUAUAUAUUUUUGUAUUAUUAAGACUAUCAUUUUACUCGGUAAUAACUAACUUAACUACGAUAUGAAAAAAAAUGAAUUAGUAACAAAUUAAAGACAAUCACUUAUCUUUUAUCUUUUCAUUAUCGUCAUCAUUAACUAUCGUAUGUUGUUGCGAUCUAUGACCACCUCUAUUGUUAUUAUUGCUGCCACCAACCAUCAUCAUAAUAUUCACUAUCAUCAACAUAAUCGUCUUCGCCGCCACUACCACCACAACCAAUAUCGCUGCCAUCCCUCCAAAAUUACCAUUAAUGUUGACACUAAUAUCUCCAUUGCUUCUAGCAUCAUAUCCAUUGUUGCCAACAUUGUAGCCACUACCACUUUCGUGUCAUCACCAUCAUUAUUGUAGUGCCUUUUUUUUCAAUUUUGUACUUUUGUUAUGCAUCAACUACUAAAAUGUACACCAUGAACUAGAGUAUCUUUAAAGCCUUCAUUUGUGAAGCCAAAAUAAGAUUGUAAGAGAUUCAAAGUGAUAUUAGAACUUGAUUGAUCUAUGAGAUAUUAUAUAUAUAUAUAUAUAUAUACUUUAACUAUAAAAUUAUGAGUUAAUAAAGAGUGUGAAAUGUGGAUAAGUAAUUGAGAGUGGUUGCUGGCCUAGUCCACCUAUAAGAUAACAAAAAAAUAUUUAUUUGUAUGAUGCAUUUAUAUAAUUUACGUAAUAUUUUUCAUUUUAUUUAGUCUUUCAGUAAUUUUCAAAUUAACCAUUUUCAUGACAAAUUAAGAGAUGUUAAUUCCAAAAAAAAAUAUACUAAUUUGACAUAGCAAGAUUUUUGAUGAUGAAUUUUAUGUUUUCAACUUUCAAAGGAAUUAAAUGGUUACACGUGAACAUCUUACAGUACCAAAGUUAAUGCUCAUUACAUUAUUUAUUAGUUAAUUUUGGAAAGAAGAACCAAACAAAAAAUAACAGGAGAAAAAAGAAAGCAAAAUAUUGAAUGAAAUAAAAAUAAAAGAAUAAAUAUUGCAUGAAGAUAAAGAUAAGUGAGCAUGCGAGUAAUACACAUUUGACCAGUCUUUAGUAGGUAGCUUCAAGUUGCAUGUUGAAUCAGAAACAGCCAUAAUGAAAUUGGGUACAACUAAUAAAUAUUGCUUUCAACUCAAGUCAAAAACUACUUUUUUUUUCCUUGCUGCUCAUAAUAUCACAAACAAACUGCAUCAGAUUACAUGUUUCGAAUGGUAUCUCAAUCUAUAUUUUAAGUCAAUUAAAAUGUGGUUUUUUAUUAUUUUUUAUUUUAGAAUUUUUUUUUUAUUUAUGUGAUAAAAUAUAAUAGGUUUGUGAUAGAGAAUGAAACAUGAUUUGAGACAUAUAAUCAUUGUCCAUAGCAUGGAAGAAAACUUUAGAUCAUUCACGCCCAUAACUAGCGCAUGAAUCAAUAUCAUGUAAACUUUCCACUCUGCUUAAUAUUUAACUUUUUUAUUCAUGCAUUUCUAUUAAUAAAUUUACUAUUUCUAAUGUUUUCAAAACCUAUAUGAUAUUGUUGUGAGGUAUAAAAAUAUUGUUGUCAUUUUUCCUUCCAUCUUUUAGCAAAGGAUAAGUCAAAGUCAUUUAUGUUAUAUUACAUCUAUAGUUUAUUGAUUUUGUAUAUUUGAAAAGACUGUGUAUUAAGUUUUUUAAAUUUAUUUCUCAUCUUAACUAUCAAUUUUAUGAACAUCUAAUGAUACUCGCUAAUUCAAACUAUUGAAUUUCUCUAAAAUUGAUGGUCAUAAUGAUAAGUAAGUUUUAGAUUAUAAGUAACUAUAUCCCUUCCCAAAGUGUAUUCCCCAACAAAGGGAAUUAUGGAGGACCAACUAAAAUAGUAAUGAUAUUAUAGAAGUUUCUAGCCAAGAAUUAUUACAGGUAAUCUCAAUGAAGUAAAGAACAAAAUGGACUUUCAUAAACAAUUAAAUUAUAAUCUAAUUAAACAAAAUUAUAAGUUGGACCACAUGACGUGACCCAAUACAAAAAGCCUUUAAAAAUCUUAUUAAAAAAGUUGCAUUUUCAUCUUUUAAAAAUAAAAUUUUGACUUUCUAUUAAAACUUUUACUUCAAGUCUAGUUCUGGGUGCUAUUAAUCCGGGAUGAGUAUCACAUGUCCUUGUUUCUGUCAUACUUGUUGUCCCUGUCAAAUCAGAAAAUCUUAUAUAUACAUUAUUUUAUAAAGUUUGAUUGGUUUGAUUUCAGGUCAAGGUUGUUCCUCCGUUGGCUACGGAGAAGCCGAGGAGCUGGGACCCUUCUUUCCUCAGAAAAGCAACCACCCAAAGUUAAAGUUGAAUCCCUAUUCUUGGAACAAAGGUUGGUGUGAUCAAUGUGAUGAUAAUCUUCAACUUUCACUCUAUUCCAAAACAUGCAUUUUUAUAACCCCAAUGUGCAUGGUUCUAUAACUUAUGAAGUUAACAUAGUACUACAUCUUUUUACUUCCUAUGUUUUCUUCUAUAUAAAUAUCAAUAAUAACGACUAACCCCUUUUACUACUAGAAACUAAUAACAUAAUACGAUUUCUCAUAUUCACAUACACUAUUAUUUCCAUCGAUACAGUAUAUUUCAACAAUUCCUUAAGCAUUUUGAUUUCUACAGCUACAAAUCUUUUGUUUGUGGAAUCUCCUGUUGGUGUGGGAUUCUCAUACACCAAUACUAGCAGUGAUAUCAAUGAACUUGGUGACACAAUUACUGGUAAUUUUGCUAUAUGCCUAACCAUUAUUUCAUACAUUUCUUUUUCAUACUUGGUGAUUUAAUUUCUUGAUGUGAAAUUGUAUAAUCAAUGUCUAUGUCCAGCUAAGGAUUCACACAACUUUGUUAUCAAUUGGUUUAAGCGAUUUCCACAGUUCAGAUCACACGAAUUCUACAUUGCAGGUGAAAGCUAUGCAGGUAUAUAAGUAAUUGUAAAACACACUACAUUUAAUUUCUUUGUGAAAUAAUAUAUUUGCUUUUGGUUUAUAUAUAUAUGAUGAUGAUUACAUUUCAGGGCACUAUGUUCCACAACUUUCUGAGCUCAUUUUGGAUAAUAAUCAUAAUCCAACCAAGGAAGAUUACAUUAACUUUAAAGGGUUUCUGGUGAAUAAAUAAUCUUCUUCUUUCAUCAAGCACUAUGUAGAAUAAAUUAAAAGUCUAAAAAUUGAAAUGAAUUAUUGUUAAUUUGACAGAUUGGAAAUGCAUUGUUGGAUGAUGAAACAGAUCAAAAGGGUAUGAUAGAUUAUGCAUGGGAUCAUGCUGUAAUAUCUGAUGGUUUAUACCAUAAUAUCACAACAGCAUGCAACUUCAGUCUUCCAAAUAGUUCAGAUGCAUGCACAAUGGAACUUGAUAAGUACUUUGAUGUGUAUAAGCUUAUUGACAUGUAUAGCUUAUAUGCUCCAAGGUGUUUCAGCAACCAAAGUAGCACUACAAGGGAACCCCAUGUUAUCAAAGGCGUAGCUCCUCACACUUUUUCCAAAUUUGUGAGCUUUUUUCAACUUAACUAUGUUUCUCUACAGAAUAAAAUUCCACUUAAACUAGUUAACUUAAAUAUUGAAUAUUGGGUAAAAAACAAUAGUACAUCAUUUGAUUGUGGCAAUGACAACAUCCAUCCAUGUUUUAAAUUGCGGUUGUAAUUACAAGUGCAGUCAUUAUGAUAUAAAUUAUUUUGUGAGUAAAUGCGGCCAUUAUUAUAUUAUGAUCACCACAACUGCAAUAUUGUGACCGCAUCAUGUGAUGUGGUGCGCAAUUUGAAUCUACGCGGCAAGAUUAACAAUCACAUUUUGUUUUUGUAUCUAUAAAAAACUACUACUUGUAUAUUGUGCACAAAACUCUAUAGCACACAUAUAUAAAUAACAUAGAAAUAAGUGAAAUAACAUUAGUUGCAGAUUGAAGUGGAAGAUAUGAUUUGACAGAACAUUUGAUUGAGAAUGUUGGGUUUGUGAAUUUGAACAGGAUGGGUGGCAUAAAAUAGCAGCAGCAGGAUAUGAUCCUUGUGCAUCAGAUUACACAGAAGUGUAUCUAAAUAGGCCAGAAGUACAAAAGGCAUUGCAUGCCAAUGUCACCAAAAUUCCUUAUCCAUGGACUCAUUGCAGGUUUUUGCUUCACUUACCAUUAGCUUCAUUAUAGUAGUUAAUAUUAUUAUAUAUGUAUUGGAAACACCAUAAAAUCAAACCUUAAUUUGUGCCAAAUAUAUUAACAUAGGUGAUAGAUAGCUAGAUAGAUAAACCAUACAUAAAUUUUGUGAUUGAUGAUGUCUUUUUGGUUGUCUUAAUUAGUGAUAAUAUCACAUUUUGGAAUGAUGCUCCACAUUCCAUCCUUCCAAUCAUUAAGAAGCUCAUUGCUGGUGGAAUUCGCAUAUGGGUUUACAGGUAAAUUGAAACAUAUUUGUUAUCUCCUUCUGAAAAUGUGACUAAACUAAUAGUCUUUUUUUUUGUGGUUGGUGCUUAUAUUCUAAGUGUUGUAUAAAUGUUACUGUGUUUUAUGUCAUGAAAGAUGGGCUUCAUUUGAUAAUUUUGUUAAUUUAUUUGUUCAUAUGCAUAGUGGAGACACAGAUGGAAGAAUUCCUGUAACUGCAACAAGAUACACACUUAGAAAACUUGGCCUCAAUGUUGUUCAAGAUUGGACUCCCUGGUAUACUAGUCAGCAGGUAAACCCUAUUUUUUCCGUGAGACAUAUGCUGUCUCAUUUAAUGUGUCACUCAAUGUAAGCAGUAUCACAUGGUAUGAUACACUCUUUUGGGAUAGAAGAUGUUUACCCGUUUUUUUCCUUUCAAAGAUGAGCUUAUUUCAAAGUUCAAACACAAGCUAUGGAGUUAUCUUUUUAUCAGGGAAUUAAAUUAAAUAAACUAAUGGCAAAAUUUGUUGUAACCCUUCUAUCAUGUACAUUUUCUUUUAACUUGUGAAUGAAGAAACAUUGUUUUUGGUGAUUUAUUUAUAAUUUUGAGUAUUUAUAGGUGGGAGGAUGGACUAUUGUUUAUGAUGGACUCACGUUUGUGACCAUAAGAGGUGCUGGUCAUCAAGUUCCUACAUUCGCUCCUAAACAAGCUCUUCAGCUAAUUCAACAUUUCUUGGAUAAUAACAAGUUACCACCUCAUCCAAUUUAAUUUAGAAAUUUCAUGUUUGUUCCACAUCAAGAUUGGGUAUUUGUUUCAUUUUUCUUUAUGAUUCAAAGUUCUAUGUUUGUUACAUUAUUCUUGUGAUUUAUUUAGUCUCAUUAAAUGUAAUUGUACCAUAAAUAUUUUCCAAUUGAUUUUCAUUGUUUACAUAGCAAAGUUGAAUAUACACUACCAUAUUGUUUGUUCUUAUUUCUUUCACAUAAUUUCACUGUCACAAAAACAUGUCUAUGCCAUGCACCACACUUUCACUGGCUACUACUGAGCUUGUGACCAUAAAAUGUUUCAUUAACGUUCCAUUCUCAUUCUAAUAGUUUUUCAAAAUGUUGAAUCUUACUACUCAAAACCAAUCCUUUGUUUUGCUAUGUUGUUUCAAUUUUUAUUAAUUUGCAUUAUUAUCAUACUGUACUUUAUGCUUCCAGACUUAGUUCUGAUAUCAUCUCUGGUAUUUGCAAGAGAGCUAAACAUAUAAUUAUUGAGAAUAUGAAGCAAAAGGUUGAGCAGUUAAUUUCAUGGAAAUUUCAACUAUAAGACAAUAGAGAUAAUGUAACAAGUUUAUAGAUAUCUCUGGGAUUCACAUUCCCUAACAGAAUAUACAGAUUUAAAUGCAAAAGGAAAAAAAUAUCAAUUGCUAAAAUGAAUACUUUAUUGGCAAAAUGUUAAAGGAGAGAGGAGGGGAUACCAAGACCAGAGUAUUGCAAGUCCUAGCAAGAGUUUACAAAUUAGUGGUGCUUAUAUAUGGCCUACAAAUCUUCUCCCCUAAGCAAUCCUGUUAUGAGAACGUUACAAAUAUGCAACUAAAUAAGAGCAAAACAUAAAGCUAUUAAAAACCCUUUUUCUAAGGGGGGAAAAUUUGUCAGAGCCGGAAACGCCAACCACUGAUUGAGUAACUGGAAAUCGAAACAUCAACUAACUGGAAACGCCAACCAUCGAUUGGUCCUUCUAACGUGACGUGCACCUAAAAACCAACUCUGUUUUGAGGAAAGUUCCAAUUGAUUCUACAUUUGAUUAGGCCUUAUUGAAAAGGAAUCGGAACACCCUGCUUCUUGUUCACUAUAGCCAUUACCUUAUAGCGAGUACCCAUCCCAAUUGGAACACACUCAUCAGGUCCUUCCCAAAAGGGGGCUUCACCAUCGCCUACAAGGCGCCAGUAUCCUGUCCUUAAAGAUUCAGCUUGUUCCUCUGUGCAAUUUUGAAGGAGUGCUUCAAUGCGGUAGUUUAUUCCAAGCGAACCAAGAAAUUGAGAUUGAGUAAUUGGUCCGUGGACAGACACUUCUCCUGUGUGGAAUAUUAAACCAGUUAGAAACUUAUCUUUAUUUUUUGACCAGAUAUGUAUGUUUUUUAUGUCUAAUUCUGAUCAUUAUUAUUUGUUACACCGGCAAUUAGAAUGUCGGAAAGCACCUGAAGCUUCCUCUGCGGAAUGCCUAAUGGAAGGAAAAUCAACAUAUGCACUGAGAUCAGCAGAUCCAGGAUCAUCUAGAAGGUCGACAAACUUAUGUUUCCGAAUUGCCUGCAGAAAUUCAUAAACCAUUGAACAAAGCAUGCUGAGGAAGGACUAACAAAAUACGAUGUACCACAUCCAAUUAAAAGAUAUACUCAGGCAUUGGACUCUCGGUGGUACUGUAACCAACACAAAAUUCAUAACGAUAACCACUAAAUAAAACUACACUGCAACUUAAUCCUCAGGAUGGCAUUAUUAUUUACAGCAUUGCAUGUAAUGGUUGGUCCCUAAUCAUGUGCAAUAGAUUUCAGUGGCAGCAUUUGCUACAAAUUACAAGCAAAAGGCAGUAUAAGAGAAAGACAGAUACUAAGGGUGAUUCUGUCCCGAUUCUAUGUUCUACAAAUUCCAAUUUGUUAAGGACUGAAAUGCAACUAGUAAUAUUGGGAAACUAGUUCCUUGAAGUGGAGAGAUAGACCUCUGAUUUAAAGGAAUUCAUUACUUCUCCACUCUCUUGUUGCCAACUGUCUUUUGCAUAACUAACUCCUAAUUGCUUUUCCCAAACCAUCCCUUCCAACUUUAGCUGCUGCCGGCUCAGAAUUAGUGUUAGGCCUCAAACCAUCCAUUACCAAGUCUGCUACUGCGGGACCAAAAUUAGUGUCAGGCCCAUCAUUUCCCUUUGUAAGCUUCUUUCUCAUGUAUAUAUGUCUUACAGCUGGUCGUGUAACACAAACAUUCAUCCAGACAAUAAGGUAUACUCCGACAAAGGGAGACUGAGAAUUAUUACCAUCACGUCUAUCAAUUUUAUCAUAAAUGUAAUCGUGUCAUGCUUAUGUUAAUAACUUUGUAGUAUACAAGACAAAACUAGGAUACAUUCAAUGAGUAGUUAAGCUAGUGAUGGUACACUUGUGGGACAGUCAGGCAGAAAACAGUAAAAAUGGUAAAGUAAUACUGUUAACGAUAAAAGGGGAAAGGGUGCUAGACCUGGAGACUGUCUGAGAUUACUUCAUUAAAGCCAUAGUCAAUGAUUAGUGCUCCACCACCAUCAGAACUUAUUCUAUUGGCGAUGGUUUCAGUUAACUCCAUUGCUUGGGGGCAAACUUCAAUUUGAUUAAGUUCUGCAAUCUCCUCAGGUGCAGCCCACUUGCACCGCUUCAAUAGAUAUAGAGUUGCAGGUGUAGGCUGUGGAGAUAGAACAAAACGAAACCUAUCCCAUAUACAUAAGAAACAUCAAUAAAGUGAACCCAGCAGAAACACAAUUUCAAGAAGCUUCAUUGCAAUACAUACGAUGAAUCUUCUGCCACAUCAACCAUUUUCUCACACCAGCCACGAGAUACUUUCUGCAGACAAAAAAAUUAUUUCAUGAAAAUGUGAUGCCAAUACCAAUGUAGAAAAGGUAAGGACACAAAAGAAGUUGGAUUUCAUUUUUCUUCUUCACAACAACUACAAAAGAUACGAGAAUGACAUAGCCUACUCUAAUCUAAAUGGAAUUAAAGAACAAGACAAAGAUUGUUUGACAAGCACAAGAUAUGUGAAGCAGAAAAUUAUUGGAAAUAUGGAAUCAUUAAGCAUGAAGAGAAGCAAAUACUUUGGCUGAAAGCAUUGAGGACCUCUAACAUCUUAUCAGCCCCUCAAUGACCAACCAGUACGAGAGCAUAUAGUUACGACAAAUCAACGUUGGAAUGAACUCGCUUUGUAAACCUAGCUAUGCGGAUUAACUCAAAUGAAAACAACAGGAAAAACAAUGCAGAAAUUACCAGUAAAAAUGGAAAGAACGGAGGAUGAAAGAAUGCUAAAGGACAAGAGGCUACUGGAAGAUAGUUCAGAGCAAAAAUAAUUGUUCCAAAUUUCAUAACUUAAGUGUGCUGCUUGAUAGAUGUUCUCGGUUUCAAUUUAUUUUGACAGCAUGAGCAUUCUAUUACCUGGAAUUGAUGGACAGGCAGGGCAUCAAAGAACUCGUGUCCAAUGAUAAUUGUUGGCACUGGAGUACAACAAACAGAGAAAUCUUAUGUUAAUGGCUUCAUGCAUAACAGAAAACAAACGCAAAUAUUCAUAUAACAAUUGGUACUGUAUUUUAAUCCAAAAGCCUAUUUUAAAUUGGAAAGAAAUACAUACAUCCUGAAGGAACCUGCUCCAUCGUAGCAUGCCAUGAUACAGGAAUUUGACUUCCAACCAAAAAGCUUAAAGUUCUUUUAUCAGUAUCCUGAGCUGCAUUUUCUUCAUCGACACAUUUCAACUUUUGGUGCUGAAUCUUCUGUAGUGCCGGACUACACUCCACCAGGUGUAUAUUCAAUGACUCAACCACGUUCUUAAAUUUUGAAACACCCUGCAAUAAGAAGUUUAAACUUCGUUUAAUCAUAACAAUAACAUAUUACCUUUUUAGUGUUUAAUCGACCACGAAACAAAUGGCCGAAACAUUUAAACAUUAUAGUUUGAUACCCGGAGAAGAUCAGCCAUAAGAGUUCCUCGUCCUGGACCUAACUCAACAAGAUUUAGUCUUUGUGGUUGACCCAUUUGCUCCCAUAAACACAUCACCCAAACACCAACCAUCUAGUUUUACAUUAACAAAAAAAAGGACAUGAACACAAAGAAAAUUGAAUUAGUGAAAAGAAGAGUGGAUAAAAGAAUUUACCUCACCAAACAUCUGGCUAACUUCAGGAGAUGUAAUAAAAUCACCUUGAGCUCCAAAAACAUCGCGGUUGAUGUAGUAUCCAGAUUUAGGGUUUGUCAGAACUUGUGACAUGUACUCACCUACUGAGAUUGGGCCUCCACGAAACUGAGAAUUCAUCAGUUAUAAAUUAAAAUAGGGUAAAUUUGAUUAAGUAAGAUAAAAAUAGUGAAGUAUUGGUGAUAGUUGAAUGGAAAUUAAGAAGGGAGAAAGUAAAACCUUGAUGAUUCCUUUGAGGUGUUUGGAGAGUUCAGAAUCGGAAUGUGGUUGAUGAGAAUGACCGGGAGGGUUGUAAAGGGAAGAACGGUCGAUUGAGAUAGAAGAAAUUGGGGUUUCGGAAUCAGAAUUGUUAGCAACGAAAGGAGAAGUUGAAGAAGAAGAAGUUGAAGAAGAAGAAAAGCGAUUAGAGAAUGAAAGAGAGAGAGGCGUUGAUGGAAAGUAGAGAUUGGAAAUGGAGGAAGCAUGGCGAACAAGUUUCCUCAACGCCAUUUUCUACUUCUUUCUUUCAACCAACACUAUUUGAUUCAUAGUUCUUAUUUGUAUAAGUAAAAGUGUCAUUUGCAAAGAUUUAUAUACGAACAGUAUAUUAUUCAUAUUUAUUUUAAUUACUUUUUUCAAAAAAUAAAAAAUUAUUUAAUGUCAAAAGUGUUAAUGAUGUAGUGAUAAUGUAUAAAUUCUUAAUUAUGAUACUUUCACAAUGAUCCUUAUAUCAUUUUUAUUCAACAGGAUCCUUGCUCUCUUACAAUACUUUCAAAAGACUUUCUUUUAUAUAAAACAAAAACAAUUUGAUCAACAUUAUUGGAAUUUCUUAUUCAAUAAACUUGGACCUGAAUUGUAAUUUGCACGUUUGAUUUUAAUCCACUCAUAUGGGAAGUGAUUCUCAUUUUAAAUCGAAUCACUAUCAUGUAAUUUCAAAAGUUGUGCUUCAAAUCUAGUAGUGUAAUGCUCGAUAUUAGGUUUCGAAAAAAACCAAAAGGUUACAAAUUCGAUUAUGGUUAGCAUCAAUGUUUGAAAAUAACAAUCACGUACCAGUUGUAGUAUUUGAACUCCUUCCACUAAAGAAAUGAGACAAGUAGCAAAAUAUUUAUUAUAUUUGAACUCCAUCCACUAAUAAUAGCUAUAAAUAAGAAAUGGAAGAAAAUUUAUAAAAUACUUUAGUUACAAGAUUAUUAAGCAAUUAUCGGCUUUUAGGUUCUCAAUUACGGCUGAGACAUUGAACUUGAUGGUUUACAAACCGAAACUUCAUGUUAGAGACUCAAUUAUAAGAGAUUAAUAAAUUCAGAGACCCUAUAAAAGAAAUUUAGAAAACCUGUUUGCAAAUCUGGUUAGUGAUGGGACCAUCCAAUUCCAUUCUCAUAAAAAGUUGUUAAAAGUGUAUAUUUUUAUAGACUAUACCCCCCACUUUAAAUUAAAACUUUCAUUUGGGUUUGUAGCAAUUUAAAUGAAAUAAUUGGUCUGAAACAUGUUUACUCAUCACCAAGUUCAUGUUAGGAAAUAAUAUUCAAAGACAACACUUUCAAGUUUCAAGUGGUUAGUGAAACCAUAACCUAGUUAGCAGCAUCUCUAAAACAUCCAAUGGAACUUUAAGUUCUGAAGUAGUCAAUGGCGUAGAGAGGGUUAUACAACUGAUGAACACUAACAAAGGGGUGGCAAAGGUUUCAUUAAUCCAUGAACAUAAAUCUGUAUCACACACAUAAGAUCCAACAGCUAACAAUCAAUAGAAAGAAUUAAAGACUAACAUUUUUCUAGGAAUGAAUGCAUGCAUCAGAAAAUUGGAAUGGAAAAGUUGUGCUUUGGACAUAUGUGAAGACGACUAUUAGAAGUCAUAGUAAUGAUAGUAGAUCAAAUGAAAGUUAGUCUAAUUUCUAGAGGCCAAAAAAAUAUGAUAUAUGGUAGAACAUAUGGUGUUGUUCGAUCUAUGUAAUCGACCCUACCUUUGGGACUAAUGCUUGGUUGUUGUUGAAGUUCAAUAUCAUCUGUUUUUUACAACAAAUGCUUGGUAGAUCAAAUGAAAGUUAGUCAUAUGUUAUUUCAUAUUCCUACUUUCAGAAGAUGCUCAUGCAUUGAUUUGCCUAAGCAGAUAUAACCAUCCAUGCUAGGAUUUGUGUAAAACCAUAAACUCUAACCCACAUGUUAUAAUUCAAAACUGAAAUCCAUAUGUCUACCACCAAAUCUGUGCAUUUAUAUGCAACCUAAACCAAAACAAUUACAAGUGAAACAAUGGUCUAAGUUACCACUAGUAAUUUACUACCCGCAAUUAAAGACCAACGGAACAAUGUAAUUUAACCAAUUGCAUCACUAUUCCUUCUCAAAGAGAACCUGCAAAUGUUCAAUUCAAUUAUAAAUUUUUUAAGACAAAAACAAAUAAUCCGGCCAAUAAAAUACCCAGAAGUCGUCACGAACGCUUCCCAUCCCAUAAAACUUCAAAGUAAAUCGAAGGAAAUUUCUACCAGCAAAGCAAACAAACUCGUGAUAUUUAGUUUUUGUGCAGAUGAUUUGUAUAAAUAAGCAAGAAUAAAAUAUACAUCAUAAUAUGCCCAUUCUUCCCCAAGAUACAAGUUUGGCAAAUCUAGUAUCCAUAACCAUAAGCAUGUAUACUUAUAAAGAACACAAAAACUUCAGCUAACAAAUCCCAACCAAAAUUUCGAAGAUAACCAUGUAAUUAAGUCUGAAUAAUAACAAUGGUUCAACAUCAUGCCUGUAACAUCUAACAGGUUUUGUGUUCAAUAAUUCCAUAGUUGUCCAAGACUAUAAGGCUUACCGGUUUAACAUUUAUGCUAUUGGCCAGAAUCACGGCCUUUAUGUGAAGAAACUAAGAGGAAUCUGUACCCAAUACACACAUCAUUUGAUUUCACCAUCUGAAACGCCCUCUUCAGACAGCAUAUUGUUGAUUCCUAGAAGCCAUAUUAGCAACCUGAGCCUGCAACUGAGCAGCUCUAACUUUCGCAGCAGUAGCUCGGUGAAAGAAUUGCUCUCUUGAUAAUGCCCGCACACUCCUAAGGUACUGAUCAAACGGUACACUCCCGACCUGAACCGCUUUGUCCAAUGCAUACAAAGUAUCUUCAGUAGCCAAAUCAGAAGCAGUGCAAUCAAGCAUCUGCUUAGAAAGUGCAUCAACACACUCAAAAGCAUCCUCUGCAUUCUCCAAACUCCCCAACUUUUUCCCGUGAUUAUCUCUCAACCACCCUUCUAGAACAUCACUAUUCAUCAAAAUAAUCUGCAAUUUCUGCUCCAAACCUUCCAUCUCAUCCUGCAUUUCCUUCAAACCCUUAUUAAUCUGAUCCUCUCUUUGCUUCAACACCGGCUGCAUACUAAACAAGCCCUCUAUUUCAGCCUCCUUUGUCUUCCUCAACCCAACAACAUCACCAUGCACCAUCUCCACAAGCUUGUUAAUCGCGUUCCGCUUAAACACCUCAGUAGGAUCCUCAGUAUGAGGGGACGGAGAAGGCUGAACCCUUCCGGAACCCGAACCAGAGCCAUAAGGUGAAGGAGGGUAAUUAUUUGGAUGAACAGAAGGGCGAGAAUACCCAGAUGAAAAAGCUCCCAAAUUUGAAGACCCAGAUGGAAAAGAACCCAAAUUCGAAGACCCAGAUGGAAAAGAACCCAAAUUUGAAGAGUUUGCAAAAUUGGGGUUAGGGUUAUUAUGAGACGAUGGUGAUGGUGAUUGUGAUGGUGAUGGUGGUGGUGGAGCCCUACGUUGAGAAUAAAGAGGAGGAUCAGACGCAAAAGCGUGACUCAAAUUGCGAACAAGAUCAACGAGAUUGGAACUAGGGUAGAUCCAAUUAUGCAAAUACGGAACAGAUACAAGACCAGAAGGGUUAACGUGAGCGUGUGGGCGCUUAAUAACCAUGUCGCGCGUGGGGUUCACGUAGACGCAAGGAGCGUGGCGAGGGUAUGAUUCCAUGAGCCAGAUGAGAACGGGGAUGUUAUAGGUGACUCCCUGGUACGGCAUAGGGACGGUGCCAUCAGCUUGGAGGAGGUUGACGGAGCGGCCGUCGUUGUGGGUGAAGGUGGCGGUUUUGGGUUCUAAGGAAGGGAAAGCGGUGGUCAGAGAAACCAGGUGUUGACGGAUCAGCCAUUUGGCGUCCUCGGAGUAGGGGAGGGCGGAGGGGCCGCGCUGGGAGAGGACGGAGCUUAGGAAUUGUUGGUGGUUCGGCGAUUGAACCGCCGGUGGAACCAUUGUCGGUGAUAGGGUUUGGAUUUGAUGAAUUGGGAAAUUAAAAUGAAUACAAAAAAGUCAAAAACAGAGAUUGAAGAUUGAUGAUUGUUUACAAUUACAAGCUUUUAAUUUAAGUUAAGCUUGCCUUUCCUAAUUGGUUUACGCGUAUAAGAUUCAUUAUCUAACAUUUUUUAACCUUUUAAUAUAUUUAGGUUAGUAGGGUCUUAUAUCAUGUUUAAAAUGACUUCACUUGUGUUGUUUUCUAGAAAAAGAAAUGAAUAAAAGGAAAUAUUUAUUACAAAUAGCACGAUGUAUAAUAUAAGAAUGAUUAUGAGAAAAAUGCAAUAUAUAAAUACAAAUGAAUAGUGUUUACACUAAUUGAUAUCAUAUUGUGUUCUUUUAUGGUCGAUCGGGGAGGUUGGACUAAAAGUCUUCUAGGAGUUAUUUGGUUGUGCAAGUCUGGUAGGUUGAGUUGGAUUCUUUGUGAGUGUCUGAGUUGAGAUGGGUUUGGACUCGUUGAUUGAGGUACCUGAAAAGAUUCUCUAACGAUUAAGUCAAUAGGAGACUAAAGAGGUAGAGCUUGGGAACAAAUAUGUAAGAAGUGAAUAGUGAAUAAUAAUGAUAACUGAUACUUACUGUUGGGGGAACUCCCUUAUUUAUAGUGGUUGAGAUAGGUGAUGUGGUUCUUAUGGACAUCGUUGGGAUGAUCGACUGUUCAUGCCUGUCGGGGGCUGCUUUCCCCGUAUCAGGUGGAUUUGGUCGGUCUGUACUCUAUACAUAGUUGACAUAUAGCUUGUUGCAGUGCUGGUGGUCGUGUCCUAGGCCUGUACUUGUCGUAUUGGCAGGAGGGUAGGUGAUAAUUGCAGGUGGCGUGACAGUGCAUUGUUAACGGCGUGUCAUACAAAGUGUGCUCUCAAUUCCGACUUAGUAUGCUCGAUCAAAGGUAAUGUGUAUGUUCGAGUCUCUUAAUUGAUUAUACUCAUUUCUUGGUCGGUUAGGAAAGAUGCCAACCCGAGCAACUGGAGUACCCAAAUGACUAAGGUGGAAACACACUCCAUGUUUAUUUGGAUGAUCUCGUCUACACAUGAUAAAUGCGCGCCCAUUGUUUUCUUGUUGGAUGUCCAAUUUCUUUUAUAGAUGGGCGAAAAAAUUGAUAUACCUCCCUAACCCUUAUCAAACAUACCGAAUUGCAUCGUUAUGUAUAAGCUAUUUAGCCCACAUGAUUCUACCGUUUUUAUUAGCUAACGUAUUCAAAGAAAAGUUUUCAUCAUCAUCAUUACUGUCACUUUCAAGUAUCAACUUAAGAUUAAUUGGAAAUCAUUAUGCCCAAAGAACCUUGGAAAUCUUCGUUCGAGCCCUCUAAUGUAGUAAUGUCUAAAACUUCAAUCUUUCAUUGUCAUCCUUCAUGAAUAUUCACAAAGAAAUCUACGGUAGUUUCAGACCACCUGUUAAAUCUUUUACCACUUCAAUAGGUUAUCCACUCGAAUAACAGAUUAAAUCAAACUACACGAAGAGUAAAAUAAGGAUAAUAUAAAAAUAUUAUAAUUAUAUAAUUUAAAUCAUGUUCCCUUUAAUUAACAAUGAGAAAUAAACAAUAGUAUAAUUAUAUAAUUUAAUUAAAAUUAUUUAAGAAUUUUGACAUAUUAUCUCUAGGGGAUAGAUGCUCCUGAAAUGUUUUAGAGGGCUUUGGUAAACCCUCUAAAAUUAUUUGUUCUCCUUCAUUUAACUCCCUAAUAAGAGAGACUUUCCAAACCAUUUCAGAGACCAAUGAUAUUAACACCAAAAUAAAAAAAUAAUAAACAUUUUUUAAUGAUAUGUUUUUUUGGUCGAGAACAUGAUUUAGGACACCAUCUAAGGUAAAUCAUUCUCCUCAAAUAUAACCUUAAAGUCAAAUUAAUUAUUUAAGGUGUGGGAUUUUUUGUGCUCGUGCAUGAUACGCCUCCCUUUUAAAAAUAUAAUCAAAUGUUUACGUAUAAUUAAAAUAUGACUUUAAUAGGGGUGGAAGUGUUUUUUACACAAAAUAACAUCAUUCAUAUCUUAACCAUUAUUCAAACAAAAGUUUUAUAAAUGGUCGAUAUACAAUGUAUUAAUUACUAACCAUAAAAAAUAAACUUUACAAAUACACCUUCAUUUCUUGAUAAGGAAAGGGUUAAUGCAAUUUCCCGAAAAGAAAAACGAAGGUAAAAGAGAGAGGCAGAUGAAGAAAAUGAGUUCAACUUUUGCCAAGAGUCGAUGUACAAAAGAGCCAUUUAUUUAAUGCUCAAAAUAGAUUGCCUCUUCCAAAAAAAUCUAUUAUUUGUCUACUUAUAGUAAAUUCUUAAAAAUAAAUAUAAGUUGUAGUAACUUGUUUAUCGUCCAUAUUAUCAAAUUUUAAUACAGGUAAUAUCUUAUGAAGCGAUAUAAAAUGUGGGACAAUUGAUCCUCGUUCGAUUUACUCUCCUUAUGGGGCACAAUAAGGUGAUAGGAAAUCUAACGGUGGUAGAAGCGCCACAUAUAGGAUGAAGAUAAUUUCAAAUUGAAUCACAAUAUUUUGACACGCCUACAUACACUUGACGUUAUCACGUGUCACCUCAACCAAAAAUCGAAUCCCUUUUCGUGUUACUUUGUAGACCAAGAAACUAGGAAAUCCAACAAAAUGCUUCAUUUCAAAACCCAAGUUAUCAACACCGCACAAUUUCAACAAGAGUAGGGAUUCCGCUACUCGUAAGUCGAAUAAGUUUUUUAAACCUACUCUCUAACAACUCUCUAAAGAAAUAUUAUAAACAGAUUGGGAAGUUAUUUAAAAAGAAUUAUUUGUAAAUGCGAAGCUUCUUGAAAAUUUGGUACUUUUUUUCAGAAUCGUUUGAUUAACGGUUAUGAAUAAAAAUGAAAAGAGUUGAUGAGAAUAAACCUAAUUUUAUUGAAGGUAGCUCAUCAUUUUAUGUUGAUUAACAUUAACCACGACACAGACUCAAAAACAAAGUAUUCCCAUCGACUCAACCAUAACACAUCACAAAACCUAAAACGACGACUCAGUAACAUAACAAUUGAAACAAAACGACAUCGCAUAAGAUAAAACGACACAAAUCAGAGCCACCAAAUUAAGUACUGAGUGAGGUCAACAUCUAAGAGAGUUGACCACAAUCGGCGAUGGUAACAGGCCUUGAAGUCUUGCCGGAGCCAGAUCCAACUUUCUCGAUAUCUCUCACAACGUUGAGUCCUUCAACAACUUUACCAAACACAACGUGCUUUCCAUCAAGCCACUCUGUCUUCUCAGUGCAAAUGAAAAACUGAGAUCCAUUGGUUCCAGCUCCAGCAUUCGCCAUGGACAAGAUUCCAGGACCGGUGUGCUUCUUGAUGAAGUUCUCAUCAGCGAACUUAGCUCCGUAGAUUGAUUCACCUCCGGUACCGUUUCCGGCGGUGAAAUCACCACCCUGGCACAUGAAGUUAGGGAUCACACGGUGGAAGGAGGAUCCCUUGUAAUGGAGUGGCUUGCCGCUGCGGCCGACUCCCUUCUCGCCGGUGCAGAGAGCACGGAAAUUCUCGGCGGUGCGAGGGGUGGUGUCAGCAUAUAGCUCCAUGACGAUGCGGCCGGCGGGGCUGCCGCCGAUGGCCAUAUCAAAGAAAACCUUAGGGUUCGACAUGGAAAUAGAGGAAGAGAAUUGAUUAAUCGAAAAUUGAGAAAGGGAUUAGGGUUUGAAUGGGGUUUGGGAGUGACGACGAUUGAGAUUUAUAAUGGCUCGUGCUUCGGAAUAUAUUACGGAGUAGCCGUUGGAUUGAGACACGUGGCGGGAUCUGAGGGAAAGGGAGUAACUGUGGUUGAGUAUGGGUUUGACUAUGGUUAGUGGCGCGGAUCCGAGGACACGGAUAUGCUUGUCUUUAUGCCUCACCCUACCAUCUGUGUAGACUUCAUAAUUCGUGCAAAUAUAUAUUUUUCGUUUCCGAUCCGUAUCUUCGCAUUGCAUACACUUGAGACAAUCAUGUUCGAGUCGGAAACUGUCUCAGCAUAUAUUUUUCAUUCAUAAAACUCGAACCCUAGAAAUGAACAUGUAUGCAUAAUCAUCGUAUUAUUAUCAUUUAUUUUAUUUUUAUACAUCAUUGAUUCUAAAAACAAUACAAAUAAAUUAUAUAUGAUAUAUCGAUUGUGUAUAAAUCUUUUGUGUGUAUAUUAUAUUAUAUAUGAUGCAUAUGUCGGUUGCGUGAGAAAUAUGCAGUAUAGGGUACACAUGAAUGUGGACAACCCAGAGGGAGCGUCUGAGCAAUAUCCAACGGCGUCGAUUAUUUUGAAAAAGUUCAAAGCAUGAUGAGGGAACAUUAUUUUUAUGCCACAAAUGGCAGAGAAAGGAAUAUGAAUAUCAAAGAUAUAUUAAAUAGGAAAAUGUUCAAAACAGAUAUUUCGAAAUGAUGUAACUUGAGUCAGUUAAAUCUCUCUCUUUAUAUAUUUAUUUAUAUAAGGUAAUACAAUAAGACGUAAUCAAAUUAAAAUAAUUAAUAAUAAUUCGGGUAUAUAUGUUGAGGAUAGUGGAAUAAUGAUAGUGGGGGGCACAAAGGGGAAAGUAGAGGCUAGAAACUAGAAUUUUGAUUUGAUGAUUGGCACCACUUUCUAAUAAGAAAAAAGAAAUGAUAAUUGGGCAAAGUCCAUAGUGCCUAUUAGUGUCAAAUCCAGGAUAGAUACAUGAUACCAAUGCUGCACAAGGAUGAAGAAUAUAUAUUACCACAGAUGUGAUAAGUGAUGAUUAUUGGAAUAAAGAUGAACACAUCUUAAGAAAUAAAGAAAUAUAUUUGUCAAUAUUAAUUAUGGAAAUGUUGAAUUAGUUCAACUAUACUAUAUUUAUACCAGUGAAGAAAAGUGCAAACAAAACAUGUGUCAUGUGCUGAUCUUCAUCUUCCAACUUCUUUAAAUGUUUAAAGUCUAACUUUCACUGUUUAUAUAAAAAAAAGUCCAAACUUUCAAAACAGAAUAAUAGAACAUGCUUAGGAAAAAUUAUAUGACAAGCCCACAAAACAAAUAGUAAAGCCAAGGAAGACAUGGAUCAUAAACCAAAAUUCAGAAUUCACCUACAAUGAAAACAAAAACAUUGAUAAACUGAACAUUAUCUAACAAAAAAUCUGCCAGUUAACUCAUAUGCCUGUUAGUUUUUUUCUUAGAAAAUUUCAAGUUCAUCUAAAGGGGAAAAAAGUAGAAUAAGCUACAACAGAAAAGCAGGUCUAUUCAGCCUAAAAUGUAGAACUACUUCCUCCUGCUCUUAUAAACUCUCCAACCUAGCCUGAGUUACAGGAGUGUGUAUUACAUUCCAUGGUAGAGUCUGGUGUGGCUGAACUUGAGAAUAUUUGUUUAUCUACUUCUUCUUCUUUGAUUUGUUAGCCUGAGACUGAGUAUAUGCAGUUCCCUGGGUGCCAAAAUACAGGACAUAGAACAAGGUUUAAUAUUUACAUAUAGGUUCAAUUAAGACUCAUAUUGAUAUACACAUUUCGUGCCACAAGUUCGGAAGGAAUAGUAAAGUAGUAAAGCAUAGGUACUGACCUGGAGCCACUCAUCGAUGGACGCAUCUGUACUCCUAGUCCCAACUUCAACUUUAGGAGCCCUCUUUGUUUUCUGCACAAAUAUUCAAGUGUAGAUAUGAACUUAUUGCAGCAGUAAUCAAACAACACAAAUUAAUUCAGAAGUGCACAUAUAGUCUUAUUGAAGAAGAAUUGUAUGUCAAAUCCCUGUUAGAAUGAAAGUAGUGUUUAGCCUCACUUUUGAAUGAACUCCAAGUUAUCGAGUUCCAAAAUACAUUUUUAGAAGACGGGUCUCACUCCUCAUGACAAACCACACUUAGGAAGUUUAAAUAUAUAAGGAGGAAUACAUGUACCCAAAAAAUAAGGAGGAAUACACCACAUGCUUGUUUAUAAUUUGGGACCUCAUGACAUGUAGUUCACAAAUCAAACAAAUAAAUAGGAAAUCAAAUUACAAGUAAAAAACUAUUAAAAAGCAAGAAGUUUAUGAGGCAGUACCAUUAGCAAAUGGCAAUUAUGCAGGUAAAUUCUCUAAUAGCGCCAUUAAAAAACUGAAAAAUUAAAAUAGAAAAGAUUGCAGUACCUUGGAUAAGUUUUGUAUUUGACCAUGAAUCCAUAUCCCAAGGAGAGCAAGGAGAGAAGCUCCGAGAGUAACAAGGAAAACAGAUUCUAUGCUGAGAAAAGCACCAGCCUCAACAACUUCAAUUGUGCCAUUAUAGAAAGUACUUUGGUAUGGAUGCUGAUCUAUCUCAUACACAACGGUGCCAACAAGAUCAAAAUUUCCAGGCUACAUAACAGAAAAAUCGUUAGGCAUAAGGAAUACAAAAGUAAUUUGGGAAAGUUACAUGUUGAAAUAUUAAAAAAAGGCACUAUCCUUAAAAAUAAUGGGUAUACCUGCAAGAACUUGCUGACAGCAAAUAAAUAUGAGAAAGUAGCCUGUGCUGUAGCUGGAACUUUACCAUUGUUGAAAACCUGUAAUUUAAAAAAAAUUAAAACAAAACCUUACACUUCAAUUAUUUAUGCAAUGCCAUUUCCCAAACUGAAUAGCAUUAUUAAAAGAAUAUCACAGAACCCUAAUCCCUUUACACAAAGUGGCGCAGCAUGUGCGAUGACAUAUUAACCAUUAGUUGACAAAGUAAUUGGUUGAGAGUAUUCAAGCUCAAUAAGCAAAAUUCCUUCAUCACACUUGUCUUUUAAAGGGAAACAGUGCCUUUGUAACUUAGCAGAACAUCAUUAGGUGAUUUAAUUUUAUAAGAUACUUCAUUGAUAAUAACCUGUGACUUAAAAAACUCCGUUCAUGCAUAUGCUUUGGAUUGUGUCACAUGUUUUCAAUUCUCAUUGUAACCUUAGUAACAAAAUGAAUGAAUGUUCCAAGUUCUAACACAAAAGAAAUGUUAAACAGAAAUUAAAAUUUUGUAAUAUUAAAAUCCGAUAUCAAACUUGAACAAGGUUAAAAUAUUAGUCAACCAAAGUAAAAAAUUUAUCGGAUAAAUGAACAGAAAUGACACAUUUUUAUUGAAGGGUACUGGAGAGAGGCCAGCACGAUAACUGAAAGUAAUAUGGGCAGCAUAAUUCUUGAACACAAAUAAAAAAAACUAAUUUUAACUAGGAUAUUGAGCAACCAAAUAUUACCUGAGUAGUAAGAUUUUGAACAAGUAUGCGAUGAUCAACGGCAAGGUGAACACUAGCCUUAAUUGCAAUAACUUUCAAGCUUGACUCCCCUGUUUCCAGUUAAUACAGUGAAUGAAAUCAGCUAAUGCGUGCUUAAUAUUAGUUUCCAUGAUCCCCAACAACAGGGAACCAAGACACUGGUAACAAAAUAAUACCAUAGAAUCACCAAAAAAAGAUGUUGAUGUUCAAAUGAGUGUUUUUAGACACAAAUGAAAGACAUUAGUACUAAACAAUGAGAAGCAACCCAGUUAAGAAAAAUAAAAUCAUGAAACUGCAACGCUAAAUACACCAAUGAGUAUCGGUUUUACUGGAUUACCAUCAUUUUUUACACCGAUAAGCAGCUCUGUCUCCUCUCCAGCUGUUACCACUGCAUCAUAUGAACAAACAAAAAAAUUAACCCACCAUCAAAAUAAAACUAAAAAGAAUACAUUAGAAAGCAUAUCUUUGUGCACCAGAAAGAACAACACUUACAUUUUGCGCUGUUUUUUGGAAACAAAGUGAUUGUAUCUAUUCCUGGAGCUGAAUCGAAGGUCUCAUCGCCGAAAUCUUGGACAUCGUCACCAACAACACCGAUAUCACUUGCUUCUUCAGUGGUUUGCGCUGCUUCAUCUGAUUCCGACUGGCACCUAGCAACUAGCAAGUAGAAAGAAACACAUUUAAUCAUAGUCUCACACAUGCACAAAUUACAUGAAAACAUGCUUAUCGAGUUAUUCGUGAGAUGUAAUGAGAUCCAAUAUGGGCAAAUGAAAUAAGAAAUGACAGCGAAAAUGAUAUACAAGCUGCAUCAAGUUACCAUCCAAAAAUGAUGCUGAAUUAAUAACCAUGUAUCUUUAACAUGAAAUUCAUAGUGAAUUGAACAAAACCUGAGAAAUAUACAAUUCAGUUGCAUUCCAUUCUGUCAGCACAUUAGACAAACCUAACUUUGUACUUAAAAACACUCAGAAAUAGGGACUCAUUUGAAAUCUAGUAAAAUCUCAACACUGAAUUUAUUCAAAUGCGACAGAAUCUUUUCCACAAUUGGUUCGAAAAACAACAGAAAAUUGAACAUGUAAUAAUAUGCCUAUUGUACAAUGCCCAACAUUAAAAAAGUGAUAUUUUCAUUGUCUCUAACAUCAAAAACGGUAAUGUCGUGUCAACAUCGUAUAAAAUCAAAGCAGAUCAAAACUUAUUAUCAGAAUCUCAAUAAUAAUUUUCAUGAAUCGAAGAAUAGAUGAAAGAAAUGGCAAGAUGCAUGGAUCUAGAUCUAGAAAAAGAGGAAGGAAACCUUGUAAAAGAGGAGAAGCGAGAAGGAGAAGAGCGAGAGAGAAAAUCGAAAAGUGAUUGAAGGAAGCCAUGGUGAUGAAUGGGGUCACAAUUGCAAAUCAAGAGUGUGGAAAUUUCAACGCUCAAAUGCAGAGAAAGAUUUGUAAUGUGUGUUUGUGAGGUUCUAGGUAUAAUAUUAAUAAUAAUAAUAAUAAUAAUAAUAAUAAUAAUAAUAAUAAUAAUAAUAAUAAUAAUAAUAAUAAUAAUAAUAAUAAUAAUAAUAAUAAUAAUAAUAAUAAUAAUAAUAAUAAUAAUAAUAAUAAUAAUAAUAAUAAUAAUAAUAAUAAUAAUAAUAAUAAUAAUAAUAAUAAGUAUAAUUAUGUCUCCUCUCUUUGAUGCUAUGGUUAUUACGUGUCCACUUUUCAUUGGUGGACUUACGUGGCUACUCCCACUAGGUAAAAUACAUGGAGACUAACUCAAUACGUCACUCUUGGUCUCAAAUAAUGAAAUGUUGCCAACACAUCUUAUAUUUAAGUAUUACAUUGAAUAAGAGAGAUAACGUCUCAUUCUAUCCAUCAAUUGUAGGAAAAUCGAACGAUUUAAAUUAAUGAGUAAAUUUAAUUUACUCUUGAAGUAAAUGUAUCAUCACUCAUUAAAUAAAUAUUGUUCUCCAAGAGUAAGUUAAAAAAAACUUAUUCAUCCAUACUACUUAUCAUUCAUAGGGAAAUCUCAUUCUAAGUUUACCACUAUGAUUAAGAAUAAGUUUAAAAAAUUAAUUGGAUCUCCACUUAUUGAGAAACCUAUUGCUCGGCCGUUUGGCAGCAACAUUGCACCGUGCUCCGCCAAUCAUUAACUAUAUUCUGUGUAAAAUGUCUUGACUCUUUUUCUUAUAGUGAUCAUCCUUAAAUUGGAAGAUUGUUCACAAACAUACAAGUUGUUAUGUUAAAUAGAAAAAAGUCAUGUUACUUUAUAGUAGCAAUAAUAUCACAAUUUUUUUUAUCAAGAGGUUAUUUGUCUGUUAGCAUAAGGUCAUACUGUGUAUCUUGAGAUCGAAGAUUCGAUUUUUAAUCGUGAUAUUUGUUGGGAGAGACAAUCGAUAAAAAAGAUUAAUUUCUAUUUAAAAUAUGAUAAAAUAUUAUUGAUAGUACCAAAAAAUAUCAAUUUUUUAUUAAUACAUAACAAUAAAUAACUCCAACUAAGUUAACUAUAAUCUAAAAUAAUUUUCAAAUGUGGAGGAUCUCAAAAGAAAAAGCAUUUAUGAUCUUAGAAAUAAUACCAAUGUAUGUUUUGGCAAUAAAGUAAAUACUCAAAUUGUGAAUGGAAAUACUAAAUUUCAAUUAUUUCCAUGCUCAAUUAAACUUUUUGAAAGAUGAUAAACUAAGGAGGGUGAUCACGUGAUCCAUAAGCUGCCCACCUCAAUCCACUUAUACCAAAAUACUCAAAGCUUUAAAUUAAUCAUUAUCUCAUUAAAUUUAGAUUGUAAUAUUUAUUAAUUAUUAAUAUAAAGAUUUAUUCAUAACUAAUAUAUUAUUCUAUUUUUAUUUGUAUUAAUUUUUUUCAAAAAAACAAUAAUAAUUGAGCAUAAAUGUUAAAUAAUACAAAAAAAUAUAUAACUUAUAUACUAUAAAUAAAUAUAUUAGAACAAAAACCUAGAUAGCCUCGACCAUAUCAACAUAGGUAAACACCAUUACAUGUCAAAAAAAAACGAAAGGGUUGCAAAAGAAAUGCCACAUGGCUAAUACAAUCAAAACUAUAUAUAAGUGAGUGAACAAUAGUAUUCUCUAGAGAAAAAUGAUAAAUAAAAGAAAGAAAAAUAUCAUUACAUAUUGUAUUUUGUUUAUUACUGUAUAAUACUUAUCUGUCUAUUAAUGAAGAGGUCUUAUUCGGGUCGGUGAAACAAAUUUGUCGUACAUAAAUUUGAGCAACUAUCAUGAACAACCCAAAUGUAGCUCUUGUUAGGCUUAAUAGGUUAAGCUUCGCCCCAAAUAAAACACUUUUAGGCUAGUUCUUGUUAUUUAUACUUUAAAUAUAGAAUAUAAGAAUAUUAUUAAUAGACUUCAACUUGUAGCAUUUUUUUUGAAUAUUUUAACUCUGAAUGCGUAUAUGUUUAUGAGUUCAUGUAUUUAAAAGAUGCCAAAUAGCCCUCAAAUUAGGACAAAUUUAAAAAAAAACACAUUUUGAAGCGAAUGAUUUAGGCUAAUCCUUAAAAAAAUAAGGUUAAUGAAACAGGCAAAAUUCAUCUAUCAUUGCACAUGUUUCAUCAUAUCAACUAUACAUUAAUAACAAAACAAAUAUCAAUUAAGAGAGUAAUAUCUAUAUACUGUUACGGUAAAGAUUUAUACUUAAUUAAUAUUUCAUUCCCCAUUAAUUUGUAUUACUUUUGUAUAGUUAAUAAUAAUUAAAUAUAAAUAGUGUAUAAUACAAUAAUAGUAUAUAAAACUCUUACAUAAUCAAUAAAAAUAAAUGAUAUGUAUAAGUUGGUAUUAUAAAAAAUAAGAUUCUAAGUUUUUUUUUGUUUGUCUUGGUAUUAUGAGUAUCCUUUCUGCUAAGGAUCUAAUACCUUUUGAUUUAGUAAUUGUUUAUCUCUUCUAACAAGAAUCAAACUCUCAACCUUAAAAGAUCCGGUGAAACGUUCCGCUAUAAGCAUAUUUUGACAAACACAAAACGAACAAUGCAUUUAAGCAUCGUUUUAACUUUCCCCGUUGCAUAAUGGGCAAAAAUUGAAGCAAAAGGUUCCAUGUAACUAAAUUCUCUCACCACAAACCCUUAUCCCUUUUUCUUCUUCCGUCUUUCAAUUUCAUUCAUCACAAAAGGUUCCUCCUUAUCUUUUUCUCUGAUUUUUCCCAUCACUCAUGGUUCCUCAUCCAUCGUUUUCAACUUCAAUUUAGGGUUUUAUGUUAUUUCCCUCAAAUCCACCAUUUUUAUCGUUUAAAAAAUAGAAGCCUUUGAGAUGUAGAGUGAUCCAUAUGAAAUUAAAUCUUUGCUAUCUAAAACAUGUGUUGGACAAUUAUAUAAUGCUGCUUGAAUUAAUCACUUAUUUUUCUUCUUUUCCACAGUUGAAGUCAAUUAUCUAACAUUUGGUUAAAUUAUUCUGUUGUUUUUGUACCUAUGCAUCUGCAGUUAAACAUUUGAAGUUGAAUCGAUGGAUUGUACAGCGACGAGAAAAACUCAAAAGGCUGGCCGAGAGAAGUUGAGAAGGGAUCGAAUCAAUGAACAAUUUGGAGAACUGGGUAACAUUUUAGGUAAAUCAAUUUCACUUUCUCAAUUUUGGAAACAAUGAGAAUUUCUUAGAGCUAGCUUUAGUUUGAACUUGCUGGUAAUUUGUAUAACGUAAAUUAUUGCCUGUGGCUUCUUUAGAAUUUAUCAUUUUGGGUUUCGCUUGAUACUAAGAUCUUUUAAGACAGCACUUCUCUUAAAUCACUAUGUGUCUGUGGUGGCUCUGAAAUGCAGACCCUGAUAGGCCCAAAAAUGAUAAAGCAACUAUUCUAGGUGAUACAAUUCAGUUGCUGAAUGACCUUACUUCUCAAGUUGGAAAGCUCAAAGAGGAAUAUACGGCACUAAAUGAAGAAUCUCGUGAGGCAAUAUAUACUAUUCUUGUUUUGAUGACUUUGGGACAUAAAAUGUAAUAAGGGAAAUAAUUUUAUUUUGUUCAAUUUUCAGUUGGCUCAGGAGAAAAAUGAUCUCAGAGAAGAGAAGGCUUCUCUUAAAUUGGAUAUUGAGAACUUAAAUAAUCAGUAUCAGCAGAGACUCAGGACUAUGUUUCCGUGGUCUGCAAUGGAUCAUUCAGUUAUGAUGGCUCCACCAUCAUAUCCGUAUCCAAUGCCAGUACCAGUUCCUCCUGGCCCGAUUCCCAUGCAGCCUUACCCUUACUUUGCUAAUCAAAAUCUCGCAGUCAUCCCUAACCCAUGUUCAACAUAUGUUCCUUAUUUAGCCCCCAAUACCCUUGUUGAACAGCAAUCCACCCAGUAUGUAUCGCCACCAGUUCAUCCAGGUAGUCGGUCUCACGUGUCAAGCAAACAAGACUCCAAACACAAGUCAUCCAGGGAGAGCAGGGCUGAAAGAAGUCAGGCUUCUAAUGAAGUUACUACGGACCUUGAGUUGAAGACUCCUGGGUCUUCUGCAGAACAGGUAUUGCAUUUUUUCCAAUGAAAUCUUGUAACUAGUAACUGUGAUAGAAGAGUUAAUUGAUUCAUGUGGUGUCUGCGUGUCGGAUUUUACAGGAUUUAUCAUGUGGACAAAGAAAAUCCAGCAAGUCGUCAAGGAAGGGAAACAGUUGCACAGAAGGGAGUUCUUUAGGUAGGCCUUCUUCGUCCCGUAGUGUUCAGGAUAGCUCAUCAAGUAGUGUAGUUGGGAGCAGAAUGGCUAAUGAAUGAGAAAAUACACAAUUUUAGAUAAGUGUUCAUGCAUUUUGAAGUCACGUUGAAGCUUGGCAUUGUACACUUGCUGCAACUAUCUGGUGGUAUAAGUCACUUAUGUUCUCCCAUCCUUGGUAGAAGCUAUUCUUAGUAGGCUUAAAUAUUCCCGAAGUUAACUUUUCAUUUUGGAGGGAAAAGAUUGGCAGGUCUAAUUGUUAUGUUCAUAUUUCUUAAUAAAAAAAGAAAUUGCAGUUGGAAACUAUCAAAGUUGACAACUGUGACUACUGUGUUGGAUCUGUAAAUCCCUUCUGCCUUCACUAUAAUCUGCAUAGCUCUCCAAAUAUGUUUUUCGUACAACUUUGAUUUUCUCACCCAUAUUGGUUGUGAGAUAUGUGAUUCAUCAUAAAACGCAUAAAGCAUUUUUCGUUAUUUGCUCUCACACACCAUUCUCAAUCAAUAAAUUACCCUGUGGUGCCCAAGCAAGCACUAGCACAAAGCAAACAAAUGUUGGUCCGAUAGAAGUUAAGUUACACACAAAGUUGUAGGCUAAAGCUAACCAAAUAUGAGAAGCAAAAGAAGCUCAUUAGCUCUAUAGACAUUGGAGGAAUCUGUUUUUGCAAUUUUUUAAUGUAUAUUUGAUUGACAAAAGAAGCAGCAAGGUUUCACUAGGCAGACAAUGAAAACUUUUUCUUUUUGUCCAACUCUUCAUUUGGUCAUAUUCUUGGUGUCUCCCAUAUUGUUUAUACUCUUCUUGAUUUCAUAUUCUUCAUAGAUACUUUUUUGUCUAUAUGCAUUUCAAUAAAUUUGUAGUUUUUUCAUAUUAGUGUAUUCGUAUAAUCUCAUAUUAUAUCUGUGCCCAAUGUUUGUGCCUUCAUAGGGUGUCUCCCUGAAAGGUACCCAUCUUGCCAUUACUGUUGUUGCUAUCUUAUCUAUCUUAAUUUCGUUCUAACUGCUUUGAACUUUGGACCCCUCUGGUGAUCAAAUUAUUUACUCCACAACAGAAAAGAGACAGAAUUGUUGUAUGUUAUCAGUAUCAAAUUGUUUGUUCUUACUUUACUUUUAUUUUAUGUUCUUGUUUAUAAGCUAGACGAACGAUAAAGUUGUACUGAAGAGUUAGGAUAAAAUUGUCUAUGUCUAUCAAAAACCUCAUUAAAUGAUAACCUCAUUAGUAGAGACUCUUGUGAACUUGUGAAAGUAGGACAAUUGGACAAGAGCUUGGGAGUUAUGCUCUCAUUCAUCAUUAAAGAAGAACAAAGUUUUUCUAUAAAAAAAUAAUACAUUUUUUAAUUGGAUUGAAGAAUUCUUAAGGGAUGUUAUACUUGAUCUACAUUUUUUAGGUAAUUUGAUGCAAAUUAACUAAUAUGACUAAUAUUAUUAUCAUCAUUAAAUUUGUCAAUAAUUAAUAUAUUUUUACAAAAAUUGCCUUUCAUUAAUGAGAGUCAAAUCAUUCUAUCUUUUGAAUCAGUUAGUUAAUGAUUCAUUUUUCCAAUCGAAAUUUUGAUAAUGAAAUCAAAUAAUUUUUACAAAAUUUGGAAAAAUAUCCUUACAAAAAUCAAAACUAAAACUCAAGAAUAUUUUUUUUAGUUGAGAGAAUAGUGAAGAAAGAAAACACUCUAGAAGACCAGUAAAUUUAUAGCAAAAGAACAAUCAUAUUCGGAUGGAGAUCACUUAUUUCUAACGGAGUUCCAUUCCUAUUUCAAACUAAUGACAUAUUACACAUGAAUAAAAAAAAGUUAAAAAGCAAUUAGUUUGGGAUAGAGAAUGUGAGACGACACAUUUCCCACACUUGCUUUCUUCCCCCUCUUUUCAGCAGAGAAUUGGGAUGACAAAGUUUUGACUUUCAUAAUGUUUGCCAAAGCCAUAUAACCUUUAUUCUAAUGAUUUUCUUAUGACACUGCUUUUGUGUUGUCAAAUUUAUCUGGAAAAUUCUUAUGCAGAUAGCAAUCCUCUUUUCCAAUACCUGUGAAAAUCUAAGCUUCAUCUUUUCCAUCAUUUAGAAGUAACAAAUGUACAAGUAUAUAUAUUUAUUGAGAUUUAUUUUGCUCCAAAAUACCAUGAUAUACUACUAGCUGCUUUGAUUUACAAGCAAACCUAUAACAUAAACAAAGCAGAUAAAAGAACUUGUAAAUCAAAAAAACCAGCUUUGAAGAAAGUUGGACUGAUAUUGCACCAAUAUCAACAAUACCAAGAUCAAAGCAGCAACACCCCAUGGAGAAUUUCCUUCUGAUGAACUCUCAUAAGUCCUCAUGGGUCUUUGCCAUGCCCACAAACCAGAGAACCAAGCUGAAUUUUCCAUUGAUGAUAACCAACGAACUAAGAGUAUUAGCAGCACUGGAGUUGCAAAUAAUGCCCAACCAAAUCGUUGUUCAGCAGUUUCAACAGCUUCUUGAUAUGAAAAGUACCAUGAAAUUCCAAAGAAGGUGAAUAUUAAUGCUAAGAUUAGUAGAACAGGAUAUGGGAGGGGACUCAGAGUGAAACCAUCUAAAACUUGUGAGGUUUUGGUUCUAUCAUAAGCCAUUGAGUUUAUGGAAUUGUUUUGGUAUCAGAAUUCAGUAUAUGAUAAGGGUUAAUGGCAUGGUGAUACAUAUCAGAAUAUGUCACUAUGUCAGUGUCAUUUAUUUAUGAGUGUAAAAUAUAUACAUAUGUACUUCAUCAUUCACCGUUCAUUUAGAUUACCUUUUCUGAAAAGCCAACAAUAAUAAAAAACCAAUAAUGAUGAUACAAUGAUAGUGUAUAAAACUCAUACACGGUCAGAGAUACAUCUUUUUCUCUUUAUUUAUUAAAUGUUUAAUUGGUUGAUUUUGACAUGGUGGUAGGUUUGGAUAUGAAUGCUCAUAAUUGUCGUUGCUUCAGCACUCAAAUUAAGACACGUUUCAGUUUUGUUACUUAUUUCUUGAAAUAGUUAAUGCAACACAGUGAACAUGUAGUCGGCAUCAAAGACAAAGAAAACUGUACAAUAAUGCAUGGUAAUAAUAGGAUUAAACUAAUCGACCUCAUGAAAAGAGGGCAAACCCAACCUGUCCCAUGAAGCAUAUAUUCGUCGAGUAUCUAAAAAUUAAAAAAUAAAAUAAAUCAAUAUUAAGAUACGCAUAAUAUUCGUUUUCAAUAAAACAUAAGAUAAUAUAUAUUCGUUUUGAAUAAAAUAAGAUAAAAUAGACUUGUUUUCAAUAAACAUCAACUUAUUUAAAGGCCACAAAAAUUCAUACCAACAUAUCGUCACAGCGCAUUGACUCUGAUAGCCGGUCCACCAUACUGACUCUCUGAUUCAUAACAUUGUCAUCAAGGAGGAGAUGAAAUUGACAAUAUUUCUUUUUCUAUACAAUACCAAGAUCAAAGCAGCAACACCCCAUGGAGAAUUUCCUUCUGAUGAACUCUCAUAAGUCCUCAUGGGUCUUUGCCAUGCCCACAAACCAGAGAACCAAGCUGAAUUUUCCAUUGAUGAUAACCAACGAACUAAGAGUAUUAGCAGCACUGGAGUUGCAAAUAAUGCCCAACCAAAUCGUUGUUCAGCAGUUUCAACAGCUUCUUGAUAUGAAAAGUACCAUGAAAUUCCAAAGAAGGUGAAUAUUAAUGCUAAGAUUAGUAGAACAGGAUAUGGGAGGGGACUCAGAGUGAAACCAUCUAAAACUUGUGAGGUUUUGGUUCUAUCAUAAGCCAUUGAGUUUAUGGAAUUGUUUUGGUAUCAGAAUUCAGUAUAUGAUAAGGGUUAAUGGCAUGGUGAUACAUAUCAGAAUAUGUCACUAUGUCAGUGUCAUUUAUUUAUGAGUGUAAAAUAUAUACAUAUGUACUUCAUCAUUCACCGUUCAUUUAGAUUACCUUUUCUGAAAAGCCAACAAUAAUAAAAAACCAAUAAUGAUGAUACAAUGAUAGUGUAUAAAACUCAUACACGGUCAGAGAUACAUCUUUUUCUCUUUAUUUAUUAAAUGUUUAAUUGGUUGAUUUUGACAUGGUGGUAGGUUUGGAUAUGAAUGCUCAUAAUUGUCGUUGCUUCAGCACUCAAAUUAAGACACGUUUCAGUUUUGUUACUUAUUUCUUGAAAUAGUUAAUGCAACACAGUGAACAUGUAGUCGGCAUCAAAGACAAAGAAAACUGUACAAUAAUGCAUGGUAAUAAUAGGAUUAAACUAAUCGACCUCAUGAAAAGAGGGCAAACCCAACCUGUCCCAUGAAGCAUAUAUUCGUCGAGUAUCUAAAAAUUAAAAAAUAAAAUAAAUCAAUAUUAAGAUACGCAUAAUAUUCGUUUUCAAUAAAACAUAAGAUAAUAUAUAUUCGUUUUGAAUAAAAUAAGAUAAAAUAGACUUGUUUUCAAUAAACAUCAACUUAUUUAAAGGCCACAAAAAUUCAUACCAACAUAUCGUCACAGCGCAUUGACUCUGAUAGCCGGUCCACCAUACUGACUCUCUGAUUCAUAACAUUGUCAUCAAGGAGGAGAUGAAAUUGACAAUAUUUCUUUUUCUAUGGCUAAACAAUAAGCAAUUUUAUGAAUUAUUCUAUUAUAUUUUCUAGUUUUGUUACUUGAAAUUUGGAGGACAAUGAUUUCAAUUUCCAUUAUAUUUUUUACUUAGGAUAUUUUGAUUUACAUUUAUAAUCUUGUUAUAUUUUGUGUUUUUUAUUAUUUCAUACACAUAUUCUUAAACGUAUCGUAUCCUAUAUUUUAAAAAAAAUGUGUGUCGAUAUAUCAGAUACAUAUCGUAUCCGACACACAUUUUCAUAUCCGUGCUUCAUAGCCCUAUGCUGUUUUAUUUUGAGUUUGGAUAUGAUUUCUUUCACUCCCCACCCAUAAUAUUAGAAAUCACACUAAUUUCUCUCUUCCUGUAUUUUUCACCUGCUUGCUGCUUGAAACAGUGUAUGAACUGGUGCUUUAGACUUAAUGAAAUGAAUACUAUUAUCUAAUAUCAUUAUAGAUAAAAGAGUCAGUACAAUUUCGUUAAAAAAAUCAGUGUAAGAUAUUAAGUUACACAACUUUUGCAUUAAAAACUCUAUAAAUCACACAAUUUCAUUUACUUUUUUGAUGUCUAUUCCAAAUUCACCUCCCACUAGUGCUAGUACAUAACUAGUGCCAAAUUUGUGCAACCCACUUAAAUGCUUUAGACUUAAUCAGAUAGCAAUCAUAUUCAUAGAAGAUAAUGAAAGUAAUGUGGGGACAAUACUAUUUGUAACACUAACUUAUGUAAUGCGGACUAGUGAUUAUUUAUCGUUGAGGUUAUGAGUUCGAGUCACAUAAGAGUUCUUUUUGUGGGGAAUAAAAUACUGCAAUAAAUAUUUAAACUUGAAGAUCAAAAGCUCGAUAUAUUUAUGGGCAUGGGAGAUCGCAUGUUAGAGCUGGGGUGUUAGACUAUUGAGUGACACUGUUAGGUAAUGAGUCACACAACCAUUACUAUUAUACCUUACACCUUUUCCCUUUCUUCCUACUCCACCUUAUCUCUUUACCCUUCUCUCUUUAACAUUCUAUUUUUCUUCUCUUUUCUUAUGAUUAAUUAACUUUUUAUAUAAAAAUAUCUGUAAUCACACAAGAACAUUAAAACAAUAGAAAAAAAUAUAUCAACCUUAUAAAAUAUAGCAUCCUUAAAUUGCAAUGUAACUUGACUCACAAGAAGAAGAAAUCUAUAAUUGCUGUCAUAUGGUGAUACAUUAGUAAUUAACAUACAACCAUUCAAUCUUUUAAUUUUCAUUUGAAGCAAUGAAAUAUGCUCAUAAAAUUACAUCCUCAUAUUAUUUAUUUCUAUGAAACAUUUUCUAUAUAGUACCAUGGAAAUUAAUAUAACAUAGAACACAAUACCACAUAGCUUCAUCAUCCACCAUAACAGUAACAAGCAUGAUUACAUCCACACCAUGGUGGCUUUGCAUAAACCUUCUUUCUUGAACUUCCCAAAAAUGACACCAAAAGUAGGAUCACUAUUACCAUUAUUGGUGCUACAAAUGGUGACAUGUUCAUGGAUUCUUCAGCUUCAUCUUCUGACUCACUUGAGAAAAGAGAUGGUAUAACUAGAAGAAUCAAGGCCACAGCCAAAAUCACAAGAACAUUUGAAGUAUGAGGAUCACCACCCCUUGGUUUACAAUAGUAGUAGUUUCCCAUUAGUAGAGUGGAAGAAGAACUCAGAAAAUUGUUGAAUAGGUUUAUAGAAGAGAUUCAAGAUGAACAAGUCAAAGGGUUCUUUUGUAUUAAGAUAUUUUAUAGAACAAAUGUAUGAUCCACCACACACCAUUUUUGGUAGUUGCUCUUUUUAACUUUAUCUAUUAUAUAAAAAAGGCUUAUGUUAGGUAUAGAUUAUGUUUUUACAUUAUCAUUAUAAAUAAAUUAUUACAUUAUAACCAAAAAAAUCAAUCCAUCAAAUUUCAGCAUUUUUUGUUUAUAAACUAAAGUUAUUACCCAAACAAGUUUAAUUUAUAAUAAAACUUAGAAACAAAAAAUAAGUAAAAGCAACCCCUUUUAUAAGAAAGGUGAUGGUGUGUUAAUAUUCCAAAUUCAUUGUUUAUCUUGUGGCUUAUGGAAUUAGCUUCUGUGUGCAAAUGUCUAAUUAUGUGACAUCUCUUUUAUACAGGAAAAGCUAGACAAGAAGAAAACCUAAUAUUUAUAACUCAUCUCCAAAUAUAUAUUCUUUGUGAUGGCUCAACAAAUUCUAAUUUAUAUUUACAAUACAUCGACACAUAUUCUUUAUAAAUCAAUCACUUUAUGAUUUAUACUAAUUUCCUAUAAAUAUGAAGAAUUAGUGUGAAGAUUAUCAUUUUCCUAUAAUAAAAUAGAACAUGCAAAUAUAGAUUGCAAAAUAGAUAAUACACACUGCCGUUCAUAUGGCAGCAAUCUUUUGUUGGCAUAAUGUUUUAAAAAAGAAUUAAAAUUUGGAUAAUUUACGAUGAUAAAAGAUUAUAAUUAAUCUACUUAAAAAAAAAUGUUGUGAUGAAAGUAUAAAAGAUAAAUUAAUCCUUAGUAUUCAUUUAUUGAAGUAUUCUUCAAAGAUCAUUCAUUAUAGUCUUGAAUCUUCUUACCUUUGUGACUAUGAUUGUUAUAUGAGCCUGAGAAGAGUUAAGAGUCAUAAGUGAGACAUUAUGUCUUGAAUCAAAACCGUAAGGUAUUAGUUUCAUGAACAUUUCCUUUUUAUAAACUCUUUCAUUCCUUCCCGCAUAUCCAACGUGGGACUUCACACUUGAAUAAAUCCAACAAAAAUAAAAUGUUUCUCUUUAUAAAAGAUGUCUACAUUACAAGUGGAAGAAACCAAGAAGCCCAAGUAAGGAUAAUUUGAUUGCUGAAUUUUCCUUCUCAGUAGCAUUCUAUAUUUUUCAUAUUCAUAAAUAUCCCACAACACACAUAAUUCACUGCUCAAUACACAAUUUGCUGGUCAUAAUAUACAUAAAAUAAUUUUUUAUUGUACUUGUAGAUUCUUCUACAUGUUAUAUACUUCAGAAGGCUAUGCUGUUUCGGUAGAAGAUGGUUGCAGAAGUGUAGAAGCUGAGCCAAGAGGCUCAUGCACUACUGAAUCUGAAGAAACUGAUAUGGGAUUACCCUCUAAUUGUAACAUUAUACUCCCCAAUAUUUCAGUUAAUAUUUUCUUGAAUUCAUCUUCUUUGACCACUUUUCCAUCAUCUGCAUUUAUCAUCUUAAAGACUUCACCAAUAACCUUAUCCAUCUGUAGAACCAAACAUGUGAGUUUUCAACUACAUGCUAAGGAAAACAUCAUGAAUCAUAUGUUAUGCAGUACGGGUGAGCAAGACCUGACCCUACCCACUCACCCUGCACGGUCCCAUCAUGAUCAGGCCAUAACAAGGUCGGGUCUGAUCGCGUCUAGGGCUGGGUCCGGGUUCAAAAAAUAGACCCGAUCAAUAUUUAGGGUCGGGUAUGGACUAAACAUGACCCGACCCGUCCCAUGGUCACUCGCUCAUCUCGUUUGGAUGUGUUUCUAAUCAAAUGUAUACAGAAUAAUGUAAAUAUAUAUACAUGUAUAAUUACAUAUUCAUAACAAUAGAUAAUAUUGAGAAGUCUUUAUCUAAAAUGAGUAUGCACUAUAUAUUUAAUCGAGUUUAGGGUCAAAUCGAAUUUAAAGGCUGACUCAAUCGAUAUUUAGGGUCGGGUCUAAGGCCAGGUCGGUUCAAAAAAAAUGGCCAUGCUCACCCUUAUUAUGCAAGCAUGACCCUAAUUACAAACAACCUUAAUACUAGCACUCCUUCAUGCCAGUAGUUAUCUUUUAACACAUUUUAGUGCAUUGCAUCAAAAUGGCAUCAUAAGAAACUGAAGAUGAAUUGGUGGUAUUGUAAGCAUUGGCAACAUACCUGUUCAACUGCACCAACCGGAGGUAAACCAGCAGAAGGAGAUAGCAUGUCCAACGCCACCCGUAAAUACUCCUUCGAAAAUUUUCCGUUUCGAUCUUUAGGCAAAUUCUCUAAAGCUGAGUUAAAAGUCUGCAUCACAUGUUAAUUAGAUUGGUGAAUUCCAUUUAACUAAGGAGAGUUGAUAAUAAGAAAGAUAUUUGAAGGAAUCAUGAAUGAAAAUAUAAACCUUGUCUAAUUCAAACUUGUUGAAUAAUAAUCUCUUAACACCACUUCCAUCAAAAGUGUUUUCACUAUGAGCAACAAUCACAGGUUGAUCCUUAAGUCUAUCAGCAAUACUCAAAGCCACUUUCUUAAAUUCCUCAAAGAAUCCAUCUUGGUCAGAAAGAGGCUUAUCCCAAUUAGUGCCAACUACAGAUAGCAUUGCUGGUUCCACAAUAUUGUUAAUAACCUGAAGGAAUAAAGAUAACCCAACAUAAGAAUGAAAUGAAAGUUAGAGAAUUUUUGUUCACAUAUGUGUGUAUAUGUAACAUCUUUCAACAUGGUCAACAAUAUUUGAAUGAAAUGAGUACUACCCAAGAAUCUGAAGUAGGAGGAAUCCCUUGCUCAACAGUGAGUUUGGCUAGAGCCUCAAUAACAAGGUGAUGAAGUGAUUUAUGGGGUGAUGCAAUGUGGUAGAAUAUGGAUGCUAUUUCUGCUUCAUAACUUGGACCAUUAACAAAUUCAACAAGAUCUUCACCAUCAAUGCGAAGUAUCACAAUUGGAUCUCUUUUUAGUCCUGCAGCCAUGCCCAAAAGAAUGUCUGAUAAAACCUCUUUGAACUCACUCUUACUCACUUUUUCAUGCUUCCCAUGUGUGAAUUCAUUCAACACCUGUGGAACAUCACACUAAAUUUCUCAACCUUGUUUAGUCCUUAUUUAUAGUACAUUUAUUUGAACAUGCCACAUUAUUUUAUAACCCUGUUGCUACAUUUUUCUUCUUCUUGUGACUAAGGUAUCUUAUGUUAGAAUCAUAUUGCUGCAUUAUCUUUUGUUUCUCAAUAAUACCACAUUGACUUUUUUGUUACACCAAAGUCUAGCUUAAAAUUUUCUAGCAUUUUCAAUAAAGUUUAAACACCACUUAAUCAACAUAGAGGUCAAAAUUUUGUAGAAAAACAAUUUCUAUAAUGUCAAAAAAAAGGAUAUUACAAUUUAUAAGAUUCACAUUAUUUAUAAAAUAAAAAAGACUAUCAAUUAAAACCAUAUAAAACAGCCAAAUUUGGCCUCCUUCUCAAUCAACAUCUGAAUUCUGAAGCAACAUUAAGCAAUAAGCAGAUUUUUCAAACUCUAAAACAUAGCUUAAACCACAAACAAAUAGUAUUUUAAUUAAAUAAACAAAAGACAUUCAAAUGAAAACAAAUCUGACGAAGAAAAUGACAUCACAGUGAUUAUAAGUUAAUCAUUUUACUUGGACACAUGAUAAUAAUUUAUUCCAAAGAUUGAAAACAUUAUAAUUCGGAACACAGCCGAACAAAAUUUAAGCCACUGAGAAAAGUCAAAAGCACAUAACAUAUCUUUUUUAAUAUUAGAAUUUCACUCACUCAUUAAUUAAUAGUUUUAAUCACAAUAACGAGAAAAUAGAGUCAGUGAAAACUUUUUUGGAAAAUAUAAAAGGUAUUAUAAAAAUAAGAAUAAAAAUCUAGAUAGUGUCUUAUAACUAAUACUCUCUGUGUACCAAAUAUAAUAAUUAAUAGUCUCUAAAAAAUAAAUAGCACCUUAUCUUAAUAUUAAGAUGGUUGUGUAACGUCCCAUCAGAUAUCAGAAUGAUUUACAAGGUUAAGAUGAGAGGAGUAUCACGAACUCGAAAAAGAUUAGUUACUUAACUACAGGAUACGAAAAUACUCUUAUUGGAACCCAAAAAAAAUAUAAAAUCUGUUCGACUCUAUAGUCAUUAUUGAGUCUUAUUGUAAGCAGUGAGAACUGAGAAGUAGGAUAAAGUUGAUUGCCUACAACAUUGAUACUUGUUGAGAUUAAUGAUAGAAAGAAGAUGAUUCCUUAAUCUGAGAAUAGAAUAGAAUAGAAUAGAUACCUCAGAAUAGAUGUGAUCAGAAUCAGGAUUAGAACCAUGAGCAGGUAAACCAAGAGCAGCACCAAUAUCAGCAACAGCAGGUUGAAGUUCAUUCACAGAAAGUUUACCAUCUUUAUCUUUAUCCAAUUCUUCAAACUUAUGUUCCACAAAGUUACUGAAUACUUUUUCAUUCCCAACUAACUCCAUUAUAUUAGAACCAUCUAGAACCUCUCCAUUCUUCAAGCUACCAUGAGGAAUGAUACUACUCUCCAUUCUCUUGAUCUCUCUCCCUCUCUCUCUCUCCCUCUCCUCUUCUCAAGUUCUCAACACCCCUUUAUGCAUUAACCAUCACCGACUAAAAUAGUUAUGCAUUCUUUACACAAUUGAUUAAAAAAAUGUUACAAAACUAUUCCUCAACUUAAAAAUGGUUAAUUUUUCAUCAUAGUAAAAUAGAGAGAGAAAGUUGGACUAAUAAAUAAUCAAUGUGGUACAUGUUUGAUUCACAUUAAACAAGGUAUCGAGUUCGAGUCUUAGAGAUGAAAAAUAUUUGCUGGGAGAGUUAGUCUCACAUACUUGUAUAUUCUCUCAGUUUAGAAAGAUUGUCUCCAGUGCAAGAAUAUAACUGUAAAAUCAAAAAAUAGUUGUACAAGUGACAUGUGAAUUAGGAGAAAUAUUGUUUUUUUAGUCAAUAGUUUUAACAGUAUUAUAGUUUAAAUGUAUAUUCUAAGUUAUAAGUUCAUAAUAUUAGUCAAAGUUUAAAUAUAUACAUCAACAAUAUUAUAAUCUUUAAAUUAAUUUCAAAACCAAAUAUACUUUUUAGUAAUUAAUAAAAGACAAAUUUGUACAAGUUAAAUACAUACAUCAACCUAUGUCCUAUUAUUUAAAAAUUUAAAAGCUAAUUGAUUAAAUACUUUAAUUGUCCUUGUUAGGUAUCUCAACCUAUCUCUAUAUGAGAGAUUAAUUUUCUCUAGAAAAUUGGGUUUGAAUAAUACUUAAAAAACUAAUCUGUUUCUAACCACUAAAUCAACUUUUAGGUGACAAAUAAUUUAUUAAUUUAAAACUGAUAAAUUAAUUGAUACCAAUAUCUUAUCUACCAAGCACACUCAUUAUCAUCACAUUUGAGUUUUACAUGCAUAAAUUUUUUGUUAACAACUAAAUAACUUAAAAAUCUUUCGAUUUUAAAUAUUAUUAUGUUUUACUAUGUAAAAAAUAUAUAUAUUAUUAGUUAGCGGUAUGUAUAGAUAUGAUUAAGACCUUAUUUUGAUUCACCAAUGUAAAUGUGGGUUAGUGAAAGAAAAUGUAUAUAUAAUAUAUUAUUAAAAGAGGUUUUGCUUAUACUCUUGCUACUUUUUUUGAGCAUGCUCGGUUCUAAUAUUUUAGACCUUAAGGCAGAAUAUAAAUGAAGGUCAUUCUAUGUUCAAAAUCUAAGUUACAUAAAAUAAUAUUUUUGAGAUUCAUGCAAUAGCAUAAUGGUUGAUUGUGUUAUUUAAAUCCCAUAACCAAUGGGUGUAAAUCAAUUAAAUUGUUUGGUCCUCUUCCAAAUGUGGACAUCUCGUAAAGGAAAAUACUGAAGAUCAUUCCAUUAAUGUAGAGACAAAUACUUAAAAAAAAUAUAACUUUUUUUAUGAAUAUGAAAAAAAAUAUAACUUUAAAUAACAUAUAUAUUCAUUUGAUUAUAAUAAAAUUACAUCUUUAUAAUUAAAAAUAAAUAAAAUAUAUAUAUUUGUUUCUCUGUUAAUGGAGAUCGAAUGAGAUGGUUCAUCUAGUGUGAACAUAGAACCUCGCAUGCGUGGUCCCGAAAUGGAAAAGAAAAUACAAGAGAGAAAAGGGUAAACGUGACAUGUGCUGAAAAACAUAGGUCAUUGAUUGACAAUAUUAUAUUUUUUUCUUCUUUUUUCUACAUGCUUGAAACUCACAAAUUUAAAUUGAUUUUUGUAACAACUAUUUAUGACUUGAAUUAACGACCCAUAUUACUUAGAAAUCAGUAUAAUAAUGACUUAGAGUAUGUUCUUCGGUUUAUAUAUUUUAAUGUCAGAAGUAACUUGCUCCACUACAAUUUGUUUAUGACAAGAAAGAAACAAGAACUUAAGAGAUGGGUGAGGAUUACAUAUCUCUAAUAAUAUCUCAUUUUUUAUCUCAAGUCAAUUAUAUAUUAAUACAUAGAUAAAAUAAAAAAUAAUAAAUGGAGUAUAUUGAUUGACCUGAAAUAUGAAGUGAGAUACGAUUUGGGACAUGUGAUAUUGAUUAUUGAGAGAAAGGUAAAGAAUGUAUAGUGACCACUAAUCAGUUUGUGGCUGUGACGCGUGGGGCGGUUGCGGAUCCUCUACUUCAAUAUAAUGGGUAUGAGUUCAUCACUAUUUCAAGUGCAACAAAACAACCACUAAACUCCAAAUUGCAUUGAGUAAAGAACUAUGUUCGUCCUUUAACAUUUUUGUGGUCCUAAAAAAAUAUUACAUGAGCCAAAUUAUUUUUUUUAGUAAAUACUUAUUUUAGUUUACAUAUUUUUCGAUCUUAUUUGUUUAGCCCUUCAAAAAUGAAAAGAAGUAUAAUAGCCCCCAAAAAUUUUAUAUUAGUUUUUACUAAGUAUUAUAAAACAUGCUAAAAUAUCCAAUUUGACCCACAUUUGAACAUUUUUUGAACCAUUUUAGGUAUUUUCUUUUUUGAAAGACUAAACUGGUAAAGUCAAAAAAAUAUGAGGGAUUAAAAUAUGUAUUUACUCUUAUUUUUUUAUUAUCAUUUUUAUGAUACUAAUAGAGAUUGUUUUAAUUCAUAUUUAUGAUAUUUUACUACUAGUAUAAAUUUUUACUUUUCCACUAAAUUAGUACAUGCAUAAAUUCAUGAGGAUGAAAUUGAGUGUUCACUUAUUAGUGUAUGCAUCACUUUCCUCUACUUCAUAUAAGUAUUUGGAACUCAUUCUACUUUUAUGUUUAGAAUUAUGUUCAUUAACUCUUCGGUAUUGAAAAAUAAGGGAAAACAUGAUUUUAUUAUAUUUUUUAAUUUAAAAUUAAGAAAAAUAUUGACUCAUAAAUAUUAUAAGUGUCAUAUGGUAGAAUGUUUGCCCUGUCUAAGUAUUGUUGGCUUUAACACCAUCUUCCUUUCUUUCUCAUUUUGUUUUAUUAAUUUAAAUCUUUCUCAUAUUAUCUUAUCAACCCAAACUAUCUAAGUCCAUAAAUUGUUGGAUUGGUUUGAAAAAAUUAUUCUAUUGUCGACUGGUUUAGUUUCUCCCCAUUUUUUAAAUGGUAAAUUAAAUAAAAAAUAAGUUGCCACUUUAUUUUACCCCAUCAAUAACUAAUAAACACCUACUGAAUUCUUCCUGGUAAGUUUGAAAAUACUAGCAUUAACUACAUUAUUGACUAUGUUAAUAUCUAGAGAAAAAUGUAUAAUCUUUAACUUUAGAAAAAGUAAUGAAAAUGAAUGAUAGAUAACAUAGUGUGUGAGUGCAACUAUGUGAAGAGUCGCAAAUGAAAUACCACGUCUUGAACCAAAACUUUAAGGCAUUAGUUUUAUAAGUCUUUCCUAAACUCUUUCACUCCUUCUCGCAUAUCCAAUAUGAGAUUUCACACUUAAAUAAACCCAACACACUCAUAUUUUUGCAAAUUACUUUACCUAGACUAGUUUUUAUAUAGUUUUAAAUCUUUUUUUCUACCUUUAAAAAACACCAUCUGCUAUUUCUCUUUUUUCACUUUUUAUCUACUCCUAAUAAUAAAACGUAUGAAUAACAUUUUUCAUUUAAUUGUAUAAGAAAGUUGUAGGCAAUCAAAGAGUGAGGUUUGGUAUUUGCAUAUAAUAUAAUACUCAAGUUUACCAUUUUCUAUCUAUCAUAUGCUAUGUGCUUAUCCUAGUAAUAUAAUCUUAAUAAUAUAGGGCAUCUUUAAAGGUGGAAACUUUAUACUUAAUCUACUACUAUUAACUCCUUUAAAAUCUUACUUUACUAUGAAGUAGUAUUUUACUAUUUAGCUGGAGUUAAUUAGGUAUUGUUUAGUGUAAACAGGGGCAUAUUUGGAAUUCUAUUUUUAAUGUGUAUAUUUUGUAGCAUAAGUGGAGCUGUCCCUUAUAUAAAUGAAUACUUUACUAGUCUAGCCUCUUUCUUUUCCUUUAAAAUUUAACUUGAAUUUCCAUUUAUGAAGAUGAAAAAAAAGAGGAAUAGAAAUAGAAAUAGAAAAAUUACAGAAAUUAUUUAUUUCUGUUUAGAAUGCAAUCUCCAUCAAUGAUUUAAUAUUUUUGAUAACCUGGAUAUAAUUAAUUAAUAUUGAGAAAGAUAAAUAACUAAAGUGAUAUUUUUUAGAAUUAAAUUAAAUUUUAAAAUGAGAUAAAAAAUUGAAAGAAAUUUUUUACUAAAAGAAAAAAAAAAAGAGGAUCAAUUUUAAUCGGUUUGCAUUUUUUUUAAUCCAAACCUCAUUUAUUUCAGUUAAUUAGUUUAGCUAUUUGGAAGAACUUUUAAUAUAGCCAUCACUCACAUAAGAGAUAAUUGCAUUUGUAGGGAAUGAGUUCAAUCAAUGAAGCAAUUUACAUCAUAGAUGACAUAUACUUACAAGCAUGCUAACAAUAAAUACUCACACUAUGUAGUUAUCUAUGAAUUAAGGAAGCACUAUGCUAUAUAGACUAUAGACACUCCAUAAAAAAUAAUCAGCAGAAUUUAGUGACCUUUGUUGAUUAAUGAAUUGUGUCCACAGAAAAAGCAUAUAAUUAAUAAUAGUAGUUAGGUAAAAUAGGUUGGGAGGGGAACCCCAAUAUAUAUAGGAUAAAAAUCUGAUGUCCCCAAAUAUGUUCCAAAGUCUGUAUUAAAUCAAUCAUAUUAUGUUACGUUAGUUAAAAAAAAAUUAAAUACUCAUGACUUUAUCUAUUUUUGCUUUAUUAUAAUUGGUCAGGGACAUGUUUCGAGACAUGUUUAAAGAUAUUAGAUCUCAUCCCAAUAUAUGGCCCCCCUUUCAUUGUUGCUUGGACGGCAAGGCUAGUCAAAUGAAGCAUUCAAUUCUCAUUGAGGUAUUUGGGUGUAUCCUAUAUGUAAAAAGGUUAAUCUAGUUCAUACAUUUUGUUUCAUUUCACUAGCUGAAAGUGGUCCUAAUUCACAUGCAUUACAAUUAUUCUACUCAAUGUAAUCUUCAAUUUCUUAUAUCAAAUUAAAGAAUGGCUAUGUAGCCCACCUAAGGUUUAUAAAGAAAGAAAACACAAAUUAAUUCUCUUAUAGGACAGGCCUAAAGAUUAGAGGAAAUAGUUUUAGAGAGCCCCUUAAGGAAGUGCUGUAAAUUUCAUUUGAGUAUUGCUCAUAUUGUUUUCCAACUUUUUUAAUCAAAAUGGGUGGAGAAACAUAAAGAAAAAGAUGGCAUUUUUUAAGUCAAUUUGCUCAUGCUCUUGUUGGCACACAUGCUAACUUCUUCGUACAGGUCAAAAGAUUGUUUGCCCUGCUUAUGAAGUUAUUUACAUAGACAGUGAUGGCCCUUAAAGAAAAAGGAUGCCAUUCUUUUCUUUUUUUGUAUUUCGUAUCCUCGCACUUGAGACAAUCAUGUCUGAGCUGGAAACAUCCACAAAUAUAUCUUUUCCUGUGGAUAUUUUUUCCAUCCACAAGACUCGAAUCCGAAAUUUUGCUUAAAGGGAAUCAAGCAUGUCUACUUGAAUGAACUGACAUCAGUUGGUCAUUCUUUAAGUAAACUUAUUCCUACUCUACUUGUGUCUUGUAGAUACGUAUAGGUCAAAAGAUUGCUUACCCUACUUGUGUCUUGUGUGGUUAAUUACUUCGAUAGGGAUGUACAUUAAAAAAGAUUCUAUGAUGCCGCUCAAGGAAGAGAUUUAACUCAUAGUGCUGCCAUUGAUUAUAUUUGCAAGCUUAUAUUCAAGAUUGCAAACAUUUUCAUGACACACAUGGCUCAGUUGUUAUUUUCUUAGUUAACGUUUAGAGUCCAAGGACUUUUUUGCAUAAAGAUUACUUUCGGCCUGGUUAAAUUCCAGUGAAAUUUCAUGGUAGUAGGAGGCAGGAUGAGGAUCACUUAUCUCAAACAGUGUCUCAUUUUCUAUACCAAGUCAAUCAUAUAUUAACACGUGAAUAAAAUAAAGAAUUUAAAAACAAAAAGUAAUAAAAUGAAACACUCUGAUUGAUUUGGGGCAUGGAGUGGAACACCAUUUGUGACAGAUGAUCAUGGUAGAAGACUAAUGCUGAAUCUUGAAUAUUGAAUUGUUAACCCUAUUUAGCAUAUGGCAUUUAUAGAAGCAUCUUGGGAGUGGCCUCAACAAAUUUAUACUUGGGCAGAGACCUUUUAAAUCCGAUGAUUCAUUGGCAUAAUCUUUCAACAUAAUUCUACUCAUACUGCCUAGGAAUAUACAAAAAUUAGAACCUCAUAUACAAGGAGUGGGAAAACAAGAUGAUGGAUGAUCCGCUAUAAAUGUAAAGUCAUAUUAACUACGGAAUUUAGUCUCUUUCUGGCGCAUCACCGGAAACUCUUCUUGCACUGAGGUUUCCUGUGAAGGACCAUGUCCUCUCAAAAUCAGUUGAGGCCAACUUUUCAGACUUAGAAUAUGUUGCCUCCUUUCGACCAUUCCGUUUCACAGAAGGUGUUCUUUGAGGACUGCAAGGGCUCCCGGUAACAGGAGAGGAGGAACAGAAAGAUGGGGUUGCAAACGGAGAGGCGUAUGGGGUGUGUUGAAUUGAGAAUGAACUGGGUGAAAUUCGCUUCUGAAUGGGCAUACCUCCAAAACCUCCUUUGCUGAAGAGAGGGAUAGAAUCUGCAGCGGCACAUCGCUUUAUGGUGUCAUCUACAUAAAGGACAUCAUCAAUCCUGGCUAUUAUGUUAAAGGCCAAGCUCUCCAUCACCCUUGAAUAACUUUCCAGAAUAGACUGUCCUACAUCCUGCAGGGAAAAGUAUAAUUCACAAAAGGUUAUGGAGUUGAUUCUAAGCUCCCUCACCCAAUGCCAGUCCUCAGUAACUAUACACUAUUAAUAAAUCACUUAUAAGACGAGUAAUGGUUAUAUGUACCCAUGGUUACCAUUAAAUAUUGACAGAAAUCAUUCACCAUUAUGUAUCUAAUUGUCAAAUCAAUAUGGACCAUGAAAUUGAGAGAGCACUACCACACAUUUAACAUGGAAACUAUAGAAUACUUAAUGUCAGGGAAUUAUGGAUGUUCUCUCACUAGUUACUGCUGGAAGGAAUUUCUCAAUCAAGUCCUCAGUUGCACCUUAAAUAUUCCAUAUUGCCUUGACAUAACUAUUAGCUAGUUUAAAAUUUAUUUUAAGCAGUGGCCCUGCCUUGUAAAUCAACAUAACAGACUUUGAGUUCAGUCCAAACUAAAGAUUAAGAUAAUCUACCUUAUUAUAUUGUAUCUUGGCCAUAUCUAGUGCGGUUUGAGGGAGCCCUGGAAAUCGGUGUUUCAAGCUUUGUAGAAGGGUAUCUGCUCGUUGAGAAAGAAAAUGGCUCCUUUCACUAUCAGCAACCAGGCCCUUCACUUUUCCACUCCAAGAGCGUCUGGCUUUCACUGAGUUUGAAUGUUUCUUGCUGUCCUUCAGCCUCCAAACAUGCACCGCAGCCUCGAUUCUAUUAGCUAUAUCCAGAGUGUGGUGCUCUGACGAGAGAUCCAGGCAAUCAAGGAGACAUUCAGGCGAGAAUUUGUCAGCAGUUAUGUAUCGAUAGAUUAUAUCCCCUAGACAAGCUUUUCCAUUCUGCAUUCGUAGUUGUACAAUAUCACAAAGGCACUUGAGUAUUCAGCAACGUGAUAUCAUAUUUUCAACAAUUCCUACCAGAUAAAUACUAAGACAUUACUGAAUUCCAGUUUUGAACCAUGGAUAAAAGUCAUAAAACUGUGGAAUAGGGCAUGAUUUCCUUACUUCUAUUUUCACAAGAGAAAAUUUGAAAUUCACACAGCUCAAAGAUCUAUUGGAAUUGAUGUAUGUCAACCUCUAGUUCUGUCAUAUUCAUAAUUUCAUAUGAUAUAACCAUACCAAAAUUAAGAAUGCAAUACAUACAGAGAUGUCCACACACAAUAUUCUGUACUUGCAGCACAAACAAGUUUUACCUUGGGCAGGGAUUCUAUGUAGGCGCGAGGAAUUUCCAUUUCAGCAAGUACAGAACUAUUAAUUGCCAUGGCAGCCUUCAAUAUCUGGUUAGUGCAAUCCCUGCAUUGCUGCAACCUCUUUCUAUCAUCUUCAAACAAGCCAUUUGGUGGUAGCUUAGGCGAGGGAAGCCACCAUUUCUCCUCUUGCCUAACUGAAGGUCUACCACUGUAGUCAUCACAAUCCUUGUCACCCAAUAUAAUUCCUUUGUCAACAUACCAAAACUGUGUAUCUUCAAAUCCAUCAAGCAUACCAAGCAGCAUUCCAUCAAGCUUCUUCAAAGCCGGUAGAUUGAUGUACAAAUCAGAGCGAGGACGCAUGGCCAUGAUUUCAUAUGUUCCACCACCAGGAAACUGCUGCACAGAUGGCACAAGCUCCACGAUAGAAUCACUUACGCAUAAGAGCCAUUCCAUUUCUCUACGCCACAUAGCCUUCUUCUGUGGUGCCAGGGGCUCUAACCUCCAUAGCUCACCAAACACAGUUGCUGCCAUUUUUUGGUAUAUAAUCCAAGUUACAUUCUAGACACAAAUUCUCUUUCUAUGCAAAUUAACAAAACUAACCAGAGAGAUUGGUUAUUGCAUUUGAGAUUGCAAGUGCAGUGCAGACUCCUUUCCCUCCACCAGACAUGUCUUCCCCUAAAAGCAGCUUCGCGAACCUCUCCUUCAUCAUUUCCACUUCUGCAAAAUCCAAAUUCUGGUAAAGUACUGAGGAAAAAAGUAACUAUUUGGUACAAUGUAAUUAUACAGUUAACAAAUUGAACAAAAGCUUAAGAUUCAUCACACAUUUUACUCCACAGUUUGAAUUGUGGUCCAAAACCACAAUAUUACCGUUUAGGUAAUCUCAGCAACUACAUUGUCAAUUUGUCACCAUAAUUAUGGACAUGUUGACCAAAUCUUCCAACAAUUCGCAACAUAACCGCAUCCACUAUAGCAAUUCAAAUUUCAAAACUAUGUUUCACUCUCACAUGAUAAUACAGUUCAAAACUACUCCAAAAAUAGAAAGAAACGAGAGCAAGUACCUGACAAAUCUACGUCACGUUUUUCACGGUUGUGAUCCCAUAUCACCACAUCUUUACCACCUAUUACAGGUAUCAUAACCUGCGCCGCCGGGAAGUUGAAAUGAGCGAGGAGAGGAAGAGGUGUGAGAUUGGCGGAGGUGGAGGCACCUUCAGUCUCGAAACGGCGACCACCGCAGAAACUGGUGGAACUCUCGGAUUCGCUGAUGUCAGCACUGACGCUGUAGCUUCCGCAACGUUCGCUUUGUUGAUCAGAACCAUCUUCAGAUGAAACACUUCCCAUUACUCAGAUCUCACACAUUUGAACCGAGUACCGGUAAUGGUGGUAAAAGAAAGGAAUAAUAAAAUGGAAAGUGAAGAAGACAAAGCAGUGUUACUACCGGGAGAGAGAUAAGGAAGAAGGGUUAUAUUAGGUUACUUUUAAACUCAACGCAUUCUCUCACUCUCUUUCUAUAUAUAUGAGAGUGUUGUGGUAGUGAUGAUGAUGAUGAAGUAAAACUAAAACGAUAAAGCGACGCCGUUUGCAGGGGUUAUCUUUCCGUAACACCAAACAUUUUGCUUUUACCCUAGGUCCCGCUCUUUUCCAAUAUUUUAAUCGCAGUCCUUGUGACGUGGCGUUCGGUGAUUGGGCCAGCUUAAAACAGUUGAUCACGGAUCACGAGAUCGACGGUUAACUCUUCUGUGGGGAAAAAUAGGGUGUAGUCAAUCUCAUUAAGAGAAUUGUGGAAUGUGAUUGGGAUUUAGAAUGAUGGAAUAUUAUAAUGGAAAGAAAGUUGGCAUGGCGCGCGCUACAGAUGAUUCUGACAUUAUGUGGAGCUUAAGUUACCGCGCAGAUUAGGUAUACGGAAUACCCACACUCUAUACGUACUGCAUUGUAUACACUUUUUAAUAAUUUAUAAUUUAUCCUUUCAGACAAUAAAAUAUGACAUAUGUAUUGUUUUGUUUAAUUUAAAAAUAUUUUGUAAAAAAUAAUUAGAUAUGACAUAUAUAAUGAUUUUAAUAGUUGAAUGAGAUAACUUAUAUCAUCAUAACAGAAUGUAUUUUACACUCUUAUUUUAUAAAAUACAAAAGUAAGCAAGACACGUGUCCAAAUCCAAAAGGAAGAUCCUUUUGCGUCAUGGAAAUCUUUUGCAGAUCAGAGGGUUGUGAAUGAGCAAGUACUAAGUAGCAUAACUUUUUAAUUUACUUUCUUUCUUUAUGGCUACUACCCAUUAAUCUUAAAAGAUAAUCAUUUCCAUUAAUGAAGAGAUAGUGUAUCUUUAUGAUAUUUAAUAUAAUAUUUAUAAAUUGAUAGUAUAAAUAUUUAUACAUAAUUAGUACACUAUUCAUUUGUAUUACUUUUAUUUUAAAGUUAAUCAUAAUUAAAAAUGAAUGAUGGAUAAUACAACGACAAUAUAUAAAUCUUUUAUAUUUUUAAUGUAUACAUUUUUUUUAUUGCAACUAUUAUUUUUUCUUUACCUUUAUUAUGAUAUCUGUACUAGUUAUGAGAGAUAAUUAAUAAGAUUAUUCUAUAGAGAUAUUUAUUACAUGGAAAAAUAAGUAAAAUGAUACACCACAUUCAUUACAUUUCAUAUAGAAUAUGCUAAGACCUUGAAAACAAUAAAAAAGAAGGAAGUAUAGGGUAAGUGGUAACUUAUGAGCCUCGUGAAAUGGGACACAGAUCACCUGUCUUUAUUCUUAUCUCAUUUUCCCAUCCCGGUCCAUUAAAAAAUUGACACUUCACUAAAAAAAGAAUUUUAAAAACUUAAAGUAACAUAUGUGCAUUACUUGGAAAAACCCUAUUAGCUUGGGAUAUGGGGACAUACUAAUUUUGGGACAGGUGAUCCCGAUUCCGUGAAAUGAGUAUGAGCAAAAUUGUUGUUUCUACUUUAGAGAUGUGGUGAUGGGUUUGGAAUACCAAGCAUGCUGAAUAAUCACAUUAAGGGAAACCAUACCAUGAUGGUGUUAAUUAUGAUCCACCUAAAGGAUUUUUAACCUCUUUCCUUUUAUUAUAUACCUUACUCUAGGAUGAAGUUCAAGAUUUGCAAUUUAUAAUAUCUAACUUUAGUUUAUAAAUCAAUAAACCAACGACUAAAAUGUUAUGGACCACAAAUGUUAAAUAAAUGGGAGUGACAAACUUCUAUUUACCUUUUAAGAAUGAUUAGAGGUUUCAUACAUUAUAAUGGAAUUUGAAAUUGAUGAAGGUUUCCUUCAACUUACGAUAUAGCUAUAGUAACCUUAUAGUUUUAAUUUAGGUUGGUAGUAUUUAAUUUUUUGUGUGAAAUAGUGCUUCAUUUUUACUAAGGUCCAACAAUAUUUCUGAACCAUGUCAAAGGUUUGAUCUCUAAAAAUAGAAAUAAAAUUCAUUUUAGCUUUUUCUUUAUUUUAGCCUAUCCAAGUGCUAUAAAUAUUUUACUACAAAAAAUGUGAAAAAAUACUUGACACUCAUGGGCUGAUCCAAUGGACUCUAUAUUUUAAUGUGUGUGUUAGGACUUUGGACUAUGUUAAUCCAUGGAUGAUGGACCACACUCCAUUUAUAAUGCAUAACAAUAAAACAUUAAAUGAUUUUUUUGUUUCUUUCUCUUAAUAACCAAAUAUAUUCCUCAUAAAAAAACUUGUAUGAAGACACAUGUAAUAUAUCAUAUUUAGAGACAAAUACACUUUAUGGUUUUUGAUGUUAUCAUUUAAAAUUAAAUUAAAUUAAAAUUAAAAUAUUAAUAUAUAGUCAAGAUCUUAUUGACUGUCUCUACAUGAUUUUGUCAUCAUUCAAGUCUUUUUCUCUUCACAAAAGCCAAUCCCGUCCUAGUAGGAUAGCAUGGUGUGGAAGAAUUUGUUUGAACAAUUCUACCUUAAAAAAAAAAAGAAUAUAUAUAGUGAAGUGUAAUAGAUUUUACAUUGUUAUUACAUAAUUUACUAUUAAUUUUUAAUUAUUAUUAACUUUUAAAUGAAUGUAAUAUAUAAAUAAAUAGUAAAUAAUAUAUUGAUUGUAUAAUUUUUUAUGCUGUCAACAUAUAUAUAUUACACUCUUAAAAAAAAGUAUUUGUAUGAGACAUUUGGAACUAUAGUGUCAAACAAAAUAACUUAGUUUCUCCAUUUCAAUAUUGUAAACAAACUUAACAAUGGUCAAUACACUUGAAGAAAAAUUAACAGGGGCAAUUUAUCAUCGCAAUACAAGUUGUAAUUACUUUCAUGCACUUAUAUAUAAGUGGAACAAUAGGGUAAGAAUUUUCACUAAUCUGAUUUUUUUAAUUGAAAUUCAAUUAGUCCCACAUACGACAAAUUUAAAAAUUGUUUUUUUCACCUCACAAAAUAAGAAAAGGAACUCUCAGCCAAAGAAUCAAGAAAUUUCUAGGAAAGAGCAUAUGAAAUUGCUUUUGAUAUGUCUUUGUAGCACAGAACAUUUUCUUAAGACUUUGAUUUGGUAAGAGAUAUUGGUACUACCAUAUAUUUUCUGGAAUAAAUUACAUGUUGUGUCAUAUCUAUGAGGCUUAUCAUCAUUUACUCCAAAUAGAAACACUUCUUGUAGUCUUUGAAUAAGACUUCCAAGUCAAAGUAUGUGGGGUUUCGUUAUUCUUUCUGCUUUGGACUCUUACCUGGAAAUUCCGCUUUCAACCUUCCCUUAGUUGAUUUGUAUUCUUAGUUUUAAAAUCAAAAUUUCAUAAUCAAGUCCUUGUAGCAAUCUUUUUUUUUGGUAGAAAUAUAACCAAUCAUAUUUUUUCAUCCCUUAGGAAACUAUUUUAUGAAAUUUUCCUUCCAACAAAUGUCACUCUGAUUAUAAUAAUAUUAACGCAUAGAUAAAAUAAAAAAUUUAAAAAUAAAAAGCAAUAAAACGGAAUACUCUAAUUGACUUAAAACAUGGAAUGAAUAUUAUUUGGGAUAUAUGAUUUUCUUCCUUAUAUGUAAUGGUCAUGAUGUAAACUUGUAAAGCAAUGUGUACGGAUAAUUGUGUCUAGAAUUACUCUAAAUUAUUGGUGAAGUCAAUUCGUUUCUAUUGGUGAAGUCUUUGAAUCAAGGGGACAAAUGACAAUAACAUUAUUUCAAAUGCAUUCAUAUACGCGUUAGCAACAUUAUUUCCAAUGGGAUCCUCCCACUUAUAAUCAAGUACAAGACGAGAUUAAGACAUGUGACACAAAAAUUAUUUCAACAAUCAUGAUUAUAUCUUAUUUUCUAAUAAAUAAUUUAAAAAAAAUCAUCCUUAUAUUCUAGUACUUAUCUCUUCAGUAUUGGAAAGAAGUUAAAUCCAUUAUUUCAUAUAUAUAUAUAUAUAUAUAUAUAUAUAUAUAUAUAUAUAUAUAUAUAUAUAUAUAUAUAUAUAUAUAUAUAUAUAUAUAUAUAUGAAAUAAUGGAUUUAACUUCUUUCCAAUACUGAAGAGAUAAGUACUAGAAUAUAAGGAUGAUUUUUUUUAAAUUAUUUAUUAGAAAAUAAGAUAUAAUCAUGAUUGUUGAAAUAAUUUUUGUGUCACAUGUCUUAAUCUCGUCUUGUACUUGAUUAUAAGUGGGAGGAUCCCAUUGGAAAUAAUGUUGCUAACGCGUAUAUGAAUGCAUUUGAAAUAAUGUUAUUGUCAUUUGUCCCCUUGAUUCAAAGACUUCACCAAUAGAAACGAAUUGACUUCACCAAUAAUUUAGAGUAAUUCUAGACACAAUUAUCCGUACACAUUGCUUUACAAGUUUACAUCAUGACCAUUACAUAUAAGGAAGAAAAUCAUAUAUCCCAAAUAAUAUUCAUUCCAUGUUUUAAGUCAAUUAGAGUAUUCCGUUUUAUUGCUUUUUAUUUUUAAAUUUUUUAUUUUAUCUAUGCGUUAAUAUUAUUAUAAUCAGAGUGACAUUUGUUGGAAGGAAAAUUUCAUAAAAUAGUUUCCUAAGGGAUGAAAAAAUAUGAUUGGUUAUAUUUCUACCAAAAAAAAAGAUUGCUACAAGGACUUGAUUAUGAAAUUUUGAUUUUAAAACUAAGAAUACAAAUCAACUAAGGGAAGGUUGAAAGCGGAAUUUCCAGGUAAGAGUCCAAAGCAGAAAGAAUAACAAAAAGUCCAUUUUUCUAAAGUUUUAUUUUUUACUUAACUUUGGUGCUCCUUUAUGAUUAUGAGUCUACAUCCAUGACCAAGUCAUAAACACAACCUCUCUUUUAUUAAAUCACAAACUAAAAUGUAUUGAUUCAAGUGAUACAUGUUUGAUUCCUCUUAAGCAAUAUCUUGGAUUCGAGUUUUGUAAAUGAAAAAAUAUUAGCUGGGAGGAGUUAGCCCUAUGUACAUGUAGACGUUUCCGGCUCGAACAUAAUUGUCUCUAGUAUGAUGAUACAUGAGAAACAAAAAUAACCAUUCAUCCCUUAUAAAUAGCACCCCUCUCAAAUAUUCAUUCAAUGCAUAAGUUGUAACUAACUUUGUCUUUCUCCCAAAGGAAAAAAAAGGGUAUAGUAUUAUUGCAUUAGCACUAUCUAGCUAAAUAAUACCUACGUAGUAGUGUUCAUAAAUAAGCAAAUAUGAGUGAGGAAAUUACACUUCCAGGGUUCAGAUUUCAUCCCACAGAUGAAGAACUUGUUGAUUUCUAUCUUAAGAACAUGGUUGCCAACAAACUUCGUUAUGAUAUCAUUGGUUUCCUCAACAUCUAUCACCAUGAUCCUUGGAACUUGCCUGGUAAUUAACCAAUUACUUAACUUCAAAGACAUAACUUAUAUUGCUCUAUCUAUAUCUACUCUUUUGUGUUCCAUUGUUCAACUUAAAGAGUAUUUUUAUUAUUAAUAUACAAUGAAAAUCGUGUUUAUGAUACACGACUUCUAAAAAAAGUGGAAGUCGUGAUAAGAAACACAACUUUCAUGGUAGAGAGAGUCUGGUCUAUGACUUCCUAAACUUGUGGAUCUCAUACAUGUUCCCUAAAAACUACAUUAUUUCCGUAAAUAUUUUAAAACAUGUACCAAAUGUGUACCAGUAACUUUGAUGUUAUCUAACAUAUGUUGUUAGACAUUAUGAGACAUUUUAAUAUUAAUGUUAAUAAUGUUGUUAUUAUUAUAGGGUUGUCAAAAGUGGGGGAAAGAGAAUGGUACUUCUUUGUGCCAAGGGACAAAAAACAUGGUAGUGGAGGAAGACCUAACAGAACAACUGAGAAAGGGUUUUGGAAAGCCACUGGUUCUGAUAGGAGAAUUGUGACUUUAUCUGAUCCUAAGAGAAUCAUUGGGUUGAAGAAAACCCUUGUUUUCUAUGAAGGAAGAGCUCCUAGAGGAAACAAAACUGAUUGGAUUAUGAAUGAAUACCGUUUACCAGACACUUGUAACUUACCUAAGGUAUAACAUCAUUAACAACUAUGUUUGAAUUGUUAGUAGUUAAUAAAAUACUACUAUUAAUAACUGUGUUACAUGUGUAUAGGAAAUAGUGUUGUGCAAGAUAUAUAGAAAAGCAACUUCAUUGAAAGUGUUAGAACAAAGGGCAGCAUUAGAGGAAGAGAUUAAGCAAUUGGUUAGUUCCCCUACAAAUUCUAUGGACACAAUGUCCUUCAUUGAAGAUCAAAACAUGCUUCAACAACAUGUUAUUCUUAAGAAAGAAUCUGAAGGUAAUGAAGAAAUGUUAUCAGUGCCAAUGCAAGAAAAUACAAGGACUCAAAUGCCUAUCAUAGAAAACAAAAACAAAAUGACUUGUGGUACAUUACUACAAUUACCCUUAGGAAAUGAUAAACUUCCAGAGCUACAACUACCUAUGAUGAUCACUGAUUGGACCCAACUCACCCAAGAUAACUUCUGGGCUCAGUUGAAUAGUCCAUGGCUUCAAAACUUCACUCCUAGUUACUCCAACAUCUUAAACUUUUAGUAACUUUGUUAUGUACCAUUACUCAACUUUACCAAUUCAUGUUAAUUAUUAUUACCUAUUUAUUCUGCAAUGUAUAUGCAGUGAAUUAAUUAAUAAACUACUCAAGUUAGUCUACAUUUUAUAUCAAGAAAUGAAGCAGCUUAUUAUUCUAAGCCACACUAAUGUAUCUUGUUUUAUUAACUAUUAAUUAAUCAUCCUAUCAGUAUUAUAAUAUUCAAACUUCAUAAUGACCCUUUGAUUAUUAUUACUUGCAUAAUGGCUUUUUCUUUUUUUCUUUAUCAUGUUCCUUUUUUGGCAUAAUGCUACUAAGUAAAAUCCAAGGCUAGUAUUAUCCGGUGAAGAAAUCAUGCUUCAUAAUAAAAACAAAAGAAAAAGCUUUCAAUCUGGUAUACAUAGUGCUGAAUAAAAAAAACACAAGACAUUCAGAUACUGUUGAAUGUUGAUUAUACUAGUAGCUCUUCCCCAGAAUUACACCAACAAUUAUGGAAACAAGAGCAACCCCCAAGAAUGAUUUGAAGUUUAUGGCUGGUGAAACAUGUGAUGUUGCUUCAGUAGUUGUUGUUUCAGUAGUUGUUGUUUCAGUAGUUGUUGCUUCUGAAUUUUUCUUGCUGCUCCUUAUUGAUGGAGUUGAAAUGAUUGAUCCAAUGUCCCUGGAUUUGACUUCCAAAUCAUCUUUCUGGUCAACACCAUCAUCAACCUAGAUCAUUGUUAAAAAUAGAAAAUGACAUUUUGCUAACAAGUUACUAGACUCAAAUGUUAGAUGUUAUGAUAUUUCUACAAAUACAAUCAUAUUUCAACAGAAAGUACAUUUUUUGAAAGCAUCAACCCAAAAGUCGUAUUUGGUCUUUUUAUUAGCAUACCACUGCAUACCUAGUUGGAGGAAAUUUACAAGAAAGUCGGUUUGGAUAAGUUUUUAGGCAAAAUACGAUAUGAUCCAAACAUAUAAUUAAGUUGUGGUCCAGUUUGGUAUGUUUAUAUUCUGAUAUUCGAUCCAAUCCAACCCAAAUAUUAUAGAUGGUUUCGGUUCGUUUGGAUCGAUUUUUUAAUAAAACAUGAAAUUGCACGUGCAUUCAAAACUCAUAAAAAUAACUAAAUACAUAAAACAUCAAAAAAUAAGUGUUCAAGAACAAUAAAAGUAAACAGCAACAAAAAAACAUCAAUAAACAACUCAAAAUUAGCAAGAUAGCAACAAUAAAAGUAAACAAUAGAAAAACUGCAACAAGACAAUAACAACAUGAGCAACUGCAACAUAAUUUGUUUACACUAACAUGACCAAUACAUACCCACUUCUGGAAAACAUAAUUGGUAUAAAAGUACCAAUUUUUAUUACAUUCUUGGCAUCUUUUUUAAUUUUUAAAAGUACAGAAGAUGUGUUGAAGAAUUGAAGAAUGAAAACUAUAAAGUAAUAAAACACUAAUUUCAGAGAAAAUAAUUGGUCUUUACAUAGGGAGACACAAUUUUGGGAGUUGGGACUUAGGAUAAAGUCUUGAAAACAUUUAAACUUUACAUACUAUUCCGGUCUGGUCUGAAUUGAUAUUGAUUGGGAUCCAAGACGUGAAAAUGAAAACCGGACCGGACCGAUCGGUGUUUAAAAAAUAAAUCCGGCACAACCUCGUUUUUUGCGAUUUCGGUCUAUUUUAGACCGGUUUUCAGUUUCAUUUUUGGAGCGGUCUGACUUUGAAUCCCCCUACAAGAAAGCAAUAAUGAGGAGGAAAAAAAUCAAGACCAUAACACUUAAAAAGUGAAUGUUAAAUGCUUCAAAGAGUUUGAAUCAUAUUCAUUUACUUUACUUGGAAAGUUGAAAUGGAUGCCAAUCUUGGAUUUUCUGGUUUUAAGAUUAGGAGGAAAUGUACUUCUAGGACAAGGAGGAACUUUAACAUGAAGUGCUAAGGGAAUUACCUGAACUGAUGAGAUUUCAUCACCUACUUGUUGCAAUUUCUGCUCUAAAUCUACCACUUGUUUCUGUAGAAGAGAGACUUCCUUGUUCUUAGUUUCAAGUUCUGCAACAGAAUUCUUCAGGGUUGCUUCUAGUUCCAACUUCUGAGAUUCUGUUCCUACCUGCAAGUAAUAUUCUCAGAGUUCAGCAUCAAUAUAUUGCUUUUCUUUGGUAUCUUGCAAUGUUGAAAUAUGAUAUGAUGCAAGUAAAAGUAUCAUGGGCAUACCUGGUUAGCAAUAGUAGCCCGUGCAAGUUGUAACUCUUUCUCAAGUUCGGCGACCUUUUCGUUUAGUACAUUUCUAUCGUGGACUUUCGCUGCAAAAUCUUCCGAUUUUGAACGUAAUUCUACCUCUCUUUGAGAAACAACAGCUUGAAGCCUUCCAACCUGCAAAACAUAGAUUCAUUAGCGCAGUUCAUUUGAAUUCAUAGUUGACAAUUAGGUUCUGAAAGGCACUUUUCUUCUGAAUUUUGCACUUAUUCACAAAUAGAUAGUUUAGCAGUACCUCUUCAUUUAGCCUAGAUUCAGAUUUUAUUAGCUGCUCUUCGAUUUCAAUCACCCGACUUUGCAAUUUCGAUUUCUCAGAAAUCUCAAUUUUCAGUUUUUCAACCUCAGAUCUCAGAGAAUCUUCAUCUCUCUGCUUCUCUUUCAACCUCUCUUCAAGAUCAAAUAUUACAGACUGAAGUUCCUUCUUUAAAUUGUGAUUUGUCUCAUUGAGAAAGUUCUUCUCAUUUAGUACUGUAGAUAUCUACAAUUUGACACAUUCCAUUAUUAGAUCAUUUCUCUAUUUAUCAUAGUUUAUACAAAAAUAUCAUUUCAGAAAUUUACAUUCAGCACAAUGCAAUAGAAGAAAUGGAAAGUAAAGGAAUAUUAGUACCUCUGAUUUUAGUGUCUGCACUAGUGCAUUAUGCUUUGUCACCAAUUCUUCAAUUGCAUUCUUCGAGGUGAGUAUCUCUCGAGCUAUUCCAUCCUUCUCAACUAGUGCUACAGAUAGCUUUGACUGUAAAUCACUUAACUUGGAUUCAUACGCAGCUAUUUCGUGAUUAAGCUUUGAAUUAUCGUCAGCGACUGUUUCAAGAUGCUUUAAUUUUAGGAGACUCUCCGACAGACCAGCUUUGAGAGUUUCAGAAAUCGCAACAGCUUCUUGUGCCUGCUUUUCAGAAUGCUUUAUUUUGCCUUCUAGUGCAUUCAGUUUCUCAUUCAAUUCUUUGGUUUCCGAUUCCUUUUCAGCAUGCCUCUGCAAUGCUUUAUGUAAUUGUGAUUCUACUUCCACCAAGUGAGCUUCAUUUGCAGCAUGAGUUUCAGCCGACUUUGAUUGUAGAUCAUUCAACUCCACUAAGGUGUUCUUAUGAUAAACAAGUUGUUGCAAAGUGGAUUCCUUCUCUGAUAGAGCAGAGUUUAGUAAUUUCUGAAGCUCAUCAAUCUUGGUUUUCAGUUGACUGUUGGUUCCGAUCAAUAACUCAUUCUCGGAUAAAUACUGAGAACUCUUGUUCUCAGCUUCUAUAAUUUGCCUUCUCAAAUCUUCUUUGUUACUUUCCAAAGAAGCCAGUUUGCUUGUACUCUCUUCAAAAUCAUUCUUCAAAGAUUUUGACUGUUUCGCAGCUUCCACGACCUGUUCUUCCAGAAUCUUAAUUUUCUCAAGAAGAGAUUGAACCUCAGACUCCUUGUUGUUGAAUUUUUCUAUAGCUUGUUGGAGUUUCUGUUCAGAAUCUCUUGACAGAGAUUCAUGUAACAAUUGAAGUUCCCUGUUUCUUGCAGAUGUCUCAUCCAUAUCUCUUCCUCGUAUUUUAAUAUUUUGUUCCGACACUUUAAGUUUCUCUAUCGUCUCACUCUCUCUCAAUUGCGAAGCCUUUAGAUCAUUUUCAGUGCUUUGCAGCUUAUCUUGUGUAAGAUUUAAUUCAUCCCUCACAGUUUCAAACAGAUUUUCUGCUUCAGCAAGUUUCUUACUCAAACUGUUUGAAGAGUCUUCUAACCUUUUCUUAUCAUCUGUUACUGCAUUCAAAGAAUCUUCUAACUUCUUCUCUCUCACAUUAGCUUCCUGAAGUGAAAUUUCAAGGCUCGAUGCCAGUGCUUGAAAUGCCUCAAGUUUUGAUGUCAAAUCAGAUACCUUGUCAAGGUUUUUAUUAGCAUUUGCUUCAGAAUCAGUACAUCUCUUUUCUAAUGUUCUUAUUUGUUUUUCGAGUUCAUGAAUUCUGGAUUUUUCUGUUUCAAGUAACAACCCCAACUCACUUGCCUUUUUAUUAGCAUCCUCUAAUUUGGAUUGAGAGCUUUGGAAUAAACCUUCUAGUUCUAGGCUACGCUGAUGGUGCAUACUGGCUCGGUCUCCGUUCUCAGCACAUUUGUCAUUGAGGAUCUUUAGCUCCCCCUCCAAUUGCGAACUCCGCAAAGAUGAUUGAUUCAGGCCAGAUUCGAGUCGAGUUACCUUUUCAGUGUACUCCUGCAAUUGGCUUUGUAGAAGCUUCUUUGCUUCCUCAGCCUCUGUCAAUUUAGUAUUCAGAUGAGAAAUUUUCUCAGAGAAUUCAGUUACUUCUCUCUCAGCAACACUGGUUUUCAGUUGUACUGCAUUUAAUUGUUGCUCAAGCUCCACGUUCUUUUGCUCCGCCUCUAUGAAGCGUUUCUCCACCUCCAUUAGUUGUGAUUUAGCCUUUUCCGCAACAGCAUUUGAAGCCUGAAUAUGUUCCUCAAGCUCAAGAUUCCUUCGACUAGCAGUAUCUACUUCAGCUCCAAAUUUAUUAUUGAGGACUUCCAAAGACUUCACCUUCUGCUCAAGCUCUGCGCUGUUCGAAAGUGCCUGAGAUAAAAGAGAAUCAGUAUUUUGGAAUAUUUUGUCCGAAAGCUUCAGCUUUUCCUCUAAAUCAGCAGACACUUCCUUAAACUGCUUCACAUUACGGGUUAGAUCUUCGACAGUGGCUUCAAGACCUUUGUUUUCUGCCUUAAGUUGAGUUAGUUCCUCCUGUACAGCCAGAACAUGUGCUUCCUGAGUCUUGAAUGCAACUUCCGCCGAUUCCCUCAACUGCUCUUCCUCCAGCAACUUCAACUCUGAACUUCCCAACUCAGAAAUCUUUUCUUGCAGUUGUUGCUUUGUGGAUUCAAAUAGAUUUUGAAGUGUUGACAAGUCUUCCUUUAGCUGGGUUUCUGAUGUCUUUCUCCGAUUUAACUCCUCGGUCAGCUCGCCUACUAAAGAGUCCUUCGAAGAUAGACUCGUUUUUGUUUCCAAUAGUUGCGAUUUUGAUAGCGACAACUCCUCCUGAGUGGUAGAGAGUUCUGCCGCGGUUGUCUUAAGUGCUUCUCCAACCUUUGCAGCUUCAUCAAUCUUAUCAUAUGCUCCCUUCAAUUCUUUUUGUAAAGCAAUAACCUGUGCUUCUUGAGUCUUGAAUGUAGCUUCUACCGAUUCCCUCAAUUUUCCUUCCUCCUGCAGCUUCAACUUCGAACUUUCCAACUCAGAAAUCUUUUCUUGCAACUGUUCCUUUGUAGAGACAAACAAAUUUUGAAGUGCUGACAAGUCUUCCUUUAGCUGGGUUUCUGAAGUCUUUCUCUGGUUUAACUCCUGGGUCAGCUCAUCUGCUAAACAGUCCUUUGAAGACAAUUUUCUUUCAGUUUCCAAUAUGUGCGAUUUCGAGAGCGACAACUCCUUCUGAAUGGUAGAAAGUUCUGUUGCGGUUUUUUUAAGCGCUUCUCCAACCUUUUCAGUUUCAGCAAUCUUAACAUAUGCUCCCUUCAAUUCUUCCUUCAAGGAUGCUACCUCAUCUUCCAUUCCUUUUGCACUCAAUUUGAAUUCUUCAAGUAUUCUCCCAUAUUCUAAGGUCUUCUUUCCUUCUGAUUCAGCAUGUGAACCACUUUGCUUAUGCAGCUCCUCAUACUUUCGUGCCUCGGCCACAGAAAAUUGCAGCUCCUGCUGCAAUUCCUCCGUCUUCUUUCUCGAGCUUUCAAGCUCAUGGCUCACACCAUCAAGUGCUUCCUUCACAUGAACAAGCUCUUUCUGCUUCACUUCAUGAACUUGCAGUGCCUCUUUAAGAGUGCUGAGCUGCAGAUUAUAUUUAUUCUCGGCUUCAAUAAUCUGCUCUUGCAAUUUCUUGUGACUCAGUUCAAGCUCUUCAUAUUUCUUUCCACUUCCCUCCACUUUCUCUUUUGUAGCUGAGAUCUCCCCCUUAAGCUGAGCAUUCUCAUGUUCCGAGGUUUUCAAGGAUUGCGUUAAUCGUUGUAGUUCAACCUCAAGUUCAUGUAUCUUCUCUUGUGCUUCCGCGAAUUCUCUGCUUCGAGGAUCCGAGCUUCUUUCAGUAAUGUUCGACUUACCAACUAAGGCAUUCUCUUCCUUUUCGACUUUAACGAAUUCGCCAUUCAAGCCAUUAUCUUCCUCUUUCUUAACUUGUGGCAAGUCUUCAUUUGUUUUCUGCAAUAAUCGCGAAGUAGGAUCAAUGGAUGAGUAUUAAGUAAUGCAACAUAUAAGCAUUUUAGCUUAUCAGUGGUUAAAACAAUCUUACAAUUUCUCUACUUCUUGUAUUGUCUAUGCAAAUAUAUACUAGAAAUUUAUAUAUUUUCAAACACCAAGUAUAGAAUAGAACUAGUAUAAUGACACCUCUCUUUUUUCUUCUCUGUCCUUUAACUCAAUACCAUUUCCAAAAGCACACAACUAGUUGAGCCUAAAUACAUACUAUGUGGAUUCCAAUAGCACUAAAUACGGACCGUGUCACGUGAUGUGGUAGCAAUAUUGCGGUUGCGGUGAUUGUGGUGGAAUACCGAAUCACAGUGAUGCGACCGCAAUAGGCCGCAAUACAACCACAUCAGACUGCAUUUUGACCCAAUCAAGCCGCAACACAACCGUAUUGGGCCGCAUCAGACCACAUCAAUGCCAAAAAUAUGUUUUUACUCACAAAAUAAUUCACACCGCAAGACCGCAAUCCACGUCGCAACGGCAGCAAUCACAAUAACCACAAUUGCAACCGCAGCCGCAAUUUAAAACACUAGCCUAAACUCAUAACUAAAAAUUACAAAUUCGGCCCAAGAUUAAGCAAAAUGUUGCUUGGUCCAACUCAUUUCCAGAUAGUAGUGUUAACACAGAAAUAAAUGGUAGAAAGAAACAUGUGGCAGAACUUUUGACUUAGUAGUUCUUUAACAGUAAGCAACUUCUAAAAUAACGAAUGCAACAAAACAGUGAUACCUUAGUGCUACCAUCUUUUUUAUUCUUCUCCUCAACAACCUUUGUUGGCAAAACUUCUGUAGCUACUUUUGUUUUUUCUUCCAUGUUUGCUUCCUCUUAGUGACUGUUUUCGAAGUAAAAAAGAAAUAUGAGAAUUGCACGUGCAUGAAGAUGAUAUCCCAUGUUAAUGGAUUGAUGAUACAUUAAUUAAUGGUAUAUAAAUUUUUACAAUAUCAAAUAUAUAUUCUUUAACUCAUAUACGGCAUAUUUAGAAAGAGAAAAAAAAAAUAUAUGUACUGCCAGGUUGUAAAUUUUAUAUACUGUUAUUGUAUCAUUAUUAUUGAUUUUUAACUAUUAUUAACUUUUAAGAAAAAAGUAAUCUAAAUAAAUAGUGGAUUAUAAAGUUUCAUAUUAUAAAUCUUUACACAUUUUACCCUCAUCUAGAGAAGGUAAUGCUAAUUGCUGGUAAUAAUAAUAAUUAGUAAGGAGAUUCUAUAUUACUACAUGAUUUUAACGUUCAAGCAACCAAAAUUUCAAAAAAUAAUUCAUUUACUUUACACAUUGGCUUUUAAUUAAAAAUAAUUUUAAGAUAGUGAGUUCUAAAAUUAUUAAAGGAUUGUCGAACAUUGUUCUUUAUAAAAAGAUGAAAACCAUGCAAGAUGAAAAUUUUAAAAUUGAUAUAUUUUUUAACAAGUGGAUUUAAGAUUAUCUGUUUUUAAAGUUUAAUGUUACGUAAGAUUUGGAAAGUGCACAAACUCUUUUAUAUAUUUUGCAAGUAACUAUUAUGAAUUAUUAUUUCUUCUUAAAUAUCCUUUAAACUUUGUUAAGUAGUAAUAUAAAUAUAUCAUUGUAUUAUUAAUAGGCAAACAAUGAAAGUGGUGCAAUCAUACUCACAACAAUAGCAAUACAACAGUGCAAGUUAGUUAAUAAUGAUAUUCAAAUAAAAUCAUCACCGAAAUAUAAAAUUGAUUGAGAAGAAAAUAAGUAAAUUUCAUAUUUAAAAGUGGUUAAUGAAUUAAUAUUGGUAUAUAUAAAACAAAUUAAAUAAUAAUGAUAUAACAAUCAAUAUUAAAACAAAAUGUAUGAAUUAGAAUUUAUCAUUGUUAUUAAUUUAACAUUUUGUCUAUGCAAAUAUCAAUUUUAUCAACAACUAAAGUUUAAUGGAUAAUUAGCAUAAAGAGUAAUUUACAGUGGUUACUUACGAAAAUUAUAAAGUUUAAGGUGUUUUUAUAUAAUAAAUUUCCUUUCAUCUUUUUUAUAGAAUUUUCUGAAAAUUACCUUUAAAGCCUCUAGUCUUCCUUGUUAAGCAAACUAAUAAGUUCUUUUUUCAAUUUCUUUUUUUCCUUCCAUUUUUUGUACUUAUACUAAUGGUGUCAUUAAACAAAAGAGAAAAAAUUGUAUGCAAUCUAUAAUAUAAGAGUUUUAUAGAUUCUCAUUCUAUCAUUUAUGAUUUAUUUUCAAUUAUCAUUAAUUCUUAAAAAAUAUAAAUGGAUUGUAUUGUAGCUAUGUAUAAAUCUAUACGGUAACGAUGUAUAAAUAUUAUACUCUAAUAAAAUAGAUCUAUCCAUCUAAUAUUUAAUUUUUAACAUUUGUCUUUUUUAUGAAAAUAAUUAUUUUAUCUAAUUAUGCAAUAUAUUAACACUACAAAAAAAUUAUAUGAUCAAUAUAAAACUUUUUAUUCUAUUAGUACAUUAUUUAUAUACGUUACUUUUAUUUAAGAGUGAACGAUAAUUAACAUGUAAUAUUGAAAACUGAAAAUAUAGUAGGCUGCAUAUCUAAGGUCUGAUCAUUUUAUUAUAUAGUCAUUUAAUUAUUUUAUAUAAUAUAUGAAAAAAAAAAGGAAAAAUAUGUAAAUCAUAAUUUGAGAUUGGAUUGUAAGUUUUAUCAAUUUUAAAAGAGACAUAUUAUCUAUUUAAAGGUAUGCUGACAUAUUUAAAUGUAUUACAUUAAAGUAGACUUUAAACAUAACAAAAGAUUAGAUGAAACUUUUAAACAAAUUUAGGUCUGAAAAAAUCUAAGAAAUUUAAAAAUGUCACACUUAGGAUGCAUUAUUAAAAAAAACUAUUUCCAUAUCAAUUGGUUACUUUAGACGUAUAUAUCAUUAAAUAAUAAUAUAAUUAAAUGAGAUUUGAUGGCUUUGAAAAUCAGAUUAUACAAGUUCUAUAUUAAAAAAUCACCACCUAACACCUAAUAGAUUAUGAAACAAACAUUAUGAUCUUAAAAAGGCAAAAGCCAAAGCCAAAUCCAAAUCAAACUUUUCAUAGUUGAGAAGCAAAUGAAUAGAAGUUCAAAUAAAGAACAUGAAAUUCCCAAACUCAUAAUUGAUUAUUUUCAAUAAGUAAAAUAAUGAUUAGAAAGUGAAACUACUAUGAAUCAUCUUCAUUCUUCACAUAACACAUUCUGAUCACAACAAAUAAGAAUCAAGUCGUAGAAGAACAAAAAAAAUUGACUAUAUAUAUGAUAUAAUCAGAUGAAUACAAAUAUAAUAACACACAAAGGUCUCAAUGUUAAGUAAUGAGCAAAUAGAUUAAAAACGAAGGUGCUUAGUUAAAUUGGGCAUGCAUGUAAUUAAGAAAUAAUAGAAACAUUACAUUAUGAUUGAAUAUAAAUAUGGAAGGAAGUAUUGCCUGAUAAAAUAGUUGAAUUGUUUGAGAUAAAGUUCACUCCACUGCUUGUGCUUGUGUCUUAGGAAAAAUAUUGAAAAUAAUAAGAAUAGUGAAUGUGAAGAAUGGUGGUGAUGUGGGUUUAUAUAAUAAAUUAAAAAAUUGUGUUUCUGUGUGUCUUUUUUAAAACAAUGGGACAGUGAUGGUGGGACCCAUUCCCAUAAUAUCUCAUCGACAAUAAAGUGAAUAAACUGCUUGGACUAAGAAAUCCCUGCUUUACAUUAUUCCCACCGUUUACUAUUUAUUCACAUCUACAUAUAUUAAUCCAUAUUUAUGUUUAUAUUAUUAUAAAGUCAAAAUAUGAGAUAAUUAUAAUUAUGGUGUAAUUUUUAUUUUAUUAUUUUGUCCUUUAAUAUUUUUAAUUUCUAUAAAAUAAUAUAUAAUAAUAGGUAGUCAUCAACAAAAUAUCAAUUACAUUUGAAAACUAUUUAUCUCCCCUUAAAUUGGAUAUUCUAAUAAAACAAUAAAGUUACAAUAUAAAGUAUAUCCAAAAAAUAUUAUAUACCAAAUACAAAAAAAAAUAUUUUAAUUAUAUAAAAAAUGAAUAUUUAAUUUUAAUAUUAUAUAUAUAUCUAUACUAUACAUAAAGUCAAAACUUGAAAUAAAUACAACCAUCAUUCUAUUUUCCUAUUUUGUUCAUAAUAUUUUCUAUUUCUAAAGUAAAAUCAUAUAAUCCUAGAUACUGUAAUUAAUAUUCAUAAAAUACAAAUAGACAUUCUAAUUAUACAAAAUAAAAUAUAUUAAAAAUGAAUAUUUAGUUGCAUAAAAUAAAAAUGUGGGUCAACAGUCGACACGCUGAUAAUAUAUAAAGCUAAAAUUGGUGUAACUAUUUCAUAGUAAAUAUUCAUUUUUUAUAAUCAUAGGUAAUCAUCAUCAAAAUAUUAAUUAUAAGUUGAAACUAUAUUUCUCACUAUAAAUUGGACAUUUUAAUGAAAACAAAAAAAUAUAAUACAAAUACAAAAAAAUCUAAUUAUAUAAAAUAAAAUAUAUAAAAAUUGAGUAUUUAGAUACAUAAAUAUUCAAUUUGUGGGUAGACAUGUAGUAAGUGGCUAUUGAUACAUUAAUGAUUAAUGACUGAUAAAUCAGAAAGUUACUGGAACACCCUUCAUUAUGAUAAUUGGCUUUCUUAUUUUUAUACGGUAGUGCAUAACCAAUUAAAAUAAUUUUUUAUAUAUUCAAUAAUUGGCUUGCCUAUUUUCCCCAAUAAUAUAAGCUUAAUCUGGUGUAUAAUAUUUAUCACUAUAAUGGUAUAGUAUUUCCGUGUAAAUUAUAAAUUUUCUUUUUAAGGAUCAGAAUGGUCAUUUCUGUUUAAAGAUGUUAUCAUAAAUUUAUUGGAAGAUCCGUUUUUAAAAUCACGCACUGAUUUUCUAUUUAUUUUUAGAUUUUUUGGAGUAUAUAACCAACUAGAAUUAAUUUUUAAAUACUCAAUAACUAUCUUGUGACCUUUUCCUCAUAAUAUAGGCUUAAUUUAGUGUAAAAUAAUUUUUUAUCAUGAUGAUAUUAUAUAUCAUAAAUUUAUUGGAGCACUCCUAGUUUUCUAUUUAUUUUUUUAUAUUUUUAGGAGUAUAUAAAAUUAAUUUUUAAAUAGUAAAUAAUUACCUUGCGACUUUUCCUGGUAAUAUAAGCUUAAUUUAUUAUAUAAUAUUUUUUUACCAUAAUAUUAAAGUAUAUCAAAAGUAAAUCUAAGUUAGAUCAUGACCCUUGUUCUAUAUUUCUUUUAAGAUUUUUAAUAGCGUGUAACUAACUAAAAUUAAUUUUUAAUUGCUCAAUAAUUAAUUAGUAUUUUUCUGAUAAUAUAAGCUUAAUUUAUUAUAUAAUAGAAAUUUAGAUAUAGCAGGUAGGGUGAGACUAUUGGCAUUUUAUAUCCACAUUCUUCAUUAAUCAAUCAAAAAUCUAUAAAUAAAAUAAAAAUAUGAGUGAAUUGUGGGGAGCGUGAAUAGACAAUAUGACAUGUAAUAUUAUUUGAAGUGGAAUACAUUUGAAAAAAUGGGAUUGAGAGAAAAAAUAAAAAUAAUGUUAUGAAUAACCAUGUAUUUUAAAAUUGACCUUAAAUUCUAGUAAAAGUUAUACAUGGAAUUAAAAAUAAAUCCGUGUGAUAUAUACAAAUGUGAACCUUUAUAGUUUAUACUAAACUACAUUAUUUUUCAGAGUUGGAAAAUCUUCAACAUUUUCAAAUUCAAUAGUUGCAAGUAUUCAAAAUGAAUAAAAUAUAAACAUGCCACAUGAAUGUUAUACUAUUUUUUUUAAUCUUUAACGUAUUUAAAAAACCAAAGAUAAAAAGUAGUUGACUAUUUUUCAAAUUUAAAGAGUUUAAAUAUAUUCUUUUAACUGCUUAUAAUGGGAUCUCAUAAACUGAUUAAACUAUAUUCGAAAUAAAUUAAAUGAAGUGCUGUCUUUUGUAUUUCAUGACAGCUUGUAUAUUCACGCUUUCUAAUCUAUCUUCAUUUUUCUUUUUUGUUCUCUCCACUAAUAAUUAGAAUAAAAAGUAAAUAAAUUAUUAUUUCUUAUUUGAAAGUAAUUUUUGUUUUGUUUUAAAAUUUUAUGACUGAUGUGUUAAAAUUUAUAUUCUGCCUUUAUUGCAAUUUAGGAAAAAAAUCAUGUAAGAAUAUGCUAAAUAUUUUUUAAAGGAGUAGAGAGAAUAGCGAAAUUGUCCUUAUUUAAAUUCAGAUUGACAUCCCAAAACUACACCAAAUAAGUUUACUUUAUGGAGACAAAAUAUGUUAAAAUUUAAUUUUGUUAGUAAUAAAUAUAUCAAUUAAAUUAAACAUUUAAAUAUUAAUUUUUUGAAAUAUAAAUAAUAUUAAAAAAUAAUGAUCCGGACAUUGUAUGAAUCAAAACUAAUACUAAUUCCUGACUUAAUUAAUUCGCAAUAUAAUUUAUGAUAUUUUUAACAGCUACAUUUAUAUAUAAUUAAAUUUACUUAAACUUUAAUACAAUGGAGAAUCUUGAAGAAAAAUGAAAUAAUGAAUGAAUGUCUAUAAAUAACUAGAAUUAUAUUGCUCAAAUAGAUCAUUGCUCUUCAACUUUAAAAAUAUAAAAUAUUACAAACCGCCCUCCCUGUCUGGAUUUUUCGAGAGGUGUUUUGGAUGGUUGAAUUGUUCAUAGUUGUCUGCACAUAAGGAUAUAAGCAUUUCUCUUAUAUUUUUGAAUUCGCCAGGAGCUUCUGAGAGAGUGUAGAGCUUGGUAAUCUCAAUAUAUUGUCAGAAUGAAAGCAAUAAUUUUUAUUGUCCCAAAUCAAUUUUAUACACAACAUUAUUAUUAUUUAAGAUAAUAAGCAAUUUUGAUAGAAAAAUUAAAUAUGUCAUAUUUCAAGUUAUCGCCGAUGUAAGGAUUUAUACACCGUGAUUAUAUCAUUUACCAUUCAUUUGUAUUAUAUUUUUAAAGUCAAUAAUAAUUAAAUAUGAAUAAUAGAUAAUAUAACGACAAUGUAUAAAAUUUCUACAUUUUCUGUACAUAUUUUAUCCUCAAAACAUAAUAAUUGAUAGAAAAAAGAUCUAAAACAUCCCUUAAGUUACAAUUGAUUCCUUAAACCUAGUUUUUUUGGUUGAACAACCUUUUUUUGUUUUUCACAUAUAUCCAUCGUAUUGGAGACAAUCAUAUCCGAGCCGGGAAUAUCAAUAGGUAUAUGAAGUUAAUUUUUUUAUUCACAAAACUCAAACCUAAAAAAUUACUUAAAGAUAAUAAAGCAUAUAGCACUUGAAGUAACGUCCGUUUGUAAGCGUACUAUUUUCACAUCAUUGCUUAGAACCAUAAUGUGAUAAAGAGAGAGAAAAAAAAUGGAUGGCAUGCAAAUAGGGAUACCUGUUGUUGGAAUUGUAGCGGCUGCAGCUGUGACUUUCUAUGUUGUCAGGUUUUCUGAACUCGUAUCUUUUUAUUUUAUUUUUAUUUUAUUUUAAACAAAGCAUCCCCUAACAUUAACUAUAUUUUUUUCUUUUAUUUCAAUUUCGCAACCAAUAAUCAAAUUAAUUAAUUUUAAAACCAACCAAUCAUUUAAUUUCUCCUCCUUCUUUAGAGCCUCAAGGUCAUAUUUGCUUUAAUCCAAUUAUUACAACCUGUUUAUGGAUUGUUAUCAUUUCAUUAAUCAAUGAGUAGCAGCUCUAAGUAGAUGAUGAUAGUGAUUUAAUAAUUGUUUAUAGAGUAAAUAUAAAUAAAAAACAUUCAAACUUGUCUUUAUUUAAAAAUUAAUUCAUUAUUUUGAGAUAUUUUAGAAGAAUAGAUUAAGAAGAUUUAGAAUCAUUCUUGGCUUAUAAUAUUGCAAGCAAAAUGCAGUUUGUAUAGAUAAUAGUGAAGGAAGAGAGGAUGGGGUCUGGAGAUAGUAGUGUAAUCACUUAUCACAAAGAAGAACGAUUUGGUGAUAUGCUUUUUUUUCGGGGUUCGUGACAGUCUCUCCCAACAAGUGUCAUUUCCUGAAAUCGAACUCUCAAUCUUAAAAAUCUAAUGAGAUCUUAUACUAUUUAACCAAUACUUUAUUGGUAGUGUGCUAAGUUCUGUUGCAACACUGCGUGAUCUAGCGAUCUAGGCAGACCAGUUUACAGAAGAAAAAUUAGAGAUAUGUAAUUUAAUCUGAGUUUAAUAUUUAUCGACUGUCAGAAUAAUUGAGAGUCAAAUUAUAAAUAAAUAUAAAUAGUAAAUAAUAUAAAUAACAAUAUAAAAAACUUUUAAUACUGUGAGAGUAUAUUAGUAUUAUUAGUUAAAUUGAAAUGGGAUUCAUAUAACGAAAAGACAGACAUAUUUGUCUGACAUUUUACAGCUCUAAGUAAUUCUGCUUCACACGAAGGUAGUAAAUUUUAUUAUUAUUACAUUAUCAUUAUUAUGAUAGGCUUUAGGUACUAGUUAAGCUGAGACUUGAGCUCUUGCACCCUCUCUUCUGUAGCUUUUAGUGCUUCCCCACAAAUGCUGAUUAACUGUGACAAAAAUGGGAAAUGAAUAUCUCAUACAUAAUAAAAUCUUAAUUAAUAGUAAUAGCCAUAGUAUAGUAUCACACAAUUGUCUAGUGAAUAACAAUAUCAAUGAGAAUUAUUCCUCAGCUAGAAGUUGUUCAAUGCUAACAUAUAAGAGACAUAAUGUAUGAGAUAUUUCAUAUAGUAUAGUAUGCAUUCUAUUAUUCCUUAACAUAUAAGAGACAUAAUGUAAGUCAAUUUGAUGCCCUAGUGAAGUGUUUUAAACAGUCAAACCUAACAUAAAAACCUAAGAAAAUGUUAUGUUACCUCAUCAACUUCUUCUGAGGAAAUAAUUAAUGGUGGACAAAGCAUGAUCAGAUCUCCAGCCGAACGAACAAUCAGCCCAUUCUUGUCACAAUGUGCUGCAAAAUAGGCACCUACCCCUGCAUUAUACAUCAUUGUCAAAACUAGGAAUAUAUGCUGAUAUCAAUCUAGAAACAGUAUACUUGUUUCGGAUGGGGAUCACAUAUCUCUGACGGUGUCAUAUUCUCUGUCCCAAGCCAAUCAUAUAUUAACAAGUGGAUAAAACAGAAAGAUUUAAAAGCAAAAAGUAAUAAAAUGAAGCAUUUUAAUUGGCUUAAGACAUGAAAUAGAACACAAUUUGGGACACAUGAUCUUCAUUCACUAGUUUCAUUCAUUACUUGAAAAUGAGGCAACCCACUUAAUCAUGAUAUGUCUCACAAAUAGCAUAUUUUUUAUUAAAGAAUAGCUACACACUAGACAUGCAUAUUGCUUAUAUUACUAUUAAGAUCACCAAAUAAAGCAAAAUAGGAAGGGAAAAAUAAGAUGGGUUAAAAAUAAAGAACUUGCCCCAUUCACGAGGGAAUGGAUCAUUAGGUGACUUAUUUUUUGCAAACUCAAGCCCUAGAAUCAAGCCGGUUCCUCGUAUCUGCAAAUACACAUCCAAAAAUAAUGUUACCUUUGUUGUGUAUUUGUUAUAACUAAUAACUUAUAAUUAACGUGCAAAUAAUAGAUACCUCUCCAAUUAUAGGACUGUCAGAAAAUGCUUUUAGGCCAUCUUGGAACUUUGGUGAAAUUUUGCUCACUUUGUCCACAAUAUUUAUUUCCCUGGUAAGAUGAGGGAUAGAUUAUUAUAAUAUCAUACUUUAUAGCUAAAAUAUAGUAUAGAAGCAUGCAUAUAGAAUAAGCAUCAUAUAAGUUUUAAGAAAUGUGAAUAUAAAGAGACACACUUGUAGAUCUUGAGUGUUUCAAUUGCAAGAGCACAUGAUACUGGAUGUCCAGAAUAAGUAAAGCCGUGAGAAAAUGAACCUAAAGUAAUCAAACAUGAGUCAGAAGUACAAAAUCAUAAGAUGUGGUGAUUAAUGAUGCAGUUAAUGAACCACCGUACCAAUUUCGUUGCUUUGUGAGUCUAUAACUUCGGUAAUUUCUGGGCUCACAAGAACGGCUCCAAUUGGCAAAUAUCCAGAAGAAAGUGCCUAGAACUCAAAAAGAAAAAUGAGGAACAAGAGCAUGCUUUUAAAUCAUAAAAAAGAUGAAUAUGUAGUUAGAGUUGUUUCAUGUUUACCUUAGCUAAGGAAACAAGAUCUGGCUUGAUGUUGUACUUGUCACACCCAAACAUUGUUCCAAGUCUUCCAAAGCCACAGAUUACCUUCAAAAGAAACAUACACAUGCAAUCAGAAUAAAAAAACUAUGCAAAAGGUUCUCUCACAUAACCAAUUAACAGUAUUUGAAGAGUUAAGGACGCACCUCAUCGGCAACAAAAAGAAUGUCAUACUUGUUGAGAACGGCUUGGAUCUGCAUAAGAAUUAAAUGCAUUGAGAAAAGAAGUUGUUUUCCUUUUCUUUCAAAAUUGUAAUGGAGUUUUGGGGUGGAGGGAUAGUGAAAAAGGACGUGUGACUCUAUUGUCCUAAGGGUUCCAAUAUAAACUAUUGAUGCAUUCAUGUAUCUGGGAUUGGGAAUACAAAUGAACAUGCAUUGUGCUCACAGAGAAACUCUAACAUAUGUGAAGAAUUGAUGAUGAAAAAAAUACCUUUUCAAAAUAAGUUGAAGGUGGAGGUAUCACACCACCUGCCCCUAUUACUGGUUCAGCAAUAAAUGCAGCAAUCUGGGUUAAAAAAUCAUGCCACUCAAUGAGAAAAUCAAUGUUUCAGUAGCUGAAAACAAUGUCAAAGAGCAUGAAAUCAUAUAGUACUGUGUCUGGUCCCUCUUUUAGAAUCAGCUCCUCCAGAUUGUUGGCUAAUCUUGUUGAAUACUCUUCUUCUGUUUCACCUGAGAUAUUCAUAAGCAAGUAUAAGAUUUAUGCCUUAAAAUAUGACUACAAACAUAUCGGAUGAAGAUCACAUGUCCCUAACAUUGUCUCACUCCAUGUCCUAAGUCAAUCAUAGUGCUCAAUUUUAUCAUUUUUUAUUUAUUUUAUCCACGUGUUAAUAUAUGAUUGGUUUAGGACAAUGAAUGAGACACCGUUGAGGACAUGUGAUUCUCAUCCCGAACAAAUCCAUCAAUAUAAGUAUAUAACAACCUGGAAGAUGAUAACGCCAGUAAUGUGGACAAUCAGUGUACAAGACAAAUGGAAGUGGCAGAUCAAACUGUUGAUGUAAAGUUGGAAGACUGAAAUACACAUUGUUGAAUUAAGUGAGUGAAUGGCUUUAUUGUAAAUAACUUAAUCAUUAGUUUACUGAAAAUAUUGUGAAGUGCAUCAUACCCAGAAAGACUAGCUGCUGUCAUUGUUGUACCAUGAUACCUAUCACAAGGAAAAAAAGUACAUAAGCUAUGCACAUUUUUCAGGUAAAAUAGAGAAAACAUCACAGGUUGAGAUUGCAUGUGUACGAUUUUUCACGAGCUAUAAACUUCUUCUUAUUUGGUCGUCCAAGUGCAUUGUUGUAAUACCAUACAAUUUUGACCUGAAAGAAAAUAUAUGAACUUCAAAUAUAGCUACCAUGCAUAUGUUGAUAUGACAUUUAUUUAUCAUCAUUUUUGUUGUUUAUAUCUUUUACUAAACCUUUAUAAAAGCAUAUCUAAAUUUACAAUCCAAAAUAUGUAGCUUAUAAAUUACAAUUGAAUGAAAAAUCACACAAGAAAAUAUGAGAAUGUGUAAGAAGUAUAAGUAGGUAUUCAUCAAAUUACGAACCACACUGUCAUUGGCUUCUGAUCCACUAUUAACAAAAAAAGCUUUUCCCAUUUUUCUAGCUGUGAAAAUUUCUAUGAGAUCCUUGGCUAGAACCUGUAUGUCAAAAAUAAAUUUGAAUAAAAUUAGAAAACAACCGUUUUGAUAUGAAGUGAAAAGCACCAAAAACAUAUUGCAUAAGGAUUUAAUAUGUAUACACCAACAGUGUAAGUGUUUUUUACAUUGUUAUCAAAUCUUCAUUGUUCAUAUGUUAGCUAUCAUUUGAUAUGUUGACAUUGUAAAAAACUCUCACAUAAUACAAAACAUGAAAAUAGGCAUAAGUAAUGCUAUAAAUAAAUACCAAAGAAGGUUCGGCAGUCCUGUUAAAAAAGGAAUGAUAAAAUGGCAACUUCUUUAAUUGUGCAGUGGCUGCUUCAAUAAGGCGAGAUUCACUUCCUCCUGCAAAAUUUAAUUUACAAGCACAUACAAAAAGGCUUAAAAUUUGUCCUUCAUUUUAACUUCUAGAUGUGAAUAUACCCCAUGAUUAAGAGAGUAUAUGAUAUAAUACCAAAUCCUGGAAAAUAAAAUAUUUCAUUCAUUAUUAAUAUAUUUUUUCAAUUUGUUACAAGUUCAAUUCUUAAGAUGGAUUGAGAACAUGUCAAUGUGAAUCAGAAGGAGUAUAUCAUUAACAAAAGCUAAGAAAGAAAAGAGAAAGGAAAAAAAUAAGUAGAAAGUAAAUAUUAGAAAUACCUAAACUAGUGCACCAUAGGCCAGCAAGUGCGUCAAGAUAUUUCUUCCCAUUAAUGUCAUAUACAUAGCUUCCCUAACACCAUGGUUAGAUAAAAUCAUAUAAUUCAAAACAAAUAUCUUUCAAAUGAAAACAAAAUAAACCUUCAUUUAACUCAAUAUAGGUGAAGUGGCCUUUGUUAAAAAAAUAAUAAAAGAAACACUACAAGGAAAUGCACCUCUGACUUGUCUAUAAUCACAGGAUUAGUCUUCUUCCCAGGUGUGAAAGGGGCAAGCAUAUUAUGUGUCCUAAACCUGAUACAAUCAAAGUAUUUCAGCUCAUGUACACAUGACAACCUUAUCAUGCUUCCAAACUUAGGAAAAUGAUCUUUUGUUUUAAAGUAUGUCUGAAACUGAUACCAAUGAAGAAAAAAUAGAAAAAAUAAUGAAAGUAUAUAUUUUCAUUGAUGUAAAACAGUUAUAAAUUCAUAAUUUCUAAUUAAGGUGAACAUCAUAUAUUUAAGACAUAUAAGAAAUUAAGUGGAUACUCAAACAAUUAAUAAUGGGAACAUAUAAGUUAACACAUAAGGAACGGUUAUAUUCCCCAAGACACCAAAUUGCAAAUUGUUUUCACUUCUACCUAUUUGACAGAAAAUGUAGGUCCUCAAAGGAAUUAAAGAUUUGGUUGAGAAAGACCAUCAUAUGAAAAUUCCCUCAAAAUGUAUAUCAAAUGAGUAGAUUAGAGAAAUAGAUUCAGGGAUUCAUAUAUGACUUUGUAUCCUUAUUUUAUAUUAUAUGUAAGAAUCGUGAUAUUCAAGAUUCUAAGAUUUGUAUUUCAUCAACCAAUUUUGACUUGUAAUUGUUGUAAAACACUCGAAGUACCCAAAAAACCGUAAACAUUCAACCAUGAAUCUAAAGAGAAAGUCAUAGGUUAUGCAUUCAACCAUAAUACAAUACUCAUGAAUGUAUCAAUAAAAGGGCACUUAAGUUUAACACCUCUGCAUAAAUGCAAUACGCCUACAUUUUAAAUUUUAAUAUAAAUAGAGUGGUAAUAUUCAGCACUGUAUUUUAUCAUAGAAAGCAAUGAAAGCUAUUAUCAAUUUCAAAAUCAUUAUAUCAGUUUAGAUACAUGCAGGAUAGAACUGUGACAAAUAGUCAAAAUAAAUCACAUAUACGAAAGUGAUAAUAAUCAUAGAAGAACCGAACACCUUUCAUCCUUUGCCAAAGAAGAUUCUGGGAGCAGCUUGUCCAUGAUUGUGUUAUCAAACUCUCAACAAUGUGAUCAAAGGAAGGGAGGAUUAGUGAUAUGAUUUUAAGGCAGACUUAACAUUUAUAUUAAGUUUGUAAUAUCUAUACUCAUACUAUUUUUUUGUACUACUAUUGCCAAAAUAAUACGGAAGUAUGAAAUGAAUAUUGUGAAUUUUUUUCGUUAUUUAAUCAAGACUUAAGGCCUUAUUUAUAGUACAUGAAUAUGUAACAAACUUACCUAAACAAACUAAUUAAUAAACUUAUAACAUACAUGGGUAAAAUAGGUAAAAUGUGGUAGUUUUGUUUUUCAAUAAAUAAUGCGGAAGCAUUAAAUGAAUAUUGUGAAUUUUUCUCAUUAUUUGAUCAAGGCAUAAAACCUUAUUUAUAGUAAAUAAAUAAGGAACAAACUUACCUAAACAAAUUAAUUAACAAACUAAUAAAACACAUGUGUAAAAUAUGUAAAAUGUGGUAGUUUUGUUCUUAAUAAAUAAUGCAGAAGCAUUAAAUGAAUAUUAUGAAUUUUUCUCAUUAUUUGAUCAAUGCAUAAGACUUUAUUUAUAGUACAAGAAUGAGUAACAAACUUACCUUAACAAACUAAUAAAACACAUGUGUAAAAUGUGUAAAAUUUGUGAAAUAUGUAAAAUGUGGUAACUUUGUUCUUCAAUAGUCCCCUCAAGCCGGAGGGUAAAUAGCAAUGACUUCAGCUUCAUAAUUCAAUUUAAUAUCGUGAUAAUGUAAGGGAUCGGAAUCUCGAUCCUAACGUGAUUGAAUUUUCUCAACCAUUUGAUCUUAUUGUUGUUGUUGAUCUUGAUGAGUUAUUGUGGUUUUUUCAAACCCGUUCAAGAAGGUAAAGUUUUCAUAGCUUGGUUGUGUUGUAUUGAAGAUGAUUCUUUGUUGAAUCUUGGAAGAUGAAUAUAAUAAUUUUAGAGAAUGCGCAGCGGUAACCAAAGUCUUCAGGAUGAAGACUAUGAUACCAUAUUACAAAAAUAAUGUGGAAGCAUGAAAUGAAUAUUGUGAAUUUUUCUUAUUAUUUAAUCAAGACAUAAGAUCUUAUUUAUAGUACAUGAAUAAGUAACGAACUUACCUAAACAAACUAAUUAACAAACUUAUAAAACGCAUGUGUAAAAUACGUAAAAUGUAUAAAAUAUGUAAAACGUGGUAGUUUUGUUCUUCAAUAACUACCAAAGGUAUUUUCUCACAUUUUCCCUCUCAACAAAUUUUGCUCCCAAAAAUCAAACUCUUAAGUUUUUGAUCAAGGACGACGUUACAUUAAGUCUAAAGAAAAUAUCUCUUCCACUAAUUUAUAAUUAGUAAUCAGUGCAUUGAAUUUUGUAGGUUUAAUUAGUAUUUUCAAAUUUCAGAUAAUUACAAAACUAGUUUUAUCGAAAAACUCUCAUUUAAUAAGCUAGCUAAAAAGCUAGCUUUCAUCUAUCUUGUUAAGAUUUAUUCAUAAUUAGUAUAUCUUCUACCAUAUGUUUGUAUUGUUUAUAUUUAAAAUUAAAUAAUUAAAUAUGAAUGAUGAAUAUUACACAGUAAAAACCUCGUAUAUAUCUGGCAUACAUUUUUCCUCUAUUCUAAUUAUUAAAAUAAUAAAGUCAAUUCAUAUUACACAUUUUUUUACGUUUGACACGUAAAUUUUAUUUUAGGAAUUAAUUUUAUUCAAUUUUUGAUAUGUUAGUAUAUUAAUAAAUUACUACAAAAUAAAUAAUUCCUAAAAUAAUAUACUAGAUUUUAGUAUUUUAAUUACUACAAGCUUAAUAUAAUAAUAUAUUAAAUCUUGAUAAUUAUCUAUUUAGGAUAUCUUACAUCACUAUACCAAUACAUUAUUAGUGAGUACACAUUUGUUGUCCCGCGGUUUGUGUCACUCCAUGUGCCAUGAACUUGUGAUUGAUCAGAAAAAUAUAUUUAAAUUAAAAUUCAAUUAUUAAGUAUUUUUCUAACCAAUGAUAAACCCAUAGCAUAUGAAGUGACAUAAAGGGUGGGAUAACAAAUGUAUGGAUGAAAGAAGGUUAUUCAUGAAUGUGUUAUCAAACUUCCAUGGAAGUGAGAAGUAGUGACAUGAUUUUAAGAGAGACAUAACAUUUAUGGUAAUAAGAAAUUGAAAGGAGCAUUUAAAACUACUUAAAUUAGUAUUUAAAAAGUAAAAGUAACUUUGAAUAAUUUAUUUCCCAAUUUUAUCUUUCAAAAUUUUAAAAAGAUACAUCAGUUACCAUAACUAAAAAAUUAUAUUAUUUUUGUUGUCUCAUCUCAUCUCCAAGUAAAUAAAAAUAUUGCAUAUUUACUAAAAUAAAUGAUUGAUUUAUUUUAAAUUACUUAUAUAUUUAAUUACUCCAGUUAAUAAUUAUUUAAUAAUUAAAUAACUAAAUUAAUAAUAAAUAAAUAUUGUAUAUAUUUUUUCGUAAUCUUUUAAACUCAGCUAGUUAUGAAUGUAGUUUUAUCAAAUAACUAUGGUUUAAUAAGCUACCUAUAGAGUUAUAAGCUUUCAUAUACUUUAGUGUAAAUAAUUAUACACAAUCAGUAUAUCAUAUAUGAUUAUUAUUUGUAUUACAUAUAUUUAAAUGAUAAUCAAAUAUGAAUGAUAUAUGAUAUAGUGACAAGGUAAAAAAAAACUUAGACAGUUACUACAUACAUUUAUUAUACAAAAAAUAAAUUAAAUUCAGAUUACACAAUUUUUAACGUUGAUAAGUCAGUUUUAUCAACGGAAUUACUUUUAUUCUAAUUUUGAUACGUUAGUAAAUUGAUAAAUUACUAAAAAAUAAAUCAUUCCUACAAUAAUAGACUAAAUCUUCACGUCGUAGUUACUAAAAUCUUAAUAAAAUGAUAAUUACAAAUAAUGUAUUAAAUCUUCAUGGAAAUUAGAAAUGAUCAGUGUACACUAGUUUGAAAAUUACAAGAAUGAAAUUGGUAGGGAUACCUGUGUUUAUUGUGAGUGUGGAUGGGAGAAGAUAUUAGAAAUUAAAGAGUAAGAAAAGAAAUGUGUAUUUUAUCAAUGGAAUUAUAUUAAAUUGAAUAGAAAAGUUACAAUGGAGACAUUAUAUAAAAGGAAUCAAAACUAAUUAACCUAACAACCAAAAUUAAUUAAUUAACUAAAUGGUGAAUAAGUUUAAACUAAUUUCUAUACCAAUAUAAUAUUAACACAAAAUAUAUUUUAAUACUCCAUUAAAAUAAAGAGUGAAUGUUAACAACUCUUCACUUAGACAAAGAUGAUUGAAUGAAGAAAACUCCAAAAUACAUGCAAAACAUAAUUGCAUUUUCUUCUUCCAACAUUUCUUUCCUUGAACAAUAAGUUUCGUCUUCUACAUAAUGAAACAUUGCUCUGAUAUUAUAUAAGAAAUCAAAGAGUAAGAAGAAAAAAAAAAGUUAAAAUGAAAACAUUAUAUAAAAGGAAGGAAAAUUAACUGAUGUAAUAACUAAAAUUAACUAAAUGGUGAAUGUGUUUAAACCAAUUACUAGUAUAAUACAAUAUUAAUCUAAAUUAUCAAAAUAUAUUUCAACUGAAGUGAUUAGCAAAUCAAAGGAAGUGAGAAGUAGUGAUAUGAUUUCGAGGCAUACAUAUUAUCUAUAGUAAGAGUGUAAUAUUUUUAGAGCUUGUAUAAUGAAUCUCUAAUAUUUAUAUAUUAUUUUCUCCUCCACUAACUCAUAAAUUGUAAUUAAUGAAUUAAGGUUCCUAGAUUUAUCUCAAUAUUGUGAAACUCGAGUUGGAAAUCAAACUGGAAGAGAUCUCAUUUUAAAUUUAAGCGGUUAAACUCGAGUUAAACAUAUAUAAUAAAUAAAAUUUUGUAAAUCUUAUACACAACUCCCCAUCCGACUCUUAGAUUUGUCACUUUUAAGUGAGUGACUAUUUAAAAGCAUAUUAACAUAUUUAAAUAUAUUAUAUUACAAAAGACUUUUAGAUAGAUCAAUAAAUCAAACCAAAAUUUUAAAUAUGUCUAUAAAUAUUAAUUAGUUAGACUUUUAAAAUCCUUAAUAAUAUCCAAAUAGGCCGGACCAAACUUUCCAAAAUUACAUUUUUGUAUUUUUAAUAAUUUAUGUAGUGGUUUAUUAAAAUUUAUAUUCCACCCUUUUGUAAUCUAGGAAAUAAAUCAUAUAUGGAUACACGGAAAGUUUUUUGGUUGGGUAACUAGAAAAUUCACUUAAAAUUAAAAAAAAUGGAACAUUUGUUAAAUGUUUUGUUUUAUUAAUCUGGUCCAAAGAAGUAUGAGAGAUUGUACAUAAUUAUAACUAUAUAAAUUUUAGUGUUUAUAUAUAAUUAUAUAUUUAUUGAUAAAAAAUAAUAAUUAUAUAUGAAAUUAUUCUAUUCAACCAAAACGUUUUGACCAUUUAAACUAAUUAAACAUAAUACGAAACCUUCUCCCAAUUAAUUCUAAUCACAACUUUGACUUCAGUUGAGACUUGAGCUUUUGCACCCUCUCUUCUGUAGCUUUCAGUGCUUUCCCAAAAAUACUGAGUAACUGUGACAGAAAAGGGAAAUGAAUAUCUCAGACAUAAUAAAAUCCUAAUUUAAAAGUAAUAGCCAUAGUAUGACAUAAUUGUCUAGUGAAUAACAAUAUCAAGAAGAAGAAAGAAAGCUUAUUCCUUAGCUAGAUAUUGUUUAUAUGUCAAACAUCAGAGGUAAGACAAACAAAUAUAAAUUAGGCUCUAAUGAGUUUUGAUGGGUACUGAAGAUAUAUUAACUAUAUUUUGAUAUUGAUUAUUUGAUUACCAAGAUAUAUUUCUUUUUUGUUCCAAAUGAAAAAUUGAUGAUUGAAAGUUUGAUUCUUAGAAUAGUCAUUUAAUAUUUAGACAUAAUUUCUAUUACAUGAAACAUUUCUCAGUAGACAUUUUCUCUCCUUUUCCCCAAUGAAAAAGGUGUAAGAAAUGCUCAUGUGCAAAACCAUGAGCCCUAAUUUUGAUGAACACAAAUUUAUUAUAGUAUGUCUUAUAUGUUUCAGAUCCUAAAUAAAUCAUUAUGAAGCAAAAAUAAUAUUAAUAAUAAAUGUUUUAAAAUUUUAUUUGACAUAAUAUAUUUCUAUUAGUUUCACAGGAACAUAUGAGACAUAAUCUAAAUCAAUAUUUCGUCAAACCUGACAAAAUUGGUGUGCAUGAUUAGAGGACAAAAUAAAAAACAUUAGACCAACUAUGCAUAAAAUCCAAAUUCAAAGUGAUUUCCCAAUUUGUUAAGUUACCUCAUCAACUUCUUGUGGGGAAAUAAUUAAUGGUGGAGACAACAUGAUGGUAUCUCCACCCGAACGAACUAUGAGGCCAUGCUUCUCACAUUGUGCUCCAAAAUAGUUACCUACCCCUGCAAUAAUCAAUAUACAUCACUGUCAAAACUAGCAUAAUAUGCUGAUAUCACUCUAAAAAUGUUUCAUUCAUUACUUGAAAAUGAAGCAACCCACUUAAUGAUUAAAUGUCUCCAUAUUUUGUAUUAAAGGACAGCUACACACUACACAUGCAUGCAUAUUGCUUAUAUUUCUAUUAAGAUCACCAAAUAAAACAAAAUAGGAAGGUGAAAAAUAAAGAACUUGCCCCAUUCUUCAGGGAAUGGAUCAUUAGGUGACUUAUUUUUUACAAACUCAACUCCUAGAAUCAACCCGGUUCCUCGUAUCUGCAGAUGCACAUUCAGAGAUGUUACCUUUGUUGUAUAUUUAUUAUAACUAUUAACUUAGAACUAACGUGCAAAUAAUAUAUACCUCUCCAAUUAUAGGACUGUCAGAAAAUGCUUUUAGGCCAUCUUGGAACUUUGGGGAAAUUUUGUUCACUUUGUCCACAAUAUUUCCUUCCCUGGUAAGAUGAGGGAUAGAUUAUUAUAAUAUCAUACUUUAUAGCCAAAAUAUACUAUAGAAGCAUGCAUAUAGAAUAAGCAUCAUAUAAGUUUUAAGAAAUGUGAAUAUAAAGAGACACACUUGUAUAUCUUGAGUGCUUCAAUUGCAAGAGCACAUGAAACUGGAUGUCCAGAAUAAGUAAAGCCAUGAAAAAAUGAACCUAAAGUAAUCAAACAUGAGUCAGAAGUACAAAAUCAUAAGAUGUGGUGAUUAAUGAUGUAGUCAAUGAACCACCAUACCAAUUUCUUUGCUUUGUGAGUCUAUAACUUCUGAAACUUCUGGGCUCACAAGAACGGCUCCAAUUGGCAAAUAUCCAGAAGAAAGUGCCUAGAACUCAGAAACCAAUUGUUGUAAAACAUGUUAAAAAAGACUAAUUUGACCCACAUUUGAAAUUUUUUGGAACCAUUUUAGGUCUUUUCUUUUUUUGAAUGACUAAACUAGUAAGGUCGAAAAAUAUAAGGGAGUAAAAUUUGUAUUUACUCUAAGAAUAUGUAGUUAGACUUGUUUCAUGUUUACCUUAGCUAAGGAAACAAGAUCUGGUUUGAUAUUGUACUUGUCACACCCAAACAUUGUUCCAAGUCUUCCAAAUCCACAGAUUACCUUCAAAAGAAACAUACACACACAAUCAUCAGUAUAAAAAACUCUGCUAAAGGAUCUCUCACAUAACCAAUUAACAAUAUUUGAAGAGUUAAGGAAGCACCUCAUCAGCAACAAAAAGAAUGUCAUACUUCUUGAGAACGGCUUGGAUCUGCAUAAGAAUUCAAUGCAUUGAGAGAAAAAGUUGUUAUCCUCUUCUUUCAAAUUAAAAUUCUAAUGGAGUCUUGGUUGGAGGGAUAGUUAAAAAGGACGUGUGACUCUAUUGUCCUAAGGGUUCCUAUAUCUAACUUCUAUCACAUAAAAUCAUGAUGAUGGUGAGAGCAAACUGGUUCCUCAGACCUACAACAUACAUUAUAAGCUCAUCUCUUACUCUUACAGAUUAAAAGAUAGUUUAUUAUCGAUGCAUUCAUGUAUCUAACAUGUGUGAAGAAUUGAUGAUGGAAAAAAAAAUACCUUUUCAAAAUAAGUUGCAGGUGGAGGUAUCAGACCACCGGCCGCCAUUAAGGGUUCAGCAAUAAAUGCAGCAAUCUGCGAUAAAAAAUCAUGUCGGUCAGUGAUAUAUUCUCCUACUAUAUGCUCAUACUUUUCCUCCUACCCACCAUAAGACAUAUGUCACAAAGAGAUAGACAUUUUAUUUAUUAAUGAUUAAUUUAUAAGUGACAUAUGUCACUUUCUUGUGAGUAGAAGGAUUUAGUAGAAGGAUAUAUAACAUAUUAGUGUUGAAGAUAAUGUAAAAGAGUGUGAAAUGUUUAGUACUGUAUCUGGUCCCUCUUUUAGAAUCAACUUCUCCAGAUUGUUGGCUAACCUUGUUGAAAACUCUUCUUCUGUUUCACCUGAGAUAUUCAUAAGCAAGUAUAAGAUUUAUGCCUUAAGCACGGGUACGUGUGUCGGAUAUUAUAUGUCGACACACAUUUGUUCUAAAAUAUAUCCAUCAAUAUAACAACCUGGAAGAUGAUAGCGCCAGUAAUGUGGAGAGUUGGUGUGUAAGACAAAUGGAAGUGGCAGAUCAAACUUAUAAUGUAAAGCUGGAAGGCUGAAAUACACAUUUUUCAGUUAAGUGAGUGAAUGGCCUCAAUGUAAAUAACAUAAAGUUGUUCUACUUAAACACUAGUUUAGUGAAAAUAAUCAAAAAUUCUCCAUUGCACCCUACCCAGAAAGACUAGCUGCUAUCAUUGUUGAACCAUGAUACCUGUCAGAAGGAAAAAAAGUACAUAAGCUAUGCACAUUUUUCAGGUAAAAUAGAGAAAACAUCACAGGUUGAGAUUGCAUGUGUACGAUUCAUCACGAGCUAUAAACUUCUUCUUCUUUGGUCGUCCAAGUGCAUUGUUGUAGUACCAUACAAGUUUGACCUGAAAGAAAAUAUAUGAACUUUAAAUAUAGCUACCAUAUCUUCUGCAUGUAAUACCGACAUAAAUUAUGACAUGCGACCUUUUAUACACAUGAAUAUGUUGAACGUGUCAUUCAGCAGCUUAAAUACUCUUACAUUAUUUUAUUAUCUACAAAGGGGAGAUUUCCACGACUCGAGCACGUGAGCUCAAGGAUAAAUAGUCGCUACCAUUAAACUACAAUAACUUAAUGGUAGCGACUCAUUGAUAUACUGACUAUUUAUACAAGAUGUCACGGGUUCGAGUUGCGGAGGUAUAGAGAAUAAAAUAAUACAAGUGUAUUUAAGCUGUUGGUGACACGCUCAGUAUAUUCAUGGGUCUUGGUCGAUCUCAAGUGUUAUAAUUUACUUCUGUAAUAGGUUGAUAUGUCAUCUAUUUAUCAUCAUUUUUGUUGUUUAUAUCUUUUACUAAACCUUUAUAAAAGCAGAUCUAAAUUUACAAUCCAAAAUAUCUAGCUUUCAAAUUACAAUUGAAUGAAAAUUCAAACAAGAAAAUAUGAGAAUGUAAGAAAUAUAAGUGAGUAUUCAUCAAACGAACCACAGUGUCAUUGGCUUCUGAUCCACUAUUAACAAAAAAAGCUUUCGCCAUUUUUCUAGCUGUAAAUAAUUCUAUGAGCUCAUUGGCUAGAACCUGUGUGUCAAAAAUAAAUUUGAAUAUAAAAUUAGAAAUCAACAGUUUUGUUAUGAAAAGCACCAAAAACAUAUUUUACAUAAUACAAAACAUGAAAAUAAACAUAAAUAAUGCUAUAUAUAUAUAAAUACCAAAGAAGGUUCAGUAGUCCUGUUAAAAAAUGAAUGGUAAAAUGGCAACUUCUUUAAUUGUGCAGUAGCAGCUUCAAUAAGGCGAGACUCACUUCCUCCUACAAAAAUUAAUAUAUUUGAUAUUUUUAGUAAAACCAUUUACAUGCAUGCAUACACAAAAAAGUCUUAAAAUUUCUGCAUCAUUUAUAACUUCGAUCUAGAUGUGAAUAUACCCCAUGAUUCAGAGAGUAUAUGAUAUAAUACCAAAUCAUGGAAAAUAAAAUAUUUCAUUCAUAUUCAUAUUUUUUUUCAAUUUGUUACAAGUUCAACAUAGGUGGCAUAAAAUAAAUAUAAAGUAAAUAUUAGAAAUACCUAAACUAGUGCACCAUAGGCCAGCAAGUGCGUCAAGAUAUUUCUUCCCAUUAAUGUCAUAUACAUAGCAUCCCUAACACCAUGGUUAGAUAAAAUUAUAUAAUUCAAAAACAAAUAUAUUUCAAAUGAAAAUAAAAUAAACCUUCAUUUAACUCAAUAUAGGUUAAGUCACUUUUGUUAAAAAAAUAAUAAAAGAAACACAACAAGGAAAUGCACCUCUGACUUGUCUAUAAUCACAGGAUUAGUCGUCCUCCCAGGUGUGAAAGGGGCAAGCAUAUGAUGUGUCCUAAACCUGAUACAAUCAAGGUAUUUCAGCUCGUACACAUGACAUCAUGCUUCUAAACUUAGGACAUUGUCUCAAAAUAUAUCGGGAAAAGGGAAAAAUUAAUGAAUAUAUAUUUUUAUGUAUGUCCCAAACUUAAACUAAAUUUGAUCAGUGUUAUAAAACUCGGCUCGAAUUGGACAGUCCGACUAAUUCAAUCAUGAAUCGAGCAUUUGACUAAUACGAGCCCCUCAUUUAAUCAGUUUUGCAUCAAAAAUGGAUUGACUUGGUUUAACUCUGUCGGUUUAAAUCUAAAAUCCGUGACUUGGAUGGUCGGACCGGUUGGACCGACCGAGUCAAUCAGAAAAUAUUUUUUUAAAACAACCAAAAUGAUAACGUUUUGAGUGAAAAAAAAAUCAAAUAUUUUUAACUUAUUUAUAUUUAUAGUUAUAUUUGUGAUUUAUUAAUUUAUAUUAUAGCAAACAUUUCAUUCUUUAAUUAAAUUUUAAAUUUAUAUGCACUUUUUGUUAUAAUUAAAGUAUAAUAUAUAUGUUGUUUGACAAUAUUUUUAAAUUAUUUGUGACAUUUUAUGGUAGUGAAAUAUUAUUUGUUGAUUUUUUAAUUAGAUAUGAUAAUAUGGUUAAAUUUUGAAUAUAUAAUUAUUAAAUAAUAUUAACUAAUAUUAUAAUUUUUAGAAUUUUUAAUGUAAAUCAAGUUAAAUAAUUCAAUUGACCCAUCGAUCCAAUCAGUGACCUACCGAUCCAACUAGUGAUUCAUUAACUCAGUACUUUAACAUAUUCAUUAAACAGACCGAAUUUAAACAACAAAACACUUAAACUUGGACUCUCCACCAAAUUUUGACUUGUAAUAAUUGUUAUAACCGUAAUAUGUACCCAGAAUUUAAAGAUAAAAAGCAUAGGUUAUGCACUCAACCAUAAUACCAUACUCAUGAAUGUAUCAAUAAAAGGACAUUUAAGUUUAACAUCUCUGCAUAUGAAUAUGAAUAUAAAUAUAAAUAUAAAUAUAGAGUGGUAAUAUUCAGCACUGUAUUUUAUCAUAGAAAGCAAUGAAAGGUAUUAUCAAUUUCAAAAUCAUUAUAUCAAUUUAGAUACAUGCAGGAUAGAACUGUGAUCAAUAAUCAUAGAAGAAACAAACACCUUUCAUCCUUUGCCAAAGAAGAUUUUGCGAGCAGCUUAUCCAUGAUUGUGUUAUCGAUCUCUCAACAAUGUGAUCAAAGGAAGUGAGGAGUAGUGAUAAGAUUGUAAGGGAGACUUAACAUUUAUAUUAAGUUAGUAAUAUUUAUGAGAGUUUAAUACGUAUACAUAUAGUGUAAGUGUUUUUUUACACUGUCAGUAAAUCAUUUACUAUUGAUUUCUUAACCACUAUUGAUUCUCAAAUAAAAAUAAUACAAAUUAAUGAUAUAUAAUGUAUUGACAGUGUAAAAAACUUUAGAAUGUUCAGUAGAUAAAUUUUAUCUAUAAAUUAUUUGUGAUACUAGUGUAAAGAAACUAUAUCUUCCACUAAAUCAAUGCAUUAAUUGAGGUUUGUACCUUUAUUUAGUAUUAUUGUUAACUAUGGAGAAAAAUAAUUCUAGUCAAUAUUGAAAUUUAUUUAUAAAUUAUUUAUAUAUUUAAUUACUUUAAUUAAUAAUUAUUUAAUUAAUAAAUAACUAUAUAAAUAAUAAGUAAAUAAAAAAUAAGUAUUGUAUGUAUUUUAUAAUCAUAUUUCAAAUUUUAGCUAUGAAACUAGUUUUAUCGAAUAAUUCUGAUUUAAUAACUUAUGUACAAAGUUAAGUUUUUAUGUAGCUUGUAAAGAUUUAUAGAUAGUUAAUAUAUUUGAUAUUAUUUAUUUGUAUUUUUAUAUUAAAAUUAAAUUAUAAUUAAACAUGAAUUAUGGAUGAUAUAUUAAUAGAGUAAAAAUCUCAUGUAUUGUAGUGCAUAUAUUUUUUCUAUAAUCUAAUUAUUAAAAAAGUAAAUUCAAUUCAAAUUACGCAAUUUUUUACGUUUGUCUGGUUAGCUUUAUUUUAGGAAUUAAUUUUAUUCAAAUUUUGAUAUGUUAGUAAAUUAACAGAUUACUACGAAAUAAGUAAUUCCUAAAACAUCAUUCUUUAUAUUUUAUGCUCAUACAUUUUUUAUGUUUUCUAAUUAUUAAAAAAAUAAAGUCAAUUCAGAUUACACUGUUUUUUACGUUUGACUGGUUAGUUUUAUUUAUGAAUUAAUUUUAUUCAAAUUUUUAUAUGUUAGUAAAUUAAAAUUUACUACAAAAGAAAUAAUUCCUAAAACCUCAUAUAUUGUAGCUCAUACAUUUUUUCUGUAUUCUAAUUAUUAAAAAAAUUUAAUUCAAAUCAGAUUAUACUAUUUUUUACAUUUGACUGGUUAGUUUUAUUUUAUGAAUUAAUUUUAUUCAAAUUUUGAUAUGUUAGUAAAUUACUACAAAAUAAAUUAUUCCUAAAACCUCAUAUUUGUAGCUCAUACAUUUUUUCUGUAUUCUAAUUAUUAAAAAAAUAAAGUCAAUUAAGAUUACACAAUUUUUUAUUUUUGACUGUUUAGCUUUGUUUUAGGAAGUAAUUUUAUUCAAAAUUAGUAAAUUAACAAAUUACUACAAAAUAAAUAAUUCCUAAAACAAUAUACUAAAUUUAAGGUUUUAAUUACUACAAGUUUAAUAAAAUAAUAUAUUAGGAUAUUCUUCGACAAACCUUUAAAGUAACUUUCCAAUUACUUGAAUCUUCUUGAGUCACUAAAAAAGCUUUUAGAGGUGCUUAAUAAACAAAAAUUGAAAGUAGUUUGUACCUUUUAAAAAAAGAGUUUGUAGCGUUUAAAAUUAUUUUUUAGAAAGCUAUUUCAAGUAACAUUUAAAAAUUGAAAGUAAAUUUUAAUAAUUUGAUUUUUAAUUUUAUCCUUCAAUAUUUUAACAAAUUAGAUAACACCCCUCAAUUAAAAAUAUUGUUUUAACCUUAUAUGUCAUUCCUUCAUUUCCUCCAUUUAGGUUUCACUCGCAUAAACAAACCAGUAGUCCUCCAUUCGUGUGGCUUCUACAAUUUUUUUUUAAAUUAUUAUUAUUUAUUGCUUAAAGUAUGAUGAUCAUAUUUAUUGAUUUCAUUUUUUCAAAUUUAACUAGGUAUGUAUUAUUUGAUGGAUAAGAGAUAUCAUAGAGAAUGAUAGAUAUGGUACCAUAUCAAAAAAUAAGGUACCGUUAAUCACAAUUUAAAAAGGAGGCACCUAAUAAUGAUGAAAAAGCUUUUAAUCGUACACAUUCAUUACUUCGUAGCUGUAUCGAGAGAUCAUUUAGAGUCCUAAAAAAAAUAUAGAAAUUUCUUAACCAAAUUCCAUGUAAAGAUCCAAAUCAAGAUUAUUAUGGUUGUGUUUACAUUGUAUAAUUAUAUUCACAUGAGCUCAACCAAUGAUCAACUUUUUAAGUUAGAGCAACAUCAACAUUAUAUACUACAAGAUAAACAUGAAGAUGGUGAUAUCAAUUGUGUAACUUCGAAUCAGACAAAUUGUGAAUGAUCAAUCAAGGUAACAAAAUUUCUCGCUUAUUAUGGAGUCAAUGAGAUGAAUUAUUUAGAAAGUUAUAAAAUGUAAUAUUUAGAAAGUAAAAUUAGCUUUCUAUAAUUCACUUUUCAAAUUUUAUCCUUAAAGUUACAUUAGUUACCUCAAACUAAAAAAUCAUAAUAUUUUUAAUCUUUCACCUUAUCUCUAAAUAAAUAAAAAUAUUGCAUGUUAAAUAUAAAUAAAGUAUUGAAUUAUUUUUUAGUUAUUUAUGUAUUUACUCUAAUUACUAAUUAUUUAUUUAAUACAUACAUAUUGAAUGUAUUUUUUAGUCUUUUUUUUUUAGCUAGUAACAAAUUUAAUAAGUUGUGUUUAUAGCUUUUUAUUAUUUAUUUAUAAUUAAUUAGUUAUUUAUUAAUUAAAUAAUUACUAAUUGGAGUAUCAAAUACAUAAACAAUUUAAAAUUAAGAUUUUUAAUCCUUUAUUUUAAUAUUUUAUUUAUAAUUAGAAUUUUUAUUUACUUGGAUGGGGCUACAAACUAGUGUAUAAUAAAACUCAAGCUUGUCAAAUUUCUUCACUGCCUUUAUGAGAUAAUUUUUUUUUGAAUAUAUUGAUAUGAUUUACUCUUUAAAUAAUAAAAAAAAUCAUAUAACAUAUAGGUUUUUUUUAUCAAAAAAGCUAGAGAUAUUUUGUAAAAGCAUUUAAUUUUAAUUUUUUUUAUAUAAAUGACAAGUUUGUGUAAGUUUGGUUAUGGACUUAUGGGGACUGGUUAAAGUAAAGAUAGACUUCAAAACUUUAUAACUACUUAGAAAAAACUUAUAAAUAUAUCUCAUAGUUGACAAAAAAAAAUUAACUUAUAACUACGUAUGGUAUUAGUCAAUUCAUUAUUAACCAAACCAACUUCAUUCUUAGUGAAUUUAAACUACAACUUCUAUUUGUCCAAACUCCAUAGCAUAAUCUGUUUUGAUUAUCAUCCACUAUUUUUAAAUGAGUUUAAAAUCUAUGCACUAACAAUGUAAAAUCAGCACAUCAUCCAUAAUUGAUUUGUAAUACUUUUAUUUAAAAGUCAAUAAUAGUUAACAUAUGAAUGAUGGAGAUUUACUGACAGUAUAAAAACACUUACACUGUCAGUAUAUACAUAUUAAUUCUUUUUUGAAUAAUUAGAGGACAAUUGAAAACAAAGGGGAGAUUUCUUCUAACAUGUUUCUGUUUGUCCAAUUUGUAUGACUCCAAGAAGUGCCAAACUUUAUAGUUCAUAUUUUGACAUUCUUUUAAAUUUUAUGUCCUUACAUACCCCUUAAUGGGCUCUCUGGGUACAAUAAGCCCACCAGAGUAUAACAAAUCAAUUACUACUUACUAUAAUUUCUAUUUUCACUUUCUGAUUUUCCAAUUAAAUUUGGUUUAUACUACUCGACUUACUCUCCUACAGGUCUGAUGUCUCACUCUUUUGUAUCACUGAAUGUGCUAAAUGAAAUGGAGUACACAUUUAUUGUCUCACAUUUUGUGUCAUUCAAUAUCUCAUGGACAUGUGAUUGGUCAGAAAAAAUAUAUUUAAGUUAAAAUUUAAUUAUUAAAUAUUUUUCUGACCAAUCAUAAGCUUAUGGUACAUGGGGUGACACAAAGUGUGGGACAGCAAAUGUAUUCCCGAUGAAAUGAUGGCUAGAAAAUGUUCAAUAAUUAUUAUUUUAAUUUAAAUAACGUUUUUCAACAAAUUAGAAGUGACAUGAAGUAAUACAAAAAGUAGGACAACAAAUGUUUUCUAAUGAUUAAGUGAAGAGAAUAAAGUAUUUCUUAAGAAGAUAAGUUAUCUUAUCCUAUCAAUCAAAACAUCAUAUGUGUAUUAUUAUUUUGUUUAGUUUUAGAAAUAAUUUUACAGAAAAUGAUUAAAAAGUAAUAGCCUAAGAAGCUUUUCUUAUCUUAUCCUUAUGAACUUCUUCUCCAUAAUUCAUCCACACACUCAUUAUACCUAUAGUGUGAGUGAGAAAUAGAGAGAAAUGGAUGCCAUGCAAAUAGCUAUACCUGUUGUUGGAAUUGUAGCUGCUGCAGCUGUCACUUUCUAUGCUGUUAGUUUUUCUGAACUCAGUCAGGUAUCUAAACUAACAUCAACUAUCUUUUCUCUUUUAUUUCUAUUUAACAACCAUUUAUCAAAUUAAUCAAUUUUAAAUAUUGUAUUGAGACAGAAAUCAUUUAGAGAUUUAGAUGAAAAAUCUGAAUCUGAAAAUGGAGGAAGGUAUAUCCCUUCAUCAAGCUCUAGAGAGAGACGUGCUAGAAGACAAGCUUCCAAAAAUACUAAAUCUUGAUUCAGGAGUAAGACUCCGAGGCAAGUUGUAUUUUGUAGUGUACUUUUAAGGCCAAAACUGUAACUUCAAUAAAAAUUAAAGGUUAUAAAUAUCAUUAUGUUUUAGUUUUUUAGUGUAUUUUUUCACAAGACGAGUCUAACUCCUCAUUUAGAGUCAUUCUUACAGUUUGGCUUAUUUUGGUGCCAAGAAUGAUUUUAUCCUUAUUAUUUAUACAUAACCAACUUUGCUUUUACUUGUUUAAUUGUUUGCUUCACAUCUUUAAUUUACUUGGCAUUGGAUUAAGGUUCCAAUGAUGAAAUACCUAUAACAAAUGAGCACAAGUACAUGAUGAAAUUACACUUCCUGAAAACUAAGAUCAUUAUCACUGGUUUCAGGUACUAGUUAAGCUGAGACUUGAGCUCUUGUAUUUGUGAAAGUGUAAUAUGCCCAUUGGAGGACAAAUUAGAAAACAUUAGACCAACUAUGCAUAAAAACCAAAUCUAAAGUCAU
rnacentral:lncRNA from 1 species